UUUUUUUCUUCUUUUUCCUUUUUAUUUUUACCCACAGGACUCCGCUCGUCAGAGGCCCUGUCCGGCAGUAGACCUGCCGAACUCACGAUGCAACAGCCAGGGAAGAAGAAAGGCUACAACAAAUAUCCAGGUGGUCUCCAUUACGAGCAUUAAAUCUGUUUUAUGCACCAUUCCGCAGCCUACCCCUGGAGGGGGACAUGUUUAACAGUCCCAUCCCUUGCUUAUCGCACCAUUUGUAUCAUUCUGCACUUACAACAGUUUUUCUUGAAUAAGUAAUGCAGCACCUUUUUGCUUCCAAUUGCAUUUCUCUUUUAUACAUAUGUUCAUUUGUGACAUGUCGCAUCCGUACGUUUUGGUACGGCUAAAUACACCAGGGGCUCAUGUUUCCCGCAUCAUGGUGUGAUAAGUCCGAACACUUUCACAAGUGUGGCACCCCGAACUUAUAGCAUUAUAUGCAUCGGCUUCGAAUCAUGUCUUGGGUCAAUAGUUGGGUUUCCCCGGCUCCCAUGUUUUGGUACCUUACGUUCCGUUGUAUCGGCUAAGGUAGCACUGGGAGAACCACUGCGAUUGCGCCCCAGUUGAGCUGGGUUAACGCCUUAGUGGAGAAAGCUAAAACUGACCGUCAUGAUGAGGCGAGAGCUGGUCGCUGUUCGAGAGGUUUUUUGCGAGUCCCUAAAGACUUAUGCCGCUUAGAGCGAGGAGCCAGUUUUUGUCCGGCCCAGGCGUGGAUAGCGCCACAAAUUCGGCCUUCCGAAGACCAGGGGCUUCGCCGAAAUUUAAAAUUAUAGAAUUCUAUGGCUAAGUGAGAGUGUUCAAGCAUUAUAAGUCCGAUUGCCUUGUUCGCUAUGUUGAGCGCCUUCCUAGAUGGACCCAAAAAUGGGAACAAGAGUGCUCAAGUUUAUCCCGAACAUCCCAGCACUCGUGGCAUGGGGGCUGAAGCCGACGACUUGCCAUCUCUCAGAUUUGAUAAACAGCCGCACAGAAGGUAAUAUUUUAAAUUAACAAGCAUUGCUUAGCGCAUAUGAACUAAGUUUUCAGCGCACAGGAUAACAAAAUGCGAGUCUACUCAAAUAUUACAUCUUUGGAGCACUCACCCGCAAUAGUGCGGGCACCCUUCAGGACACUCUUAUAAUACAUCUCGGGCGUGCGGUGCUCCUUGCCCUGCGGUGGCGGGUCCGUCACAAGCUUCUGGGCAUCCAUCUUGCCCCAGUGCACCUUUGCGCGGGCAAGGGCCCGACGGGCACCCUCAAUACAAGCGGAGUGCUUGAUGACUUCAACCCACGGGCACGCAUCCACCAGCCGUCGCACCAGGCCGAAGUAGCUCCCAGGCAUGGCCUCCUUAGGCCACAGCCAAACUAUGAGGCCCUUCAUGGCCUGUUCGGCCACCUUGUGGAGCUCGACCAGCUGCUUCAGCUGGUCGCUAAGGGGCACCGGAUGUCCGGCCUCAGCAUACUAAGACCAGAAGACCUUCUCCGUCGAGCUCCCCUCCUCGUCCCGGUAGAAUGCGGCAGCAUCAGAUACGCUGCGAGGAAGAUCUGUGAACGUUCCUGGAGAGCUCCGAAUUCGGGUAAGUAACAGGUAAUUAACACUCACAUGCUUACUUUGCAUGAAAAAUGCCUUACCCGCCGCUAUUUUCUUCAAUUCCUUGAUUUCUCGGAGGGCCUUAUAGGCUUCGGCCUUAGCGGCUUUGGCACUCUCAAGAGCCGUCGCAAGCUCGGACUCUCGAGUCUCCGAGUCAUGCUCCAAACUCUCAUGUUUUUCCAUGAGAGCCUGGAGCUCUUGCUGUACCUCCGCCACCCGCGCCUCCUGCUUCUCUCGCUCGGAGCGUUCCGCGGCCGCAUUACGUUCGGCCGCGGACACCGCCUCCUUCAGGGUCACCACCUCGCUAGUGGCCCCUACAAUACCCACAUUAUCCUUGUCAUUCUUCUUGCAACCAAAAUCCUUUUCUGUAAGGUACAAUUUUAGUAAGGUGUUACUCACCUUCAUUGUCCUCGAGCUGCUUUUUGGCACGGCCGAGCUCGUUCUCGGACCGCUCGAGGCUUUCCUUCAAAGUAUUGACCUCCGCAGUCAGUGCGGCAGAGGUCAGCAGCGCAGCCUGCAAUCCCAUAUUGACAUAUUUUUUAUGACUCCUGCGUAUAUCUUCUUAAGAUCCUUAGUCCGGCUUUUCUUUCCGAACACCAAACCGAGCAUCAAGGGCUACUGUCUAUGCGGUACUAUUUUACAUAUAUCAAAAUUCUUACCUCAAAGCCUGUUAGAAGGCUGCUGCAGGCUUCGGUCAGCCCGCUCUUGGCGAGCUGAACCUUCUGAAUCACCGCACUCAUAACAGUGCGGUGUUCCUCUUCAAUGGAGGCGCCAUUGAGCGCCUCUAGCAAGUUAUUCAGCGCCUCCGGUUGGACGGAGGCUGCCGGCGUCACGUCUUGCCCUUCUUACGAAGGGGUCGCCCACCGAACUCCAGAGCCACUAUGGGUUCCGGGGCGGAGUCCGGUGCAAAGUCCGGGAGGUUGUCCUGCGACACCUCCGGGGCCUCCUCCUCUGGGUGGGUCCCUUCCUGGGAUCCCACCUCGGCAUCGUCCGCAUCACGGGGGGUGGAGGCAGUCGGAAGAGAAUCCAUAUCCGACGCACCUAAGGACCCGCUCGACGAAGCGGGAAGAUCAUCCUUGGGCGGACUGCAGGGUUGUAUGCGGCAUUAGAAAGACAUUAUGUGGCGAAAAGAAAAACCAUGAAGUUAUUCGGGAGUCCGGAUACUUACGAUCUCGCCAGGGGCUUGGCCCUUGGAGGCCAGUCCUCGUCGUCGUCAUUGGCGUUGGCAGAGCAGUCCGGGGGAAGAGUUUUUCCCUUCUUGGACCCUUCGGCCUCCCUCGUUGGGGAGGCCUUCCUUUUCUUCUCUCCCCCCACUAGGGGAGAGGCCUUCUUCUCCUCCUCACCUUGGUGAGAGGAGUCGGCCUCGGAGUCAUCAUCCGAUAGCACCUGAAAACGGGAACUCUUCCGAGUCCCCGUGGCCUUCUUCUUGGCCUUCUUCUCCGGCACCACGUGGGGUGCCGGAGCCAGCAGCCCCAUUAGGCGGGCGUCCGCUGGGUCCUCCGGCAAUGGGGCCGGACAGAUAUUCUGUUCGGCCUUCGCCAGCCAGUCCUGUCAAAGGUAAAGGGAGUUUAGAUCCCGCAUAGAGUCAAACUAUGGAAAACGAGCGUUCCGUAAAGGACAAAAUCACUUACCUCAUCAGUCGGACGCUGCGAGCUGAAUCCGUGAUCUUCGGUAGCGGAUGCGGGAGCCUCGGCACCCUUGAACAGCACCUUCCAGACAUCUUCGUACGUAGUGUCAAAGAGCCCGCUCAGAGUCUGGUGUUGCGCCGGAUCGAACUCCCACAUGUUGAAACCCCGUCGUUGGCACGGGAGAAUCCGGCGGAUGAGCAUGACCUGGACUAUGUUGACAAGCUUGAGCUUCUUGUCCACCAGCUUUUGGAUACAGGCUUGGAGUCCGGUCAGCUCCUCCGAAUCACCCCAGAUCCGGCCACUAUCUUUCCAGGAGGUGAGCCGUGUAGGGAUGCCGGAUCUGAAUUCGGGGGCCGCUGCCCAUUCAGGGUCACGCGGCUCGGUGAUGUAGAACCACCCCGAUUGCCACCCCUUGAUGGUUUCCACGAAAGUGCCCUCAAGCCAAGUAACAUUGGACAUCCUGCCCACCAUGGCGCCUCCGCACUCCGCUUGGCUGCCCUUCACAACCUUCGGCUUGACACUGAAGGUCUUGAGCCACAAGCCGAAGUGGGGAUGGAUGUAGAGGAAGGCCUCACACAUGACGAUAAACGCCGAGAUGUUGAGGAUGAAAUUUGGGGCCAGAUCGUGGAAAUCCAGGCCGUAGUAGAACAUGAGCCCCGGGACAAAGGGAUGGAGUGGGAAGCCCAGUUCGCGGAGGAAAUGGGGAAGAAAUACUACCCUCUCAUGGGGCCUGGGGGUGGGGAUGAGCUCUCCCUCGUCGGGGAGCCGGUGCGUGAUGUCGCUGGACAAAUAUCCGGCACUGCGCAGCUUCUGGAUCUGCCCCUCCGUGACGGAGGAGGCCAUCCACUUGCCUCCCACUCCGGACAUAGUUGGAGAAGGUUGAGGUGAGAAGUGCGGACUUGGGCGCUGGAGCUCGAGUUCACGGAGAUGGAUAAGCCAAGGAGGAAGAAGGCGCAGGUAAAAGGGUUGGAUCUUUAUCCCCUUAUAUGGGAGGACACAAACAUGUGUCCCCACCGGCCUGAUAAAACUCGCUUAUCCCCCAAGCGUCGCAAUCAAUGGUGCGGUUGGGUUACCCACGUCCGUAUUGAUUGGAAUACCGGAAUAAGGGGAACACGAUCUCUGCUUCGACAAGACGUGCCAAGGUAACCGCUUCGCUAAACACGCUGAGGUGGUACAAUAAAAAUGAUUCUAGUAAAGGCUUGGUAGUGGUGUGACGUCACGCCGCAAAAUACGUCAACAGAUUGAACUUGUGUAAUAUUAUUCUCUCUAUGGUGGUGCGUGGAAUUUAUUUUUGCAGAGCUGGACACUAUCCUGGUGUUCACAAUCUUCUAUAAAUUGUUCGGAGGAAGAACCCGCUUUGCAAUGCCGAAGACAACAUGCGCGCCGGACUCGUCGUCAUUGAAGCCUGGUUCAGGGGCUUCUGAGGGAGUUCCGGACUAGGGGGUGUCCGGAUAGCCGAACUAUCAUCAUCGGUCGGACUCCAAGACUAUGAAGAUACAAGAUUGAAGACUUCGUGCCGUGUCCGAAUGGGACUUUCCUUGGCAUGGAAGGCAAGCUUGGCGAUACGGAUAUGUAGAUCUCCUACCAUUGUAACCGACUAUGUGUAACCCUAGCCCUCUCCGUGUCUAUAUAAACCGGAUGACUUUAGUCCAUAGGACGAAGAACAAUCAUACCAUAGGCUAGCUUCUAGGGUUUAGCCUCCUUGAUCUCGUGGUAGAUCCACUCUUGUAACACACAUCAUCAAUAUUAAUCAAGCAGGACGUAGGGUUUUACCUCCAUCAAGAGGGCCCGAACCUGGGUAAAACAUCGUGUCCCUUGUCUCCUGUUACCAUCCGCCUAGACGCACAGUUCGGGACCCCCUACCCGAGAUCCGCCGGUUUUGACACCGACAGCGACCCUGAAGGAAGCACUGUCCAAGGCCGAAGACAAUGUGGCCGUGGAGCGCACCGAGCGAGAAAAGCAGGAGGGGCGGGCGGAGGAGGUGCGGCAAGAGCUCCAUGCUCUUGUGAAGAAACACGAGAGAUUGGAGCUUGACUCAAAGACUCGGUUGUGUGCAGACUCCAGAGAACUAUGGGCAACUCGUCGAGCCAACUAUCGCGUGAGCGGACGAGUGGCUCGACGAGUCGCGGCUUGAUGCCGCACAAGAUGAGUCUGUUGGCCCGCUCAACCUGCCCGUUGGACUGUGGAUGUGCCACGGAGGCCAGGUCGAGGCGGAUGCCGGAGAUGGAGCAGUAUUGCUCGAGCGCGCCCUUGGCAAAGUUGGUGCCGUUGUCGGUGAUGAUGUUGUUCGGCAUGCCGUAGCGCACCGCUAUGUCCUUGAUGAACCGGACGGCUGUUGGCCCGUCUAGUUUCUUGAUUGGUCUUGCCUCAAUCCAUUUGGUGAACUUGUCCACUGCCACCAGCAAGUGCGUCAUGCCGCCUCGAGCGGUUUUGAAGGGUCCCACCAUGUCGAGUCCCCAGACCGCGAAGGGCCAGGCGAUCGGUAUGGUGCGGAGUGCUGACGACGGCUGGUGGAUGCGUUUGCUGAAGCGCUGGCAUCCUUCGCACUUGAGGACGAGCGACUCGGCGUCUUCGAGGGCCGUUGGCUAGUAGAAGCCGUGGCGAAACGCCUUGGCCACGAGGGAUCGAGAUGCGGCAUGGUGCCCGCACUUGCCAUGGUGAAUGUCGAGGAGGAUGUUGAUGCCGCGGUCCUGCUCGACGCAACGCUGGAACACGCCGGUAGAGCUGAGCUUGACGAGCUCGUUGUUGAUGGUGUUGUACGCGGAUGCCCGACGCUGAACUUGCCGAGCCUCAGUUUCGUCCAUGGGGAGAACCCCGUUUUCCAGCCAUUCUGAUAUCGGCAGGGCCCAGGAUGGGGCCGUGACGGCGGUGAAGACAGCCACCUGGGUGGGUUCCGAGUCGGCGACUCCUGGGCCGGGUUGAGCAGCCCCGGGUUGGUGACGGCGAAGGCCGGGUCCGGGGUGAUGGUGGCCGGAUUGAGCUGAGCAGCCCCCGGGCCGGGUUCAGCAGUCCCCGAAACGGCUUGCGGUGCGGCCGGGUCUUCUGGGACGUGGAUGGACUCGGAGUCCGGCGACGGCUUGAUGGACAGCUUGCACAGGUGUUCGAGGGAGACACCGGACGGGAUGGCUUGACGUGACGAGGCAAUCUUGGCAAGCGUGUCGGCUACCUCGUUCUCCGCGCGCGGGGCGUGGAGGAACUCGCAGCCAUCGAAGGAUCCGGACAGCUUCUGGACGAGGAAGCGGUAUCUUGCCAUGUUGGAGUCACGGGCGUCCCACUCGUCGGAGCACUGCUGCACCACCAAGUCCGAGUCGCCGUAGCACAGGAUGCGUCAGAUGCCGAGUUCCUUGGCGAGCCGGAGGCCGUGCACAAGGGCUUCGUAUUCGGCGACGUUGUUGGAGGCGGCGAAGUGGAUCUGGAGUGCGUAGCGGAGUCGGUCGCCCUUCGGAGAUGACAGUACGAUGCCGGCCCCUAAGCCGAGUCGCAUCUUGGACCCGUCAAAGUGCAUGCGCCAAUGCGUCGAGUCGGGAGGCGGCGGCAGGUACUGGGUCUCAGUCAAGUCGACGAGGAAAUCGGCCACGGCAUGCGACUUAAUCGUGGUGCGGAGCUCGUAGAGGAUGGUGUGGCCUGCUAGCUGGAUCGCCCAUUGGCGACCCGGCCAGAGGCGUCCCGGCACCCGAUGAUCUCUCCGAUCGGCACCGUGCUAACGAUGGUGACGAUGUGCUCUUGAAAGUACUGCUUCAGCUUCUUGGCGGUGAGGUACACGCCGUAACACAUCUUCUGGUAGUGCGGGUAGUUCUGCUUGGAGGUGGAGAGCACUUCGCUCAGGUAGUAGACCGGGCGCUGGACGGCCUGGACCUUGCCCUUCUUUGGUCGCUCGACCGCCAGCACCAUGCUGACCGCCCGCGAGGUCAUGGCUAUGUAGAGCAACAGCGGCUCCUUGUCGGUCGGCGCGGCCAGGAUGGGUGCGGUGGAGAGCAUGCGCUUGAGGUCUUGGAAGGCUCCGUCCGCCUUGCCGUUCCACUUGAACGGGCUUGUUUUCUUCAUUAGCUGGUACAGGGGCAGCGCCUUCUAGCUCAGCCGGCUUAGAAACCGGCUUACCGAGGCCACGCAGCCUGUGAACUUCUGGACAUCGCGCAGCCGGGUUGGCUUGCGCAUGCGCUCGAUGGCCUUGAUCUUCUCUGGGUUUGCCUCGAUGCCGCGUUCCGAGAUGAGGAAACCGAGCAGCUUUCCAGCUGGGACACUGAAGACGCACUUUUCCGGGUUGAGCUUGACCUUGUAUUUGCGGAGGUUGGAGAAUGUUUCCUUUAGAUUGUCGAGGAGCGUGAGGUGCUGCUUGGUCUUCACCACGAUAUCGUCCACGUACACGUGGAUGUUCUUGCCGAGUUGCGGUAGCAAGCAUUUCUGCAUGCAGCAAUGGAAGGUGGCGCUGGCGUUCUUCAACCCGAAUGACAUGGUGAUGUAGCAGUACGCCCUGAAGGGCGUGAUGAAGGACGUCUUCAGAGCAUCGGCCGGAUCCAGCUUGACCUGGUGAUAGCCGGAGUAGGCGUCCAGGAAGGAUAGCAGCUCGCACCCGGCGGUCGAGCCGAUGACUUGGUCGAUCCAUGGGAGGGCGAACGGAUCCUUGGGACAGGCCUUGUUGAGGCUGGUGUAGUCAAUACACAUGCACCAGGUCUUGUUCUUCUUUAGGACGAGGACUGGGUUGGCCAGCCACUCGGGGUGAAACACUUCCAUUAUGAAGCCGGCCGCCAAGAGCUUGGCGACCUCUUCACCAAUGGUUCUUCUCUUCUCUUCAGAAAAUCGACGGAGGGGUUGAUGGACAGGCUUGGCGUCCUUGCGGACGUAGAGUUUGUGCUCGGCGUACUCCCUCGGGAUACCUGGCAUGUCUUUGGGGGUCCAUGCGAAGAUAUCCUGAUUCUCACGGAGGAAGUCGACGAGCUCGCCUUCCUAUUUGUUGUCGAGGCGGGCGCCUACGACAACGUACUUGCUGCAGCUGGGGUCUUCCGGGUUCAGCUUCACUUUCUUGGUUUCCUUGGAGGGCUUGAAGGCGGCCUCAUCAGCCGGGUCCAGGGUCGGGAUCGACGCGUCGGAGGCCUCGCCGGCCAGGGCGACGAUCUGGUCGAGCUGGCGCCACUCCUCGGCAAUGACCAGCGACUCGGCCAGCUCGGCGCCGUCUCGGGCGCACUCCAGAGACUUGCGGUAGUCACCGGUGACGGUAAUGAGGCCCUUGGGACCGGGCAUCUUCAUCUUCAGGUACGCGUAGUGGGGGACCGCCAUGAACUUGGCGAGCGCGGGCCGGACCAGCAAUGCAUGAUACACGCUGGACAGGUCCACCACCUCGAACCAGAUUGGUUCGCGUCAGAAGUGGAUGCUGUCGCCGAACAGGACGUCGAGCCAGACCUGGCCAAUGGGUGAACAGGAGAGGCCGGGUACGAUGCCGUGGAAGACGGUCCGGGUUGGCUCCAGGUCCUCGGCCUUGAGGCCGAGCUUGGUCACCGUGUCGCGGUAGAGGAUGUUGAUGUUGCUGCCGCCGUCGAUGAGGACUCGGGAGAACUUGCAGGUGCGCCGCGCGAUGAUGGUAGGGUUGAGGAUGAGGGCGUAUCCACCCGGACUCGGCAUGACUGUCGGGUGAUCCUCCUGGGUCCAGGUGAUCGGGCAAUCCGACAUAUGCAUGAAAUCCGUCUUGGCUGGGACGACGGUGUUCACCUCCUGCUGGAGGAGGCGCUCGUUGCGCUUGUCGUUGCCAAGGCUGGUGAAGACGACGUAGGCCGCAUUUUGGUCCGGGUAGGCGUCGUUCUGCAUCGCGCCGCCGGCGGGAGGCGGCGGUGGAGGCGGAGGUGGCUGCCCCACGCCCGGAGCCGGAGCCGGAGGAGGCGGAACGUCGCCCCUCAUGAUGCGCUUGGUGAUGGCGCACUGUCGAAGCGUGUGCGUGGAGGGUCUUGCUCUGCUGUGGUGCUUGCAUGGGGCAUUGAGUAUCUCUUCAAAGCUCAUGGCGAGUUGCCAUGCCAUCUUGCGGGUCUGCCGGCGCUUCGCUGUCGGGUCUGCCGCGAGCUCGGCGGCCGCAAUGAGCCGGUUGUCGUGGCGCUGCGCCGGCUGCUCGGCCUUGCGCUUGUUGUUCUGGUGGUGCUGCUGCCGGCUGCUUUCGCCGGCCGGCUUCUGUGGAGGGACCGGCUUUGCCUUGCCGGCCUCAUCCAGCGCCACCUGGAUCUUCAUGGUAGAGUCGGUGUUGGCGUACUUGUCCGCCGUCACCAUGAGCGCGGCCAUGGCGGCCGGCUUGGAACAUAGAAGCUUGCGCUUGAGGAGGGUGCCGUCUCGGCACCCGCUGACGAAGUAUUGGAUCACCUAGACUUCAUGGACGCCCUCACAGCUGUUCCAGAGCUCGGUCCAGCGUGCGAGGUACUCGCGGCCGGUCUCCGUCGUCCCCUGCACGCACAUGGCGAGCUGGCUGGGGCGACCGGGCCGCUUGUAUGUCCCCUUGAAGUUGCGGACAAAGGCUUCCUCGAAAUCGACCCAUGCGUUGAUGCUGCCCAUUGUGAGGCUGUUCAACCACGUGCGAGCCGAUCCUUGGAGCAUGAGCGGUGCAUAGCGCACGGCGAGACGAUGAUUGGCACCAGUGAUGCCAAUGGCCGUGGUGUAGUCGGUGAGCCAGUCUUCUGGCUUCAUGACCCAUUGUACUUGGGGGUGUCGUGGGGAAGCACGAACCCCUUGGGGAAGGGCUCCUCCCGGAUGCGUGGGCCAAAACACGCCGGCCCGAUAGCGCCGCUCUCCUCCACCUCCAGGGAGCGAGCGAGCUGAUCGAUGCGGUGGCGCGCGUCGACAUCGUCGAUGGUGCGCGGGCCGAGUCGACUGGCGGCCAGGCCCCGAGGGGCCGGGUCAGCUGGAGCUGGACGCCGGCCAUGCUGGUCGAGUCCGCGCUGGGUCUCUGGGGCGGGCUCGUUGCCCAGAGCGUCGAUGGCGGUGCCGGCCGGGUUGCGCCGGGUCCGGGCUUGGCCAGAGUGCACCUCGCCGGGCGGCGAGGAGGCCGUGUGCAGGAGUUCGCCGGGUCCGCCAAGGCGGGCAGAGCCGGACCCCGCCGGCUUGGCGAGUUGGUUGAGGUGAUCCUGCUGGGUGUUGGUGGCAUGGAGGAGCUCGCGCAUCCGCCCGAUGCGCUCCUUGAGCUCCUCGCCCGCAAGUUGGUCGAGGCCGACCGCGGCUGCCUCCGCAGCACGCAUGUUCUUGACUGGGGUCUCGUAGACGGUCCAGACGGCGCCGAAGGCCCGGCCGAUCGCUCCUCCCCGGGUGUGAGUAUCGGCGGCCCGGCUUGGCUCGGCCGCGGCGGGUGUGAAUCCGUGGGCGGCGUCGUGCUCCAUCUGAGCGGCUUCCAGGCGGCGCUUGGUGGCGGCCAACGUCUCGGACAGAUCCAGCAUUUGCUGGCGCCUGUCCUCGAGCUGGGUUCGGGCUUCAGCGACGUUGGUGGCGUUGACGUCGAUGCCGAUGGGGAUGCGGAGGCUCUGCAUCGCGCGUGCGGCGGGUCGGACGGCUCCGCCCGCGCUGUGGCACCCGCGGCUUUGGCGACUCUUCUCGCCUUGCUCGACAAGGAAGAGGCGCCAUCGCCGGUGACGAAGACCUCCACGUGGGUGUCCAUCGCCCCGACAGUGAAUCUGCCGUUGAGAGGGAGUGGGGAGUCAGAGUAGCUGAGCACCUCGCUGGGGUACUCGUUGGCCGCGAGCGCGUCGGAGAUGCGCAUCGCGGUGAAGGAGGCGGCGAGCGCGUCGAUGACGUCGUCCGCCAGAGUGACAGACUCGUCGGAGUAGGAGAAGGGCCCCGUCCGAAGCAUGCUUCCGGACAGCUCCUCGAGCUGCCCCACGGUGGGCGCCAACUGUCAUGGUGGGCGCACGGCAGAUGCCAAGGGAUUGCUAAAGAGAGGAGGAGGCUCGAGGGCGCUGGUGGGCUUCGGAGGCGAGGUUGAUAUGCGCGGACGCGGGACGCUGGACAUACCCAGGUUCGGGGCUCUCCGGAGAGAUAACACCCCUAGUCCUGCCAAGUUUAGUUGGAUGGUUGAUAGUACAAUGUCGCUCCUGGAGCUGUAUGGAGCAGGAAGGAGGCUGGCCAAGGCUCCGGCUGCUCCUUCUCUCUGGUGUUGCUAUGUAGUGGCUAGUCCUAUCUUGCUUGCUUUUGCAUGUCGGGGAUCUUACAUAUCAUGCCCCUGUGGGCGUGGACUCCUGGGGGGUUUUAUAGAUCAACCCACCCAGGGUUACAAUGGUAAUAUGCCGAGUCGAUGGGUCCGUAUUGUCGGUGUCUGGGGUACCGGGCUGGGUCCCGCUUGGGGGCUUGUGGUUCGCCGGGUUCCCCUAGGUGCGGGCCCCGCAUGCCUAGGGGGACUGUGUGCCGUCUUGUCGAUCGUCAUGGCGUGGCCGAGUCGAGCCGCGCACAGUGUUCUCCGUCAGGCCGCCGCUUGUUGUCGUCAGCGGUGAGGGCGGGAACACUGUUGUCGUGCCAGCCCUGGUCAGCAGGUAGGUAAGGGGCACUAUUGCCACGCUCCGGCUGACCACGGGCAUGGGCGGGGGCACUGUAAUCUUGGUCAUCGGUGAUUGAGGUCUCGUCCCAUCAUACGGCCUUGAUGGGAUGGGAGCUGACCCGUGGCUGGGUUGCCGUGGACGCCACGGGUGGGUCGGCUUGCUGGGGAAGCCAAGGUUGCACCGGGCUGAGUUGCCUUGCGCCAGCCGCUGCGGCCGGGUCGACGUACCUUGCCGAGUCGAGGGUCUUGAUCGGGUUGUGCGCCUUGCCGGGUCGAGCGACCCGGCCUGGCGCACGCCGGUUUGCAGGGCGAUGCGGGCCCCGCUGUUUUUGAAAUAGAUCCGGGUUCCGUUGCCUGCCUGGGAUUCAUCCCCCGACAGAGGCGUAGGAUGAAGAUGGUCUCUCUCAAACAACCCUGCAACAAAAUAACAAAGAGUCUCUUGUGUCCCCAACACACAUAAUACAAUGGUAAAUUGUGUAGGUGCACUAGUUCGGCGAAGAGAUGGUGAUACAAGUGCAAUAUGGAUGGUAGAUAAAGGUAUUUGUAAUCUGAAAUUAUAAAAAUAGCAAGGUAACUAAUGAUAAAAGUGAGCGUAAACGGUAUUGCAAUGGUAGGAAACAAGGCCAAAGGUUCAUACUUUCACUAGUGCAAGUUCUCUCAACAAUAAUAACAUAAUUGGAUCACAUAAUAAUCCCUCAACAUGCAACAAAGAGUCACUCCAAAGUCACUAAUAGCGAAGAACAAACGAAGAGAUUAUGGUAGGGUACGAAACCACCUCAAAGUUAUCCUUUUUGAUCUAUCUAUUCAAGAGUCCGUAGUAAAAUAACAUGAAGCUAUUCUUUCUGUUCGAUCUAUCAUAGAGUUCAUACUAAAAUAACACCUUAAGACACAAAUCAACCAAAACCCUAAUGUCACCUAGAUACUCCAUUGUCACCUCAAUUAUCCGUGGGCAUGAUUAUACGAUAUGCAUCACACAAUCUCGGAUUCAUCUAUUCAACCAACACAAAGUACUUCAAAGAGUGCCCCGAAGUUUCUACCGGAGAGUCAAGACGAAAACAUGUGCCAACCCCUAUGCAUAGGUUCAUGGGUGGAACCCGCAAGUUGAUCACCAAAACAUACAUCAAGUGGAUCACGUGAAUAUCCCAUUGUCACCACAGAUAAGCACGGCAAGACAUACAUCAAGUGUUCUCAAAUCCUUAAAGACUCAAUCCAAUAAGAUAACUUCAAAGGGAAAACUCAAUCCAUUACAAGAGAGUAGAGGGGGAGAAACAUCAUAAGAUCCAACUAUAAUAGCAAAGCUCGCGAUACAUCAAGAUCGUGCCAUAGAGAGAACACGAGAGAGAGAGAGAGAUCAAACACAUAGCUACUGGUACAUACCCUCAGCCCCGAGGGUGAACUACUCCCUCCUUGUCAUGGAGAGCGCCGGGAUGAUGAAGAUGGCCACCGGUGAGGGAUCCCCCCUCCAGCAGGGUGCCAGAACAGGGUCUCGAUUGACUUUUGGUGGCUACAGAGGCUUGCGGCGGCGGAACUCCCGAUCUAUCUUCUCCUCCGAUGUUUUUAGGGUAUAUGGGAUUAUAUAGGUGAAAGAAGUCGGUCGGGGGGUGCUCGAGGGGCCCAGGAGAUAGGGGCGCGCCCUCCUAUCUCCUGGCCUCCUCGAAGCUUCCCUGACGUGAACUCCAAGUCUCCUGGGUCAGGUUCGUUCGAAAAAUAAGUUUCCCGAAGGUUUCAUUCCGUUUGGACUCCGUUUGAUAUUCCUUUUCUUCGAAACACUGAAAUAGGCAAGAAAACAACAAUAUGGGUUGGGCCUCCGGUUAGUAGGUUAGUCCCAAAAAUAAUAUAAAAGUGUAUAAUAAUGCCCAUAAUCAUUCAAAACAGAUAAUAUAAUAGCAUGAAUGCUUCAUAAAUUAUAGAUACGUUGGAGAUGUAUCAACGCCUUAGCACAUGGCCCCUCGCCCAACCUCGUAACCUAUCAAGCAUAUGAUAUCAAUGGAUACACGUUCUACACGGAGGCCAAAGAUAUGGACAGUGAUGAUCAGAACUCAGGGGUGACGACAGAAUGCAUGACCGACAGCGACAACGGUGCAACUGAAAGAUUGUACGGAAGGGUCGAGGAGAUCUGGGAGCUUGACUACUCUGGACUGCAGAACAUGAUGAUGUACCGUGUCAGAUGGGCUAAGAAUGUCGAAAGAUAAAACCGGAAUUUCACUACCAUGACUAUACCCGACGCCAAGAGCGCUACCGUGAAUGCUAUCACAAAAAACGAGCCAUGGGUACACGCUAAGCACAUGACAUAAUGCUUCUUCAUAACCGACCCGCGCAAUCCCAGCCGUGUUGUCGUGAGGAGAGGCAAAAGGAACAUCAUUGGAAUGGAUGGAGUCGUGAACGAGGAAGACUACGAUCAGUACGGCAACCCAAUGAGGGAAGAUGGUGACAAUGAUGAAGUAUAUGUCAAAAGAAGAAGCAAUACUACAUUACCUAAGAAAAAUCGUACUCCAUGGAAAAGGAAAAGUCACAAUGAGGGGCUCAAUUAUUCUUCAACGACCAAGAACGGAAAGAAGCUGACUCAAAAACAAAAAUGUCAACACUGAGGAACCGUAUGUUAUCGGUCAAAUGAUGUUCCUAUUUUGUAUAUGUUCCAAUUUUGUAUACACACUUAGCCAUUAUUAUGCAUGGGUCCAACGAUGUAAUAUAUAUCGCCUUCCCUUCGUUCACUGUUCUCGGAAAAAAAGAAAAGAAAAGUGAGAGAAAAUAAAGGAAAAGAAAAUAGAAGGAAACAAACAGGAAAGAGCUACAGCUAGUCAAGAUAGCAGUAGUGCUUUCUACACAAAACCGUUAUAGCUACCUGGAGUAGCUAUAGCGCGUUUUGCUUAAACACGCUACUGCUAUGCCCACUUAACCCCCAAAAUCCACAUCCCUCUCUCCAUCCCGCCUUUUUCCCCAAAUCCCAACACUCUCUCUUCCCCUGUCGCGCCACCGGAGCCCUGCCCUCGUCGCGCCCCUGCGCUCGCCCCCGACCCCGACCCCGGCGCUCGCCCACGGCCUCGGCCCCGACCCCGACCCCGGAUCCAGCCCCGGCGCUCGACCCCAACUCCGACCCCUCCCAACCUCGGCCAUCGUCGGGCUUGCACCCUCUGUAAGCCCCCCACCACUCCUCCUCUCUCUGGUAGCUAGGGUUCUUUGGUUAAAAGACCUAGGUUUUAGUUAGGGCAGAUGGUUAAUUAGGUUAUAUAUUUAGUUAUGAAUUUAGCUAGGUUUUUUCCUCAAGUUCUAUAUUUUUCCUCCUUUUAUAUGCAAAUUUGAAGUGGACAUGUGAUGUUUUGGACAUGUCAUAUUUGGAAUUUGGACAUGUUAUUUGGACAUGAUGAUUAUGUGGAGGGUAAAUGAUCCGAGUGGCCUAUGUUACGCCGAAAUGUUGAUUCAUUUCCGUUCCGGUGAAUUUCAGGCGCUCGAUUGUCCAUUUUUUAGCGAAGGUCAUACCGAAAUUUUCCGUGAAUUUUGGCAUGAUUUGUGCUAGAUGGUAGGCAUAUCGAGUGCCGGGAGUUGCUGGGAAACGACAUUCCGGCAAACAUAGAUUUUUUUUCAUGUCAUUUCUCUUUUUUUCAUAGUUUUAGAAUUAAAUGAGGAGACUUAAUCAUAGGAAACAUGUCGAACAACGAAGAAACUGGGCCUUCUGACCAAGAUGCAGACGAGAUGGAUUAUGAGGGUGAAGAAGAGUACCUUGACUUUUUGACUGCUAAGAAAAGUCAAGGUUUGCAGGUUGGCCUCGAUGAUGGCACUGACGCCGACAUCAACACCGACGGCGCCGGCACCUAUGGUGGCGCCGAGACCGGCGGGGAAGGUACCGACGGGGAAGAUACCGGCAGGGAAGGUACCGGCGGGGAAGGUACCAGCGUCGAUGCCGCUGCCGAAAAGAAGAAGCAGAAGAAGCAAAGGAUACGAAAACCUAACAAACUCGGGAUUGGACAACUAGUGAUCACAAAGAUGGCACCUGGCAAGUUUGAGCCAUUAGAGCCGGAAGAACUUCGCAAGUGCUAUGGGAACCAAGUAGGAAGCAUCCUAUGGGAAUGCGCGAGCAUCAAUGACGAUGACUUAAGGAGUAAAGAACAUUUGACGCAGUUGCUCCUGACGAAAUUGCACAAGAGAUUCAAGUUCCCCGACCGGGAUGAUAACAUAGAACAACCGUGGGAUGAUCCGAAGAUGAAAAAGAUUAACAAUCACGCCAUGGGCAUGUUCAGCAAUGAUCUGGCCUCCUGGAAAGGGAGGGUGAAAUGAGCUAUUGAUGCUGAGGAACCCCUAUCCAAGAUUCUGGAGGAAAAUCCGACACUUACGGAAGAGGAGUUCGAAAAGUUCAAGGACACUUGCGCUACCAAGGUAGCCAAGGCUAAGGCUGUGAAAUUCAAGAGCCUUCAGCAAAGGAACACGGGAAAGCAUCGCCUCGGAAGCCGUGGCUACCUCGGUAAAAGGCCCAUAUGGGAUAAGGAGGACGCUGAAUGUGAAGCCGCGGGUAUCCCAUACCCCUUCGUGAAGUUCACCAACCCCUUGGAGCGUGACUUCAUCAGGGCCCGCUACAAGUGGGACAAGGAAAAGAAGGUUUUUUACACAGACCAGAUCACAAGGAAAUUGAUUAGACUACUGGUAAUUAUUCUUUUACCACCUUACAUUUAACUCCAGAUCUAGUUGACUACACAUUCCUAAACGGUUCACGUUCCUUUUGCAGGAGAAGCAACACCGGCUUGCAGCCGAAAGCCCUACUUCUCCGAUGAGGCCCAAGUGGGACACCCCUCUCAACCAGGCCUUGAACAAACUUAAGGGACUCCCUUUGGACCAGCGGCCGCAAUAUGGUCGUGUGCACGGCGCUGGAGACGGCGCCACGUGGAAGGUGUUUUACAACGAGGGCCCGGAGGCCAAGAAGCAGAAAAGGAAGUUUAGUCAUACGGACAUCAACGAGAAGGUGAAGCUUGCAGUUGAGAAAAAAGCAGCCGAGGACGCAAAAAAACAGCCGAGGAAAAAAAUGAGUUGCUACAGCAAGCAGUCAAUGCAGCUGUAACUGCGUGCAGAAAUGAUUUUGCUACUAACUUGGUUCCAGCUAUCAUCAACUAGACGAAGGAAAAUCCAGACAAUACGGUACAUGAUUUCCCGUUGCCCAAUUUCUGUGCGAGCAACUCCGUGAACAACAACAACACCACACCAUCACUUGCUCACGCAACCGGGCCUCCUCUCGCACCCGCUCUCGCUCAUAGCAGCUCAUCCUUAGUCUCUGGCGUGCUAGGUGGGCCUUCGUCUUUGGCUGAGCUCGACUCCCUCACGGUAAUUACAUGUCGCACCAACAUAUACAUAUAUAUAUAUAAUAUUUCAUUUUCGUUGCCUUUCGGAUGUUUUACGCCACAGACAUGUGUUUGCAGGCCGACGAAACCCCGUGCACCAUACUCUACUUGACCAAAGGCCAGAAGGUGGACGUGGGAAAGGGGGUGAUAGUGAACCCAUUGCAACCCGCGUUCCACAACCAGCCGAUCCUCGCUGGGCACUUCAGGGUUAACUUGUCCAGUGUGAAAUCAGGGCACGAGGAUUUGCCUCCUCCAGUACAGCAUGUGGGAGAGGAUGACGAGACCCCGCCGCAGAUUGGAAGCUGCAAGGGUUGGGUGCUGCUAUGGCCGAAGAAUAUUCUUUGUUUGGAGCAGGCCGAGAGCAAACCAAUAACCACACAUCAACAAGCAUGUGCGGAGACCACCACCCCCCCUACGCAAUUACCAGCUCCUGUAGAGUCGGGCGAGAGCGGCGGACGACGUGAUGAAGGGAGUGCAAUAGUACUAGCUGAUGUAAUCGGUCCUGUAGAACAGAGAAUGGAUGAUGAGACGGAGGUCGACCCAAUGGCUUUCCUCAAUACAAACGCGUAUGACUGUGACAUAGAUAUGAUGAGUCAACCAUAUGACGAAUCGGGCUAUCAGCAUGUUAAUGAGGAUAUGGAUGAUCUGCCCGGGCAGGAAGGUCGUAGCAACAUCAUGACACCUCAUGUCGUUCAAGAAGCUAGGGUUCAUCCUGGAUGAUAUGGAAGGAUGGAACUUCUAGUGAUUUACGAUGCCGAUGAUGAUGAUAUGUGUCGGUUGAACUUGUAUACUUUCUGUAGCGAUGACACUUUGUGAUGUCCACGGUCCCUGCAGAACUUGCAUAACUCUACUUUGUUAGUUUGGGUACGAUGAUCUGCGUACCUCUAGUUAAUUAGCUUGCGUACUGUAUGUUGCAUCCAGUUGCUAACCCUUUCUUUUUCGUGUUGCUAUAAUAUAUUUUGUUGCAUAUGAUUGUACAUCCUCUUGAUGAAGAUGCAUCUCUAACAGGUACCUAGCUUCUUGAUGGCGAGAUGGCAGUGCUAUGUUGUGUACAAAGGGAAGGUUCCGGGGGUGUACAACGAGUGGACUGAGUGUCAAGCGCAAGUGAGUAGGGUCUCGGACGCUAGCAAUAAAGGCUUCAAAAGCAAACAAGAAGGAGAAGCUAGUUGCUUGAGGUUCACGCUAGCGCGAGAGAGGACUGGUAACCGCCGCCUCAUGUACUGCAUAGUUUCGUUCUCACUCAUAGUGAUAGCUCUUCUCGCGUAUAUCAUUGUUUAGAUGGAUGACGUUGUAGUUGCAAGUAUUCGAGACUUGCAUGUAUCGCUAUUUUUGAGAUGAUGACGAGAUAAGACUUUGUGUUCGAUGAUGAUUAUGAUGAGACUAUUUGUAUGUAUAUGCUAUGAUUACAUUUGUGGUCUCACAGCCAUUUGUAUGUGUACCAUGAUGACAUUUUUAUGUGCUAAAGAUUCUUAUAUAAAGCCUAGUCAAAUACAAAACAAUAUGCAGAAAAAACAUAAACUACUAAAAUUAGCAGUAGCGAGUGGAGAAAAGUUAACAGCAGCAUGCCAGUAGCAGUAGCGCGCUAGAGCUAUUAGCAGUAGCGAGCUUCCCUGGAGCACGCUGCUGCUACACUUGUAUAGCAGUAGCGCGGGUGCACCAGCGCUACUGCUAUGGAUUAGCUGCAGCGCCUUAUCAGUAGUGCCGGCACCCGCGCUACUGAUGUACCUAGAACCCGCACUGCUGCUAGGCUUCUCCCUAGUAGUGAUGCUUCACUUAUAUUAUUUUGAGAGUCCUUUUAGAACAACAUGGUAAUUUGCUUUGGUUAUAAAUUUAGUCCUAAUAUGAUAGACAUCCAAGAUGGAUAUAAUAAAGACUUCCAUAUAAAGUGCAUUGAAUAUUAUGAGAAGUUUGAUUCUUUAUGAUUGUUUUGAGAUAUGAAGAUGGUGAUAUUAGAGUCAUGCUAGUGGAGUAAUUGUGAAUUUUAGAAAUACUUGUUGAGGUUUGUGAUUCCCGUAGCAUGCACGUAUGGUGAACUGUUAUGCGAUGAAGUCGGAGCAUGAUUUAUUUUUUAAUUGUCUUCCUUUGUGUGGAGGCCGGGAUUGCGCGAUGGUUAACUCCUACCAACCACUAGUAGAAAACGGGACUUUCAUUCGGGACAGAUAAGUCCAUUAGUUCCGGUUCAGUCAUGAACCGGGACUAAUGUGAGCAUUGGUCCCGGUUCGUGCGGUAAAGGCAUUAGUCCCGGUUCAAAUGAGCCCUUUAGUCCCGGUUUGAGACACAAACCGGGACUAAAGGGCAUUGCAACCUUUAGUCCCGGUUCGUGUCUCAAACCGGGACUAAAGAUUAGNNNNNNNNNNNNNNNNNNNNNNNNNNNNNNNNNNNNNNNNNNNNNNNNNNNNNNNNNNNNNNNNNNNNNNNNNNNNNNNNNNNNNNNNNNNNNNNNNNNNNNNNNNNNNNNNNNNNNNNNNNNNNNNNNNNNNNNNNNNNNNNNNNNNNNNNNNNNNNNNNNNNNNNNNNNNNNNNNNNNNNNNNNNNNNNNNNNNNNNNNNNNNNNNNNNNNNNNNNNNNNNNNNNNNNNNNNNNNNNNNNNNNNNNNNNNNNNNNNNNNNNNNNNNNNNNNNNNAAUUAAAAUCCUUCGAGAUGUAGUUAUGUUACUACAUCUACUAGUUAGGAAAAUUUAAAAACUUAAAUUUGGACAUGUUUUGCAAAAGGUGUAGGGAAAAUGUAAAACGGCUAUAACUUUUGCAUACGAUGUCAGAAAAAACGUAUAAUAUAUCAAAAUGUUCAACAUGAAAAUCCCGAUCCGAUUUUGACCGCCUACGGCCUAUUUCCAAAUUUUUAGAAUCCUCAAAUUCUAAAAGGAAAAAAAGUUAUGCUCAAAUUUCAGUUUUUUUGAAUUUUUGUUAAAUUUGGUCAAAUUGUGGUCAAACAAUGGUCAAACUACUUAUUCAAGAAAUAUUAGUGUUACUAAAUAAUUGUUUCAGUUUUUUUUUGAAUUUUGGUCAAAUCUGGUCAAACUGUGGUUAAACUACUUAUUCAAGAAAUAUUAGUGUUACUAAAUAAUUAUUGUUUUUUAGAACAAUAGUUUCAAACUCAAACAGUGAAAUGUGUGACUUCAUGCUCAAGCUAAAUUCCUGAGGGUUAAUAUGAUUGACAUCUUACUGUUGUCAGGAAAACAACAAGUGUAGACUUGGAAACAAGGGAGAAUAGAACCCGGAAGUUAAGCGUGCUCGGGCUGGAGUAGUGAGAGGAUGGGUGACCGUCCGGGAAGUUAGAUGAUUUGGAAUGAUGAGGGGUGGUUAGAGAUUAGAGAUUAAGUUGAGCAGUGAUGAGGGGUGUUUAGAGAUUAGAGGUUAAAAUAAUUCAGAAAUUUGAAAAUCAAGAAAAAAUUUCAAAAAAAAACAUAAAAUUUCCUUUAGUACCGGUUGGUGUUAUCAACCGGGACUAAAGGUGGACCUCUAGGCAGCGGCCACGUGGAGGGCCUUUAGUCCUGGUUCGUAUAAGAAUGGGAAUAAAGGGGGGCCUUUAGUAACGACCCUUUAGUCCCGGUUCAUGCGUGUAGUGCUUGGUUUUGAUGACUUAUAGAUUUUUGCAAUAAGUAUGCGAGUUCUUUAUGACUAAUGUUGAGUCCAUGGAUUAUACGCACUCUCACCCUUCCACUAUUGCUAGCCUCUCUUGUGUCACGCAACUUUCGCCCGUACCAUACACCCACCAUUUACCUUGAUCAAAACAGAACUCGAAGGUGCCGUACGUUCGAUACUUGAUGGGCCGAAGAUAGAAGAAGUUCGACUACAUCAACCGCAUUGCCAAACGCUUCCGCUUACGGUGUACGAGGGUACAUAGACACACUCUCUCCCAUCGUUGCUAUGCAUCUCCUUGAUAGAUCUUGCGUGAGCGUAGGAAUUUUUUUGAAAUUGCAUGCUAUGUUCCCCAACGGUUGAUGCACGUUCUCGUCUUUGUUUCCACGGUAAAAAUCUUGUGGCACUCUUUGAGAUUAUUUGUGUUGGAUCGAGUAUUAUGAAUCUGAAAUUGUUUGAUGUCUAUCAUAUAAUUAACUCAUGGAUACUUGUGAUGACAUUGAAGUAUCUAAAUGACAUUAGAGUUAUUUGGUGUGUAUCAUAUGGUGUUAUUUUAGUACGAACUCUUGGAUAUAUCGAAUGGAAAGAAUAACUUUGCGUUAUUUUAGUACGAACUCUUGAAUAGAUCGAACAGAAAGAAUAGCUUUGAGCUGGUUUCAUACCCUAUAAACAAUUUCGACUUAUGUUCUCCGCUAGAUAGGUACUUUAGAGUGAUUCUUCAUCACACGUUGAGGGAUGGUUAUAUGAUUCAAUUAGAUUAGCAUUGUUGAGUGAUUGCACUAGCGAAAGUACGGACCCUAGGCCUCAUUUUCAAACAUUGCAAUAUUGUUUGUGCUCACUUUUGUUACUUGCUACCUUAUUGUUUUUUAUUGUUCCUAUUAUAAAAAUCAAUAUCUACUAUCCAUAUUUCACUUGUAUCACCAGCUCUUCGUCGAGUUAGUGCACCUAUACAAUUUACCAUUGUAUUUGGUGUGUUAGGGACACAAGAAACUUUUUUAUUAUUUGAUUGCAGAGUUGUUUGAGAGAGACCAUCUUCAUCCUACGCCCCACACGAUUGAUAGACCUUAGGUCAUCUACUUGAGGGGCAAUUUGCUACCGUCCUACAAAACUCUGCGUUUGGAGGCCCAACACGAGUCUACAAGAAUAAAAUUGCGUAGUAGACAUCAAGUAGAAACAGAUGAUGCUAAGAUGGUGGCUUACUUAUAGAUGUAUUAAUUUGUACAAUUUUGCUAAGUCUCAGUCGAUGCUAUAUCCCUUUUGAUCUUGCAUGGAGAUUUAUACAAUUUUUUCAUAUUCAUUUUAUUUUCUUCUUUUUAUAUACUAUGUCAUUUGACUGAGACUUGUCUUAGACCUAGGCAAGUGAGGAGCUACGUGAGGGCCAACAUGUGCCCCGGCCCCUAGCACGAUUUUCUUUGUUUUGCGUCCAAUUUUGAGGCGUGGAAUGUCAAGGCAAGGGUAAUUUUUAGGACCCUCAUAAGUGCCACACGUGUGACACGGAGCAAUUUCUCCCUGACAUUUUUUUAUGGCAACUUCAGUUACUUGAGGAUGGCAAAUUUUGUUGUGAAGGAUGACAAUUUUCUAUUUGGAUGGCAAGUUUCAGAUUUUUUGGGUUUUUUUGUUCAAAUGGCAAUUUUAGUUAUAAAAACGUCAAGGGGGUGUUACUUCGUGCCACACAUGUGGCUAUCAUUUGGGAAUUUUUAUAACUUGACUAGAUUUGCCCGCCCAACCUUUUGCUUCAAUCUCCAGCACUGGACCUAAGCACAUCCUAUUUUGUAAGGUCUUGGUGAAUAAAUAACAAAAUAGAUGUACUAUGGAUCACCUUGAUGUGGAGCCCGGAUUUUCGAAGAAGAAAAAACAGUCUUCGAAAUAAUAGUCUUGUGGAGUGUGAUGACGAUAUAAAGCCACAUGCUCGAAGCUGAGCUUCUUGAACACUUGUACGUCGACCAAUAAAAUCCUACGAAGACAUGAUGACUUCUUCGAAAGAGCACCACUGAUUUAGGCGUGGCUUGGAGCAUCUACAACCAUAUAUGGUAAAUCCGGUCCCUCAAACGUUUUAGAAUAAAACUUCUUAUCAUCCCGCAAAAAGAACGGGCGCGUCCGCGGGCAGUGACCGGGCACGCCUUAAAUUUUACUUCUUGUAUCUGAACAUCUCAUACUAGAUUCUUAUAUCCAUAUAAAGACAUUCAAAAGAAGUAGAACCUACGUACUACGUUGAUCCUAUCUAAUCCUUGUCGGAGAUCACGACGAUCUCUGUGCCCAGCUCCGGCAGCAUGGGCGGCAGCUGCAGCUCCGGCUCCUCCUGCUACUCCACUCCGGCCUCCCCCGCCUCUAUCUCCGCGUUGAGCUCGACGAAGAGCGUGUUGGUCACCGCCUGCUGCCGCCGGAGGAACGCCCGGUUGGCCUUCACAUAGGCCUCAUCCUGGAUGGACUCUAUGAUGGCAUGUUGCUCGGCCAUCUCGUCGAACUGGGCGACGACGAACUUCGCCUCCGCCUGCUCCAUGUUGAAGGGCGGCACCUGCUGAUCCGGCUCCUUCGCCUCCUUCACCUCCAUCGGAGCCAUCUUCUCCUCCUCCCACUGCUCCUCCUCCUCCUCCGGCUUCUGCGAGUCCAGAGGCAACCCUACAGCGAUGCAGGCGGCGCGCGCAACUUCCCUCGCUCGGAUCUACUGCUGGAUCUCGUAGUGGCGCUCCGGCGUCAGCAUGGCAUAGUAGGCGAUCUCGCUCCAGACCAUGGUGGAGUGCGGGAGCAUGGGCAGAGCGCCAGAGCGAGAGAGGGAGGAGGUGGAAGGGCUCGGACUGGCGGGGCGAAGAGGGGGGGUUAGGGUAGCGGGAUGCUGACCGGCUUAAAUAGUCGGAUGUCGUCUUGGGCGGCGAGCCGGAGUAGCGCCACGCGGCAUUCCCACCGCGGCGACAGACGAGGCGUCCGUCGGACCGCCGGGUUUCCGGGCGUUUCCGUGUGGGGCCACGUCGUCAGGCCGAUAUGGCGGUCGUGCCCAGGCGCCCCGUAUCCGUCUCAUAUUUGGGCUGCAUAUUUGCAUAGCUGUAGGUGGAGAAGACCAGCAGUACGAUCCGUCACCACCACUCCAUGCUCCGGCACCAUGGCUCGACACCGGGCGGAGACCUCGCCACCGGCUGCCGGUUGCGCGGGGGGGAGUUGGUGGGCUGACCGGAGGAGAGCUCGCUCGGUUCCCGCUUGUCCUGGGGUGCCGCCACGCACCCACCGAGCCAGUCACCCGCCCCUGGCGCGACGUCACACCCAGGGUCACAAGAGACAUGGACGUGGACGUGGACGUCCGGUGGGAAAAAGCGUCGCGGCGCAGCGCAAGCCGACGAGGCGGUGCGGUGCGGGACAAGCGGGGCGACGUGAGUUUCGAGAAGGCACGACGGACAGACAGACAGGGACGCCGUGCCGUACGUGGGCGGGUGGGCGGGUGUGCCGCCGCCGGUUAUGGAAACGUGGGGGUUGCCCCGUGCGGGCCGCGCCGAAUGGCCGUGGGGGUUGCCCCGUCGGUCGAUUCGAUCGAUCGGUAUUUUUCCCAGUCCCAAACUGGUUCUGCAGAAACGUAAUAACUUGAGCCUGCCAAAAAAGUGUAAUCCACAUGCAUAAAUAUACCCACAUGCACGGAAAAAGGGUUCGCAAGUAUUUCAACCAUCCCAAUCCUACGAAAUCAUUUCUUGAAUUAAAGAGGGCCCAGCUCGUACCACCAUAGCACUACAGCCAGCAACUAAACAACUAUUCCCUCCCUCCGUCCCAUAACAUAAGAUCCUCACAAUAUCGUAUAAGUUAACAAAAAAUUGCAAUUUUAAAGAACUACUCCCUCCUUCUCAUAAUAUAAAAACGUUUUUGACACUAGUGUAGUGCCAAAAACGUUCUUAUAUUAUGGGACAGAGGGAGUAGUAGGUAGGUUCUUCUUUGCUGCCUGUAUUUUAUUUGAGUCGUUGCCUUUCUAUAUCUAACCUAACCACUAAUACCAAAACACAACAGCCCUUCAAAAGAUGUAUAUACUAAAACACAACAUUUAAGCAUAAGCGAGUACAUAUUUACAACAAGAGUGAGAAUGCUGUAUGUGAGAUUCUUGCUGCAAUCAUGUCAAGCUAUUGCGAGUUUGUUUUGAUUUGCGCCUUCAGGCACGCGACAUACUAUAGAGCUGUCAUACACAUCAUUUUGUUGAGACUAAAUUAAGGAAAGAAUUCCGCAUAGGGCCAUGCCUGGCGCGCCAUGUAUUGCCCCUAUGUUAAUGUUAACGAGUACUUAUGUCAGAGUUGCCCAAAGUCCUAUUUCAAAAUGAGUAAUAAGCUUAGCACAGAGCUACAUAGCCCAAACCAUAAAUAAAGCAAUUGAUGUGUUAACUAAGACAUGAUAAGUGUUUUUUGGCGGGAUACGUGCCUAACUCUAAAUGCAGCUAUUUCUAGCCUAUUAAGCCCAAUGAAGACACGAAAUAUCAUUUGUGAACCGCCUACCAACAUUUAUGGAAAACAAAAUCCUACACCUAAAUAAGCACAUGGAAUGGUGAUGAUUUCCUUUCGUACCAAUGCCGAACGUUGUUCAUGGCAUUUCUAAAUGCAUCUUUCCUGGACCACCCAAAUCAAUCGAUUGAUAUUUUUCCGGUCUCAGAGGAAUAUGUCGGAACAGUUAGAUGUCAAUCCAGCAGCCCCAUUGUUCAUCUUCUUCCCCGCGGUCCCCAACCNNNNNNNNNNNNNNNNNNNNNNNNNNNNNNNNNNNNNNNNNNNNNNNNNNNNNNNNNNNNNNNNNNNNNNNNNNNNNNNNNNNNNNNNNNNNNNNNNNNNNNNNNNNNNNNNNNNNNNNNNNNNNNNNNNNNNNNNNNNNNNNNNNNNNNNNNNNNNNNNNNNNNNNNNNNNNNNNNNNNNNNNNNNNNNNNNNNNNNNNNNNNNNNNNNNNNNNNNNNNNNNNNNNNNNNNNNNNNNNNNNNNNNNNNNNNNNNNNNNNNNNNNNNNNNNNNNNNNNNNNNNNNNNNNUCUCAUGUAACCAAGAAAUAGGAAAUGCAAUUUUGCUAGUAAACCAAACAACUAUCACAUGUGCACACUCAACACUAGCACAACAAAAUCAUCAAUUUGAUGCACGUCCACAUGAGAGGGGGGAGAGAGAGGGGUGUGUGUGUGUGUCGCCGCGAGAACUCCGAUAGCUACACCCCCCCACUCCCUUUCUCUCUCCUCAACUUUCCCCUUUUUUACUGCCCUCUCUCUCUCUCUCCUCCCCGCACACGCCCCAUGCUUCCGCUUCUUCUUCCCCCCAUCAAUCGCGAACCGGAUAGGGGAUAGUAGAUAGAUCGGCCCCAAAUCUUUGCCCUCGGAACACCGCGGCGGCCGGCCGCUUUCACCCAACUCCAUCCCACCACCACCCCUCCCGCUCUCCCCAGAUUCGGGUCUCCGUGGAGAUUUCCGGGAUCUUUGUUUGCGCCGGCGACGUCGCUCAUGGCGUGCUGACAUGCUCCGCCGCGCCACAAGCUGCUGCCGUGCACAGGUUAGGCUCCGCUCCGCUCCCCUCCCCUCUCCUCGCCCCGAUCUGCCGGCCGGAGCCGCGGCUCCGGCCGAGGGCCCGAGCUUUGACGAGCUCCUGAUCUAGCCAAAGAUUGGUUUUUGUUUCCCCGGAGAUCUUUCCGUGGAUUCGGUCGCCGUGCUUCCAUUUUUGUAGCCUCGGUUUCCCCUCCCUUUCCCGUUGUAUUUCGCGUCCGAUUCGGCAGGUUUCCAGUCCAUCUCGCUGUGCUAUUUCGGACCUUGCUUGACUGGCUUCUUGACUCAUGUUUUUUGCCCCAGUUGCUCCGAUCCGACGAGCCAAGAAGAUGAACGGCGCGCCGAUCCCCGCGGCGGCCGGCGCCGACGCCGCGGCGCCCAGGAAGAAUGCGGUCGCCGAGAUGGCCAGGCACCUCACCGUCGACACGGACGACGCCUUCGCCGGCCUCCUCGAGCUCGCCGCUGACGACGACGCGGAAGGCCUGCGCCGCGCGCUGGAGCGCGCGCCCCCCGCCGCCGCGGACGAGGCCGGCCUCUGGUACGGCCGCCGGAAGGCGCUCGAGCAGCGCACCCCGCUCAUGGUGGCCGCCACCUACGGCAGCCUCGCCGCGCUCCGCCUGCUGCUGUCCCUCCCCUCCGUCGACGUCAACCGCCGCUGCGGCCCCGACGGCACCACCGCCCUUCACUGCGCCGCCUCUGGUGGCUCGUCCUCGGCCGUCGAGGCCGUCAGGCUGCUCCUGGUGGCCGGGGCCGACGCCGACGCCACAGAUGCGUCCGGGUGCCGUCCUGCUGAUGUGAUCUCUGUGCCGCCGAAGAUGAUUGAUGCAAAGAUCGCCCUCCAGGAUCUGCUUGGGCUCCCAAAGUCUGGGCAUGGCGUGCUCCGGGUGGUGACAAGGGCCACAAACCUGACCUCGUCGCCGGUGUCAUCACCCACCGCCGAGGACGCUCGGUCUCCAUCAGCUGCUGUGAUGAUGAUGUCAAAGUUCCCAGACCUGCCGAGGGUUGCCACUUCAGAGAAGAAGGAAUACCCAGUGGAUCCAUCCCUGCCGGAUAUCAAGAACAGCAUCUAUGCUUCUGACGAGUUCCGCAUGUACUCCUUCAAGAUCAGGCCGUGCUCCCGGGCGUACUCGCAUGACUGGACCGAGUGCCCCUUUGUGCACCCUGGGGAGAACGCCCGGCGCCGCGAUCCGCGCAAGUAUCACUACAGUUGUGUUCCAUGCCCUGAUUUCAGAAAAGGUGUGUGCCGGCGUGGAGACAUGUGUGAGUAUGCUCAUGGGGUGUUUGAGUGCUGGCUCCACCCAGCGCAAUACCGCACUCGCCUCUGCAAGGAUGGCACCGGCUGCAAUCGCCGCGUCUGUUUCUUCGCGCACACCACCGAUGAGCUCCGCCCGCUGUAUGUCUCCACUGGGUCUGCAGUGCCAUCCCCUAGGGCCUCAGCAACGGCUGCAAUGGAGAUGGCGGCAGCAAUGGGCUUGAUGCCUGGUUCUCCGUCAUCGGUUUCGGCAGUCAUGUCCCCGUUUACCCCACCGAGGUCUCCUUCUGGCAAUGGGAUGCCCCCUUCUCUGGGCUGGCAGCAACCAAAUGUUCCGACGCUACACCUUCCGGGCAGCAGCCUUCAGUCGAGCAGACUCCGAAGCUCACUUAAUGCAAGGGAUAUGCAUAUGGAUGACUACUCCCUGUUGCAGGAUAUUGAUUCCCAGCUUAUAAACGAUCUGUGCUACUCGCGUCUUGGUUCAUCAGCAGGAGGGAACCACAGUUCUCGGACCAAGAGUCUGAACCCUUCAAACCUGGAUGAUCUCUUCUCUGCUGAGAUGGUCUCGUCCCCGAGGUACAACAAUGCUGAUCAAGGUGCUAUGUUUUCACCUUCCCAGAAGGCUGCUAUCCUUAAUCAGUUCCAGCAACAGCAGCAACUUCUUUCACCAAUCAACACAGGGUUCUCACCAAAGGCUGUGGACAACCAGCAGUUGCAUUCACGCUCAUCUCUACUGCAAGCAUCACUUGGGAUAUCCUCCCCUGGCCGGAUGUCCCCCCGAUGCGUCGAAUCUGGGUCGCCAAUGAACUCCCACCUAGCUGCCGCCCUUGCCCAGCGUGAGAAGCAACAGCAGCAGCAGCAGCAACAGCACCAGCAGACAAUGAGGAGCCUCAGUUCUCGCGAUCUCGGGCCCAGUGCUGCAAGAGCAUCGGCUGCUGUUGGCUCUCCUCUGAGCUCAUCAUGGUCCAAGUGGGGAUCUCCUUCAGGAGCUCCGGAUUGGGGCGUCAACGGUGAAGAACUGGGUAAGCUUCGCCGGUCAUCUUCCUUUGAGCUGAGAUCAGGCGGCGACGACCCAGAUCUCUCCUGGGUGCACACACUGGUUAAGGAGUCUCCACCAGAGAAGCAAGCCACCACAGCUGAAUCCAUCAACAACUCUGUCAGACCUUCACCUCAAAUGCAUCCCGGUGUAAGUAAUGGUGAAGGCUCCGGUGCGAGCACGCAGCUGAACCGACACGACCAAGCCGCAGUCAUUGGAGCGCUGCUCGAGCAGAUGCAGCUUGACGAGCAGAUCGGUAGUCUAGCAACAUAGACGAACAACCAACCGAGCCCGGUGGCUGGUGCGAGAAGAAGUUACCAUUUGUUAGCUAAAGAAGAAUUGCAAGUAUUUUUUUGAUUUUCUGUUCAUUGAGGUGGUCAGUCAACAAGCCAAAAGGAUGGAUGAAUAGCUGAAGGCGGUGAUUCAGGGAUUGGUUUUCGUUAAAUUUUUGGGAGGUAAAAAUCAAUACACAACUAUUGAGUUUCCAUUUCCAGUAGGUUAAAUUAAAAGAGUGGAGUUACCUCAGUCGGGGCCGAACGGAGGUAGGGAGAAUCGCACCCCGGCAGCUUCAGUUCAUCAGCCAAAAAGAUUUAUUAGUUGUCUAUUCUGUCAAUUAACCCUGUUAUAUUAAAACUUUAAAAAAGAAGGCUCAUGUGCCAUGCCAGAAUUCUUUCCUUUUUUUUUCACCUUGGUGGUUGUUGUUUAUUUUGUUCAUUGUUGUGAAAUGGAUGCUUGAUGUACUGAUGGGGGUAUAAAUGGUUACCCGGGCAUGCCAUAGUUCCAAGUCCCCAAAUAUGUUUUAAUUUUUUAAUUUUCUUCCUUCAACAUGAUUUGUGAGAGGAUUUUACACCAUGGCCUUGUUUCCGGUCCGAAGAUGAUGUUGAUUCCUCUAUUGUUCAUGGAUGAUAAUUGUAAUGAUGAUGAUGAUGAUGAUAAUGUGAAAUUGUUACCGAAUCCGUGUCGCUUUUUAAUUUUUUCGCCGUCUAAUCGAAUCUUGGUUAAUCUGAAGCGCUCCUGAAUUUCUUGUGACUGGUGGCCGAUGCAACCAGGGGCUCUGUUUCUUACUGGUGGAUGAUGGAAUUUCAGGGCUAGUGGGUGCACACGUGGUGGAGUCAGUUGUGGGUGCAUUUUUAUUGGCCAAGUGUGAGCGAGAUAAUGCGCGGGCUAGUCAGUGUGAAGAUCUUGAUUCGAAUUCCUGCCGGCAUUCGGAGGACGCGUAGCGGUGAUAUGAUUCUUAUUAUUGCGCCGGUUUUGACAGUAAGGUGGUUCUAGAUGUAGAAUAUUGUUUGGUACUUUUCCUCCAACGGGACGAGCGAAAACGAACCUCCUCAAAUGUAAUGUCCGGACGUGUUCGCGGAUAGCGAUGGUGGCGCCCUCUGGUGGCGCCGGCCUUCCACCAAAUAUCUGUCCCUCGGGUUCAAGCCUGAGUUCGUGCGUCUGGACUCCCCCAAACUUUUCGUAAGUUCGGGGCGGUUUGUAGUUGGUCUGAGGUUGAGUUAGCGUGUUCGGACUUCCCCAAACCUUCUCUAAGUUUGGGGAACAUUUGUAGGGUUUCAUACGUCCAGGCUAUUUUACAGAUAUUUAAUGACUGCCGGUGGAUGGAAAAUGUCUGAACUUGUCGGUUCAGAUUUGAUGAAUCCCCUUUCCAUUGAUCCCUUUCCCCAAAACUAAGGGCCUGUUUGGGACUGGUCCGCUUCAUGAAAAUCGGUUUCGCUCCACUAAAUUCAGUUUAGAGCAGUUUCAUUCAAAAGUUGCAGUACUACCAAGAGAAUGUUUGGCUUCCAUCUAGCUCCAGCUUCAAGAAUGGAAAAUUUGGUGGAAAGGAUCUAUUUGAUUGGUUGAGGGGGAGAAACGAAGGAGUAUCACUUAAUGAUGAAGAAGAGCUUCAUAAAAAACUAAGAGUUGUACACCAGAUUUUAGUUUUUCUUACGGAGCCGCAUAUCAUGCAGCUAUCCGUUUGGCUUUAAUCUUUUGAAGCGGAGUUAAAUUUUAAGAAGCAGAGCAGUCCCAAACAAGCUCUAAGUAAUGUGUCGAUUUCCACUCCUAGUCGCAACCUCAUGGAUUGAAGCAUUGAUUCGACAUUGGCACUCCGGGGUCUCCAUCAUUCCAUCAAGACCAUCCUAGACCAGUACAGGCAUAACGUGCACAAGCCAGAAGCAUGGUAUAGGGUGAUGACAGAUGACAAGAUUAUUAUUUCUGAAAUGAAGGCAAAAGUUUUGCCUCAUCGAUUAAUUAAGAAGAAAAAAAUUACCCAGUUAACUUAUGAAAAACCAGGCAAAAACCAAUGAUGGGCAGAAAUGGCCGCGUUUCAACCUUCGUUUUCAAGUUUCAGCACCUUGAUGGCGUGACCCUUUUGCUUGUGUGAGCAAGUUCAAUGAACAAUUAGGAAAUUAAAAUUGCUCCAAGACUCAUAGCCAUGCUUCCACAAUCAGCAGGUGCAAAAAGAUCAAACGUAAUACACACCAGCCUUCAGGAACUAGUUCACAAAUAGAAUCGAUUAACGAUAAAAGAAUCAACUAUUACCACGAACAAGAAUCUAUCACCACUCCAGCAGUAAGUUAAACUAAUACAAUUCAACCCCAUCUCAAGUCAAAUCCAAAGAAUAAAAAUAUGAAGUCCUAUAAGUUCACAAACACAAACUGCUGCAGAUCGAAAGUAAGAGACGAACACUCCAAGCUAAUCUCUGGUUGAAACCAAGUAUGGUACAAAACAGGGCGUUAGUUAAAAGUUACCAAAAUCAAUCGAGACAUCACUGACGACAUUCAUUUGUAGUCCGUAAUCACUUGGAAGCCCAUUUACAAAAAAUGCCACCGCUUGUUCUUUUUUGCGAGCCUGGUGGACAUUAGAUUUCUUCUGGUCCUGGAGAACACCGCUGAUCGGCAGACGACUUACUCCCUCUUUCUGGAUUUCUGAAUCUUGACAUAAGGCAAGAAUCCAAAGAGGUGGAUGAUGCGCGGCUCCCACCCACGCUGCUGAGCUCGGCAGAACAUCAAGAAUGUGUUUGCAAAGUACGAGUUGAAGCCCAUAAGCACAUGCCACCAUGCGUGUCCCUGCGGGUUGAUGACCCAGAGCGAGAGCUUCUUACAGAAGAUGCGAUCAACUAGCCAGCAAACUGUCGCCAGGAAUAUGGUAAGAACCCACAGCUUCGCGAGCCUCUUGGCAGCCAAGUCUUUCGUCUGAAUGUAGUACUUGUACAUCCGCGGGAUGCAGAGAAGGCAGAGGCCAAUGUAGUGCAACUUGAAUACUACUUGGAAUCGCACGAAGAAGUGAACUACAGCAAAUGCAGCACCGUAUAGAACAAGGAAAGUAGGCAUGGUGCUCCUGUAAUGCCAGUCUGGUGAAUAAAGGACAUACAGAUAUAGGAGGAUUUCCCACACCAUUGGAGUCUCGUCACUCUGCUGUAAGCUGGGAAACAAAAUAUGGCCAACACAAAUCAAUAUAUUGCAUACAGUAAAGCAAAACUGAAAGAAAUAAUAUGAAGAAUUUGGUUGAAGUUAGACAUGCUGAAACUGAGAAGCACACUAAGAAAUGCCUGUGAUGAUCCAUGAGGCCUCAAAUGCACAGCCUUUACUCAAAUAGAUUAAGAGAGAGAAUGAUUUUUAACUUGCACAUCAUGGUCUUAAUUACAGGAAUGCAUCCACUCUACACAGGACUUGAAACAAUUCACCGAUUGUGUUUGAUGUAAUGGAUAUGGUAUUUAUAAUUCAGAGUACAUGCAGCACAGACAGUUGUUAAGGAGGUAAGUGGUAACUAAUGAUGAGCAUCACAUGACCACCAAAACAUGCAGGUUGCUUUAUUCGGGAGACUUCUAACUUACUAAUUUGCCAACCAAAGGACCAACAGGAGCGGCAAAUAGUGAGCGCCUGUAACUACUGAAAUUUUUUCAUAAGCAUAAGAAAACCAUUUAACUCAAGACACCAUUUCAGCAAUGAACAGCUGCACCGGUUGCUGAUGGUCAGCCAGGGCAUAAGUACAACGAUGCCCAAUUUUUAAUUCAAAAUCUUCCAAAUAAAUCAUUCGUUGUUGGGGUGCGCAAGUGCAUAUCCACUCAUCAGUGCAUCACACAUCAAAUAAGCAUAGAAUUUUGAAAGCAAGACUCGAUGGAGAAAAGAAUCUAAAGUGACUUGUAAUUUAUUAAUGCGACCUUCUGUACAAAAGUUUUCAACCUAUGAAGACGAUCCUGUUUUGUUUGUAGUUUGCCUGUAUUUUUGUAACUUCUCAGAGUAAGGCAAUUUUGAAAUUAUUAAAGGGAGCAUUCACCAAAAAUUUACAAGGUGUUCUAACAGAAUCACAUAGAAGUAACAAAGAAUGUAUUGUUUAUAGCUUUUGGCUUUGUGCAAUGGAUAAUAACAACACUGUUGUAAGCAAUAGUCAGCUAUUUCCAUGCAAAAACACCGGAAGUAAAAUGCACUUCUUUGAAUUUCCCCAGCAGUGAGAUCAAAGAAAAGUUCAGGUCAAUAACGGCAAGAUAACAAUCACAAUAGCAGGGCGCAAUAUAUCAUAGUACUAAUACAAACUUAACACAAAUUCAUAUUGACAAAAUAUCUUCUGCAAAUGAUUCAAAUGGUAGUAAAUAUAGGUUCAUCAAGGCGCAUUUAUUUUCUGUUAUCAGAUACUCUAAAUCAAAUGCAAGCUCGCGUCGCUAAAUGUAAAAGGUGUGUCCUGGGUAGUGUCUGAGAGAUAGUGCCUACCAAACUCAGAUCUACAAAAUAUCGAUAUGUUCUCUGUAUUUCAAUAAUUUAUAGUCGCCAAUACCACAUACUACGCUGUAACCAUUGUAGACAGAAAAUCAGCCAAAAAGAUGAUGAAAAUGGUCACGGGGAAGCAAGAAACCACCUCCAAGCAAAUUAACAACUGGCGUUGUAGAGUCUUUUUUCCCUCAAAAUGGUAGGGAGCAUGAAAUUUAACUUUGAUGUUUUGAAGCAAAGCCAUAAUAACUAGUAAAAAAGAAAGAGGAAAUUACCCUAGUUUCUACGACAUGAGAUAAAAUGCUGUAACCAAAACCCAUCCAAUCAUUGUGAGCACAAUUGCAAGAUGCGCGUAGUAGGAAUGAACAACAUUCAACGAGCAAGAGGGCUAACUCCCAGAAUUGCAUGAUUACAAUUAACACCAACCGAGAAUACCAGUACAGUUAACUAAAAAACUUACACAUGUUGCAAGGUUGCAUGGAAGAUGAUACUCCCAAUAGAAAGUAUCAUAUUGGAUAUGUGCAGGACGCUGAAGCGCUUCUCGAAACGCUGGCGGAGAGCAUUCACGAGCCCAAUAAGCGCCAAAAGAAUGCAAGGGGCAUUAGAGAGAGUAUUGUAGAACUCUGCGAUGUAUGACGAGCGCGCAUAGUUCUCCUCGCACAGCUCGGUGGUUGAUGUAACCGGCCCCCAGAAGCUUGCCACCAUCGAAUCCGCCAUGGAAUCAGCCAUGCUGAGCUCUUGAUUUGGUGUGCUAUCAAGAGGCUAUGUCACAGCGUGUCGGAGGGCAGCAAACCAAAGACCUGCAGAAAUGAAACGUAAAUCUGUUAAGACCCAUGGAGUGCUGGUGGUAGUUAAUCAUACUCCAGCGUGUACGGGAUGUCUGGAGCGUACAGCAGGUAAAAAAAGUCGUUAAAAGAUAAUUGACGUUUCCAUCAUCUACCCUAUUCAUCCAUAAAAGGCAAGGGUGAUUUUUCCAGUAAUGCAGUGACGACAUAAUAAAGGCGCAACACCCCUUGGCACAAACAAUCCGAGUCUCCAUCAUGGAAGGCUCGCACACAGCAAGCAGAAUUACACAAGUAACUCCUACUCAGUGAGGGCUGGGAAGAAACCCUAACAAUUAAAACACUCUUACAAGUUACAACCACUGCCUUGCUUGACAGAAAGGCGCUCUUAUAACAGAAUCCAGCGGCACUAGCAGAUCCCAUCAGAGGUACGCACAGAUUCGCCGCAUGGUGCGGAAUCCGGCAUCGAUCGAUUCCCAGUCCCCCCGACCAGCCCCACGGCACGAGCAAACGUCUACCGGACCCCCGCAGAUCUGCUGGUCAAACCCGAACCAGCAGAAUCGCGGAGCAACCCAACCCCCUUACAGCGGCGAUUAGGGGUAAGACUAGGUUCGAUCCCUCUCCUCUGCACUCACUCGCGGGAAACGCGCGCCCCGCCGUUCGCCGAGAAACCCAGAUCGACGGGGCGGAACCGGGCGGCCCGGCCGGUGGGCGCGGGGGCGGAUCGGGGAGAGCCCGCGGCUAGGCUAGGGAAGGGCUUUGAUCGGAGGGGGCGAAGGGGAGGGGAGGGGGAGGGGGAUCGGAGGGGGGCGGUCGGUUACCUCGGGGCGGGCGCCGCGGUGUGCCGUGCCGUGGUGUGCGCGCUAGGGCAUGGAGGAGGACGGCGAGGUCCGUGGGGGGGCGCUCGCUCCGCUUUUGUUCGCUUGGCUCGCUCGAUCGAUCCGUCGCUGUCUUCCUUUCUUUUUUUCCUUUUUCCUUUUCCUUUUAACUUUUCUCCACGCGUCUUUUCCUCGGUGUUCGUUCGUUGGAAUUAAAAAAAAACAAAAGGAAAACCGCCGUGGGCCUUCCGUCGGCGUGGUGCGCGGGCCUAGCGCGUGGGGCCGGUGGGCUUGACGGGUGGGAGGGGGCGAGUGUCGUCGGCCGGCCUUCCGCGGUGGCUCGUACGGCGGUACACGCGUCCGGCCGUGUAUACACCCCUAGCUAGCAAGUUGUGUUCUUGUGAGGAGAAGAAUAUGCAUACAGGGACCAUUUCCCCUGGUGAUCCCGUCGCCUAGCCAUUACUGCCCACAGCGUGCCGCAUUAUUGAAUCAGAAUAUCUUGUAGUAGUAGAGUGUAUCUAAAUAAUAUGCCUAUUUUUUUUUUUGAAAAAACUUCAAAUCUAUUCAUCUUCAAUCAUGGCAGUACAACGAACACCAGAAAUAAUAAAAAAAAUCAUCCAGAUCCGUAGACCACCUAGCGACGACUAUAAGCACAUUGACAGUGGUCCGAUCGAAAAUUGUGUGAGCGCAUGAGUUGUGAGAUGUGCUCAACACUUGAAGCGGAAAUCUACAGCAUGCUCCGUAUUUCUGUGUUAAAAGAUGGCGUCGUGUGAAGUUCGAUCUGGAUAUCUUCUCUUUUUUACACAUUACAUUUUUGCCACACGCUUUGUAAGUUUUUUCUUUUGCGAGUGUUUUGUAAGAUUACUGUUUAUAAAAAUAUAAACAGACAGCAUACACACUUGUUUUUCAUUAGUUCAUUUUAUGUUUCCAGACACCGCCGUAUACAUUUGUUUUAACACGGUUCCUGCGGCAAUUCAGUUGGCACGUGAGACACCUUGUCAUCUGGAGAAACCUAAUUUUACGGGCAUCGCAUCGCCGACAUGUGAUUAUUGUUGCUGAUUAUGACUUGCUAGAGGUGUUGGCUCAUUUUUGCGGCUUAACAUUAUCACAAAUUUUUAUAUGGCGCAGGUGGACGUGGACCAUUUUCCCAGUGAUAUGUCAGCCUCACCUUGUCACAUUAUUAUUUGGAUUAUGUCGUAGCAUUUUCCCAAAAAGACAAGUGAGGUUACAUCUUAGAUCUUGUAUAUCAAAAACACUGUAAACAUGUGGUCCAUGUGCAAGACGCUUUUCGCCAAGGAACCUAAUUUAGCUGGCCUCACCGACAUAUAAUUUUCUUUUCUGAUAAUGACUUUUUUCCUUUCUUGAUAACGACUCAUUAGAAGAGCCAAUUCAUUUUGUGGGCUUCACAUUCUGGCACCAUAAUUAUGUAAUAUAUUUUUCCUUGAAAACAACUCAUAAGAGUAGUUGCGAUCAUCGAUGAGUUUAUGGGUUCACUGCUCUUCUUGGUGAAUCUACUAUAUCAAAAUAGAAGCCCCCGGGGCCCCCACUACAUGAUUUCCCUGCCCUCACAAUCUGCCACGUCGCCACAAUUUAGUUCAUUCGUUUGAUUAAUCAAAGAUGGCCACAAAUUAGUUGUAAAUUUGCAUCAGUGUAUCCAUGCAUGGCUUUUUGGGGAAAUCGGUUCAUGCAUGUCGAUCACAAUUGUUUGUGUUCAUUUUUUUGUACGACAUCACGUUAUGUUCGAUUACCAACGGUGUGUAUACAUCACAAUUUGUAUUUGGUAGAGAAGAAUGGGCAGGUACCAUUUCGUGCAGUGAUCCCGUCGUCUAGCUAUUACCAACGGUGUGCCGCAUUACCAACUCGGAAUAUUUCUCAAACAAGUGAGGAUGAAAUGUUGGAAAUCUAAUUUUCCGGGCAUCGUCGACAAGUGAUUCUCUUUCUCGAUAAUGACUUGCUAGAGGCGUCGGCUCAUUUUGUGAGCUUCAAGUUAUCACAGAUUGUAUUUGGCACAUGCAGACAGGGACCAUUUUCCUAGUGAUAUGUCAAUUUCACUAUGUCGCAUUAUUACUUGGAUUAUGUCGGAGUAUUUUUCCCAAAAGGACAAGUGAGGUUACAUCGUGGAUCUUGUGUCAGAGCACUGAAAACAUGGGUUACAUGGGCAAGUAACUUGUCACCAAGAACAUAAUUCAGCAGGCCUCGCCGAUAUGUGACUUAUUACCUCCGUUCAGGAAUAACUGAUGUGGUAUUAGUUAAAAUUUAAACUAAAAUCCCUCAAACAAAUUGAACUAAAACCGCAUCAAUUGUUUUUGAUUGGAGGGAGAUAACAACUUGUUAGAUGGGUCGAUUCAUUUUGUGGGUUUCAUGUAAUACAAGAAACAAUCACGCGCUUUGUCGCGCCGUUCUUCAUCAUGGUGUAUUACUUUUUUUAAAAGUCAAACCUCUUUAAGUUUGAUCAAAUUUGUAGAGAAAUAUAUCAAAGUUCAUAAUAUCAAAUCGGCGUUAUUAGAUCCAUCAUGAAAUGAAUUUUCAUAUUUUUUUAUUUAAUAUUAUGGAUGUCGAUAAUUUUGGCUCCGAACUUGGUCGAAAGUAAAGAAAUUUAACUUGCCAAAGAACUACUAACCCUUAUAUUUUGAAAUUGAUGGAGUAUUUUGUUUGGUCGGUGAGGGAGACGAUGGGUGUGUUUUAUGUUUAUUUAUAAUGCGAUUAUUUGGUAGACCUUUCGCAGUGUGAUUCUGUGUUAUCCGCUAAUCAUCCCAUAUUUAUGUGGGGAUAUUUUUUAAUCAUUGGUUGCAUGUAAUAUGUUCGUGCUAUAGUAUCACAUGGUGGUGCUUUUUUCUGGGUGAUACGAGUCUGCGAGGGGUUGAUAUGUUUUUAUAGGCCGGUUGCUGCUGAUUGAUUUGAAAAAUCAUUGGCCCGAUCAAAAUCGUAAACCAAAUCUAAAAUUGAAUACCUCAAUCAAAUGAAAGAGCUUUAAAAUUAAGGAACAUAGAUAAUUAAUAUAAUUAAAUGAGAGAUCUCCUUAAGAAAUUGUUGGCCAGGUCAAAAUCGGGUGACCCAAUUCUAAAUUGAAGCCUUGAUUAAUUAUGAAGAUUUAAAAAUUAGGAAGCAUACUAUAUUGUAUACAAAAUUAAAUGAGAGUUUUGAAAAAUUGUUUACCUAGUCAAAAUCGGGUGACCAAAUUUCAAUUGAAGACCUCAAUUGAUUGUGGGGCUUUCAAUCCUAAAGAGCUAAUAUGUACUGUUACUCAAAAAAUAGAGCCCCAACAGCGCAAAACUUAUCACUGUCAGGCUGCAGAUUUUUUUUAGUAACAGCGCGAUAGGACGCUUAUAGCGUCCAGUAGCACUGCACCGUCCGCAACCUAUAUAUUGGGACGGCCCAUCAGCAUAGGUUGGUCAGAUGUUGUUUUUUUUACUUGUGUUUAUUUUUCUUCACUUUUAUUUGCUUUCAAGAAAUGACUACACAUUUGAAAAAUGUUCAUGUGGUUAUAAACUGUGCUCACGUAUUUAUUUUUUUGAAUGUUCAGGCAUUUAAAUAUUCACAUAUUUGAAAAAAAAUGAAUUUUAAAACUUGAUCAUGAGAUUUAAAAAAUGUUCAUGCAUGCUUUGAUAAGAAAUGUUCGUGUAUUUCUCCAAAACAAUUGUGUCUGUGUGCGCGCGACGUGUGUUGUUUAACAAUAUUUCAUAAAAUAAAAAAGAAAAUGAUGAAGCAAAAAAAAUGUAGAAUGAAGUUAAAAGAGAGAGAGAAUGAAUCAAGUGAUUUUAUUGAUAUGAAGGGUAUAUAUCCAUAUUGAGGGGUUGCUUCAAGACAUGGCAGUAUAUGUUUUAUUUUUCGAAAAAACUUCCAAUCUAUUCAUCUUCAAUCAUGGCAGUACAACGAAUACCAGAAAUAAAAAUUACAUCCAGAUUCGUAGAACACCUAGCGACGAGUACAAGCACCGAAGCGAGCCGAAGGCGCGCCGCCAUCAUCGCCCCUCCAUUGCCGGAGCCGGACACAACUUGUUGUAGUAGACAGUCGGGAAGUCGUCGUGCUAAGGCCCCAUACCAGCACCCCAGAACAGCAACCGCCGCCGAUAAAAAAUAACGUAGAUCGGAAGGAUCCAGACCGAAGACACACGAACAUAGACGAACAACGAUGAGAUCCGAGCAAAUCCACCAAAGAUAAAUCUGCCGGAGACACACCUCCACACGCCCACCAACGAUUCUAGACGCACCGCCGAAACGGCGGCUAGGAGGGGAGACCUUUAUUCCAUCUUCAGGAAGCCACCGCCGUCUCGUCUUCCUGAGUAGGACACAAACCCUAACAAGAUUGAAAAAACGACUGAAAAAGGGAGCCCUCCUGCUGGCCCUUGCCAGGAUCCACCGCGCCUCCAUGGCCCUAGGGCCACCGGAGAUGAGGCGGACCUGCGCCAGCGCCGGCGAGAGGCACGAACCCUAACUUUCUUUCUUGGAGGAGGAGGAGGCGGAGCCCUAACGCAUCUCGACAUGGCAGUAUAUGUUAGGUGAGAAAGAAUGCGACUAUUUGGGUUGAACACACCCCCUUUACUAAUGACGUUCGUUAACAAUAUGUAUUCAUAAGCAUAAGCUAUUUAGAUCUAACAUUUUUCUUUAUUGCAUCAGAUUUGCCUGCCUCCAUUGUUUGGGCAUUUUGCUAUUGGCUUUUUUGGCGGCCUUGUUGUUUAUUGGCUACACGUAUCUUUUUGGCGUCCUUGUUGUUUAUCGGCUAGACGUAUCUCUUUUUUUGGUGGUGAAGUUACAUAGCUGGAUCUGAUGUCAAGAGAUGGUGAAAGUACUAUACGUAGCUGGACUGCUGUCUUUGGGGAAGUGCUAGACGCAAGCUACACGAACACAAGGGCCACACUAUGACAUGCCGACAGCAUAGGCCCUCCCGUCUGCAAGACUCAUGGCCCACUAGAUAGCUUUAUUUUAAGAAAGCUUGUUAUUUUUAGAGAUGUUUCUUCUUGAAAGCACCUCAUAAGAGUAAUUGUGAUCCUCGAUGAGUUUAUGCAUUCUCUACUCUUUGUGGUGAAUUUAGUAAAUUUCAAGUUAUACAUAUAAACAAAACUGCAAAUAUCUAGAGAAAUGUGAAGUGUGAGGUAUCUCUCUCAAUACUGGCCUGCCAUGUACUUCCCGUGGGCAACACCCAAACGCCAAACCUUAACCACUACUACAUCGAUCUCAUGUACUCUCGUGGUAGUUGUGAGUAGGGACGAAGCUAGAAAUUUUUUUUAGCAGGAUCAUGUUUAUGAUAGUGGGGUCAUCAUCUAUAAAUGAAUAAUGAUUAGUACUAAAUUAGUGAAGGAUUUGCUAAUUUGAUUGGGUCAAUUGACCCCAUUGCUUACAAGGAAGAUCCGUCCAUGGUUGUGGGUUGUGGGAUGCACGAUAGACUCCAAAGGACACACAUGCAUCAUUCCUAAUUUGAAGGAUUGGCCUUGAAAAGAAUUAUCGAGGUUGUGUUCACCAUUGAAUGAGUCAGUCAAAGGCAACACGCUAAUAUCAUCUUCUUCGUGAAAAAAUUAUGAGAUUAAAGUUCCAAAGAAAUAAAAGCAAGAAACUUUAGAGCGUUGAUGGAGGUUGGAAGCAAUAGGAAGAAAAAUGGACCGGGAUCCAUAGGUUCACUAGUGGCUUCUCUCCAAAAGAAAUAGCAAAGUGUGAUGAACAAAUACAGUUGUGCAUCCAUUAAAUUGCAGUUUUUAUGAGUAUGGUUAUACAUGCUAUAGUUGGAUUUGACCAUCACGUCCAAACAUCUAUGAACCAUCAUCCUACUACAUCUAUAGCUAAUACUCCAUCCCAAGACCAUUAUCUAACAUCCAUCUCAAAGUAUUAAGUUAAAGAAACAGAUUAUUGCAUUAAGUAUGAUGACACGAAGUGAUACAUUGUCUUCACCCUGCGUUCAAAAGGACAACUACACAAUCAUAUUUUUUAUCCGUAAUGGCAACAAUAAAAUACAAUGCAAGCCUUUUCCACUUUCUAUCACUGCAGUAGAUUGCUUACAAGAUUGAACCCAACUAACAUACACAACUUCCUUUUGGAGACCAUCCAUCAAACUUGGCCAAAGAAAGAUAAAUAGAUCGGUGAGCAUAUCUGAGUAAGAAUUCUGCAGCAAAGAAACCAAAUUGAUCUCAAAAGAAUUAAUGGAUAGAUCUGGUCAUACAGUGACAAAUCAUCACAUGGCAACAAUGCAUCAACAAAUUACAUUGAAUGGACCACAAUCAUGUACGGCAGCUCAUGUGAUACUUGUAUUGAGAAGCAACUGAGAAAAAACCAACUAGUUAUUGAUAUGGAUCCAUAGUCCAGAGAAAACUACUCAGGAGUGAUCAUGGUGGCCUUCAAGUUGAUGUAGAUGGACAUUGAGAUGAUUUCCUUCUCCGACAGAGCACCGGAAAAGGCUUCUAGAUUGGAUCACUUCGAAACAGAGAGGUGUGGUUGUGGAAACAGAAAGACUCCUCAAUGUAUAGGGGUUUUGGAGCAAACAAAAAAUAUACGUUUUCAUAGCCACAGGGGGACCACGUGGUUGUACCAUGCGGCCACCUUGGUUGUGUGGGGUCCUAGAUGGGACCUAGGUCCUCCGGAAGCUUCUCGUUGAAAAAUAUUUUCUAGAGUUUUUUAAGGAUUUUUGGAGCUAUAUAAAAUAGAUGUUCAUGAAAGUCCAAAAACAUGUAGAAAAUAACAACUGACACUCGGCACCGAGUUAAUAGGUUAGUCUAGAAAAAUAAUAAAAGUUGAUGCCAAAUUAUGCCAAAAUGCUACAAACCUAGCGUGAAACAAUAAAAAAUAUAUACAUAUAUGAGACGUAUCAGCAUCACCAGGUUGAAUCCAUACUUGUCCUCGAGUAGAUAGAUGAUAACAACAUAAAUUUUGAUUGUAAAUGCUACGAACAUGAAUUAUAAUCAAUAUGAUGUAAUUUAGGUAUCACUGUAAAGAACAACGAUGCUAUGCAAUAUUUUGUAGUUGCUAAAAAAGAUAACAUCAAAAAGUACAAGUAAAAACACUCGCUUUUCAUGGAUCAAUGCUUUCAUAUCAAAUUCACUAAUGCCUUUUAGGUUUAGAUACAAUGUUAGGUGUAUCAUGAAACCAUAGUAUGCUAAGUCUUAAUUGUAUCAGAAACAAUUUUACCAUAAAGUGUCCAGAGUAUUGGUCAAGCACAUCAACUACGCAAUCUCUUGUUUCAAUUAAUCUAGAGUUAUGCAUUUUCUAGGGCGAGCCUUAAUCUUUACACUUAAACGGAAAAGGGAAUAAUCAUGUAGGUUAAUAAGAAGUCAAAAAGAAAAAAAGUAUGGCAUCAACGCAACUGAUCUUUAGGUUAUGGAGAAGCCAUAAGCGAUGUUGAUGCACGGAAUAGCGAUUGUCAUGCAACAGAUCCACUAAAGCUAUGAAUAUAUGAAAGCUCUCCAAAUGAAUUAGUGAAUAUGUGGAUCAAACUUCGCUUGUUUAUAAACACCUAAAGCGUUUGAGAAAGCUCAUCCAACAUCGCUGGUUCUACAGUGAAAAAUUAUCAACUAAUAUGUAAACAUGAAGAAUAUGAAAUGCAAUGGUGCUAGUUUGAAUAAUAUGCAUGAAGCGUAUGAAAUGCAAUGCUGGUAAUUUAAAGCACUAAGGGCAUCUCCAACGCUGACCCUCAAACCGCAUGCAAUCGUCCGGACUGCGUGAUCCGGGCUUGUAUCAUUCCACACAGCGGUUCGGACAUGCUUUCUCCCGCAAAGUAGAGCCAAGUGGGGGGGGGGGUUGCGGGAGUUCAGACAGCAGCCACGUAGGACUCCGGCAACUGGGGCCCACUAAACUCGCCCCCUCCCGGUCCCAUUUCCUUCCACUCUACCCCUUCCCGCCCAUACUUUGCAUCCACGCCCUCAUCUCUGUCACCGCCCUUGUACCUCUUCGGCCGUCACAGAGGCAUUGCCGGACGUCCGCAACCAGCAGUGACGCGCCUGCUCGCCUUUACGACGGUGUUGUCCAUCCUAGAGCCGUUUGUACCCAGGUACACUCCCCCGAUCGACGACCUCGAUGCCGGACACCACGCCCGAAUAGGUGUUAGAUCAAAUGCCAUUUAGCUUAAUUUCGGAUGCCAUGUCAUUCUUUCAGAGUACGAAGGUUGGCGGGGUACUCGACCAUGGAGGAUGAGCUGUUGUGUGAUGCGUGGUUGGUCGUAUCCAUCAAUUUUGUAGGCAUGAGUAGGGGAGGACCUUUUGGCAGCAAGUGCAUGAAUCGUUUCACGCGCAAAAACACAUUGCUCCCUACGACAUGCACAUAAUUCAAGAAUGCAAUGUAAGGUUGUUAUCGUAUCACUAGUACGUUAUCCAGACCGGCGUCAUCAAGUUUUGUCACGUGGUUGGUCAGCUGGAGGCAAGGUGACCAUUGCACGCAGCAGAGAAGGAGAUCGUAAGUUUUGCUUCUUCUUGCUCGACUUGUUUAAAUCAUUCAUGUUGAGUAACGUGAUUGUAUUAUGAAACAUAGGUUAGACUAGGAAAUAUUCUCGCUUGCCUUGUACUCCAAGUAGAUCAUGUACUCCUAUAUAUAUGCCCACGAGGCUCAAGCAAUACAAAAAAAACUAUUUCCAUCAAUCCCCCUCUCUCCUUUUAACAUGGUAUUUAUCGCAAGUCGAUCCUAAACCCUAGCCGCCGCCACUUCCGCACUUGCGCGCUGCCCCCGGGGCGGUCGGCCUCCAUGACCGCCGCCGGGGGCAGGCCGACCGCCGGGGGCCGCGCCGCCCGUACCUAGGGUUUGUCCGCCAGUAGUGUUGACCGUCUGCCCUAGAGAGUCUUUUUCCCGAGCCCUUGCUCCGGAUUUUUUCGCUCUCUCGCCGUUCGUUUUGAUCGGCGUUUUUCUUUUUGGUUUUUCGAUCUAUGCUUGAUCGGUUAGCGUCGCCCGCCGCCGCCGUCGACACCGAGCGUCUCUACUUCGACCCCGGCGCGACCAGCCGGCCUCUCCUCCGACCCGACAGCCACGCGCGCCGAGGCGACCCGUCAGGGCCAGCCGUCUUCCGCGCGUUGGUCCGCCCGUCGCCCUGCGCCGGCCGUCACCGCCCUGCUCCGACCGGGGCACCUGCAUUGCCUCGAUCCGACAGCCACGCGCCAUGCGACGACCAAUCAUAGUCGUCGCUCGCGCGUCGGCUCGCCCAUCGAUCCACAUCACCCGCCUCCGCCGCGUCUGCACAGCGGCCCGGCGGUCUACCUCGUCGGCCUCGUCCUUGGUUGCGUUAGGCUAGUCGACUGCCUCAACUCGGGCGCCGCUGCUCCGUUGGUCGCUCAGGCCUCGCUGCCCGGGCGCCGGCGUUGCUUUGGCAGCCCGGGUGCCGGUGCUGACAAGCUCGUCCGCACAACGUCUCACGCCGUCCGUCGUCGCCGGCUUCAUCUCGAACUCCGCCGCCACCACACCUCCACCGAGCGGCGUCCCCGACCUCGCGCACGAUCGGCUUGAUCACCCGCUCGCCGUGGCGAUCCGCCUCAUCUACGUCGUGCGAACGACCUGGCCCGUCGGUUACGCGCGCCUCCACAGGUCCCGUGAAGAUCGUCCCCGAGUUCAGCGCGCCUCUCCACCGAUCGAGCAUUGGGUUGCCGCUGCGUCGCCCCGUCGGGCCGCAGCGCCGCCACCCCGUUGUUCUCCUCGCAGCUGCAUCGACCUGUGCGUCGCCGCUGCGUCGCCCCUUCGGGUCAUAGUGUCGCGAUAUGCGGUCCCCGCCGUCGCCCCGAGGCCGCCCCCACGGCUGCACCGACUCGCGAACCGCCGUUGCGCCGCCCCUUCGGGCCGCAGCAUUGCGACCCACGGUCCCCGUCACCGCCCCGAGGUCUUCCCGCCGUCGCCCCGACCCUCCUGCCGCCGCUGCGUCGCCCCUUCGGGCCGUCGCGCCGCGACCCGCGAUCCACUCCGCCGUCACCGCAUGUCGACCUCCCGUGGUAGCUCCGCGCCGUCUCCCUUGGCGCUGGAGCGCCACCGUCUGUGCCGGUCUUCGUUACGCUGUCAGGGUUCUUCGCCUACUUCGAGCACCGCCGCCGCACUCCUAGCCUAGCCGCCGCCACCGCCACUCUUCUUUGGCCGCCGCCGCCGCUACCUUCGUAGCCGCCCCGCUGCCCGUCCACCCCCUUCGGUCUUCGUCCAAGCACCAGCCCGUCGCCAGCGUCGCUGUCAUCUACCCCGACCACUUCUUCUACUCCGACCACCGUUGGUGACAUCGGCCCCGCGCCGAUGGGCGCCGCAAUCGUCGUCGAGUUCUUCUCUGCUGGCCCAUCCGACUUCUCCGACAUGGCAUACAGCUCGUGCAGGUCCCUCGUCUACGCAUGCCCGAUGCUGGCAACACCGAUGCGUGCCUUCAUCCACGACGUGUCCCCGGCAGGCCCGGUCCUGAUGGGGGGCUAGGGGGGGGGGGGCCGCCCCGGGCCCCCGAGACGGAAGGGGCCCCCAAGAUAAGUGUGCUUCUCUAAAUCAAGCCUGCAGUAAAAAAAAACGAUGUUGCACGUUCUGCCGUGCGUGGCCUGGCCCAAGUAGCAACUACUAGAUCGCUAUAAUUAAGCACACAACCAGGACUUCUGAAAUCUAGAGCGACGCAUCACUAGCCGCCAAUCACGCACGACGUUCGCGCCGACGACUUGCACGUAUCUGGCACCCGGCGCGAGACGGUCUAAUUGCUAUUUUCCUAAUCGCUUCAUUGCCUUACGACGCCGUCGCCUUGCCUGAUCGCAUCGCCAUCAGUUCACCUCCUUGCAGGCUAGGCGAAUAGGAUCGAUGAGGCCACAGGGACGUCCGGUGGCAGUCGGUAGUCUUCCGCUGUCCCCCGAGGCCACGUUAGGGCAUGUAAGAUGAUUGAUAAGGUAGUCUUAUCUUAAGUCUUACAUGUAAUUUAGAGAUGAUAAAAAAUAUUGUCUACAAUGGGUCAUCUCUUAGCCUUAUCUUCAAUGACUAGUCAUUCCUAAAAAUAUGGUGAUACAUAUUAUGCCAAAAGAUCAUUUCUUGUCUCUUAAAUAAGAAAAAAGACAAGCCUUCUCUUAUGAGUUUUCUCUCCUCCACGUCAUUAUUUAUCCUACGUGACACUGCUAAGAUAGCACCAUUGUACAUGCCCUUACAAAUGGCAAGGUUAGCCUAAUAGCCUAUAAGUGCCUUGAUGAUAUACAGAAAUUCAUACUAGAUGACAUCGAUAUUUCGUCUUUUUUAUUGUGACAGGACAAUGAUGAUGGACUGAUGGGACACUGUUGAGUGGUAUAUAUUAUUCAACUUGGUAUAUUUGCAUCUUGCGAGUUUGACUUUAUAUUCGGUAAGAAUUUUUUUAGAUAGCCCGCCACUCAUGUUGUAUGGUUAUGUUCUUUUGUAGCUUUUUACUAGUUCCGAAUUACCAGUUGUUCUUAAAUUUUGGCAUGUUUCAUCUAAUCUAUACAGUAUACAUCUUGCAAUUUUAUCCACUGAGAGGAAAUUACUGGAUGAGGAUUAAUUGGUAAUGAUGCAUCUCAGAAUCUUAUGAUUUUAAGGUAAUAUGUAUAAAUUGUUUGAUGCAAUAUUGAUGCAUUUGAAAUGUUUUCCAUAAUAUAUUAGCAUAUUGGCUAUUAUGUCAUCAUUAUAUUAAAGGGUCCCUAAUUUUAGUUUUGCCCCGGGCCCCCUAAAUGUCAGGACCGGCCCUGGUCCCCGGGCCUGGCAAGCCUGGUCGGCGCUUCGUCAACUUUGUCUUCGUCCAUCUACGCAUGCCCGGUGCUGGCAACACCGGUGCGUGCCUUCGUCCACGAUGUGUCCCCGGGCUUGGCAAACCCGCUGCGACGCGUCGUCAACACCAUCAUCCUUCCGGUGCACCACUACCUCGUCACCACUGCGCCCAUGACUAACUUGACGCCCUCUUACACCCGCGGCUCCACGGCGACUUCCUCGACACCGGGCCUGGCAAGCCUGGUCGGCGCACCCCGUCUCGACAUCGAUCAUGACAUUCUUCGCACGGCUACCUGGACCACGGCUCCACCACCCAUGCUCUUGGCUACAUCGACAAACGGCACAAAGGGCUACCGCCUGCUUGAGCAACCUCGUUGGUUUCCACUCCAGCCACAACUCCGUGAUGCGUCGACCGUUACGACUGUGGGGGAAGGUGUCCAUCGGCUUGCCUUCGGAUUCUUCUCCAGUCUUACCGUCUGCGUCGCUACCGUUGUGACUGUGGGGGAUGUUGAGUAACGUGAUUGUAUUAGGAAACAUAGGUUAGACUAGGAAAUAUUCUGGCUUGCCUUGUACUCCAAGUAGAUCAUGUACUCCUAUAUAUAUGCUCACGAGGCUCAAGCACUACAAAAAAAAAACUAUUUCCAUCAAUCCCCCUCUCUCCUUUUAACAAUUCAUUCACUUAAUGCUGGUCAACGCGUUCAUUUACUCAAUGCUGAUCUACACAUUAUGUAGCCCGCUCACGCUGAUGUGAUGUAUCACAUGACAGAGGGACGACCAUUUAAGUACACAUUGUUAGAUAAAUUGAAGGGGGCGUAUCUGUGGGACGACGUAACCUGUUGAUGAAGCUUAUUAGACAUCCGGUUAAGAAAUUGUUGUACUGGACUUAUUUGGAUGAUUGAUUUGUGCUAUUUUCUAUCCGAACCGGAUAAAUGUCAGCUGAUUUGCAUGAAUUUCAUCCGGCUGAAGUGUGUAUGCAGGCAAAUCUCAUCCCAAUUUCAUCCGGCUGAAGUGUGUAUGCAGACAGCGUUGAAUGCUGGAGUGUGUAUGCAGACAGCGUUGGAUGAAAUUGUAUCCAGCUGAACGAUCAGUAUCCGCAGACUAUCCCGGAGCAAAUUUACGGGUCAGCAGCCUUGGAUGCCUCGGAUAACGAUCAGUAUCCGCAGACUAUAUAUGCUAGAGCAAAUUUCAAUUUUACGGGUCACUGGCAUUGACUAUGGCAGAGCAAAUUUCCAGGUCAGCUAGAGCAAAUUUCAAAUUUACGGGUCAGUGGCGUUGACUAUGCCAGAGCAAAUUUACGGAUCAGUGGCGUUGGAUGGCUAAACGAUCGGUAUACGCAGACUAUGCCGAGCGUAUGCCCUAAUGUAUGAAAUGCAAAAAAGAAUUAGCGUUGGAGAUGCUGCAAAAAGUAGUACUGUGCCUCCUCUCUUCUCUCUUUGUGCCUCUUUCAUUCCUCACAAAGAUAGGAACAACACCGAACAAUACACCUUAGGCACGUGUGGUUUCUGUAUUCUCCUGAUCCAAUUUGUAUGCGCCCUAGAACACCAUUGUAGCUCCGCCAUUCACUCAAAAAAAAAACAGAAAGGGUGAAGCGGCCAGCAAGCCAUGGUGAUGUACAUUGUUGCCUUUGCCUUGCGAGACGGUUUCAGUCCUGCACCUGCGGCUUGUGUUUGUUUUCGCCUCCGGCACGUCUGUACUGGCGACGUGGCACCGCUAUUUUCUAGCGGUGGGAUAAAUCGUCUUGCACGUUCCGCAUUCAACCAAAACAGAAUCUGAACUUCGUUUCAAAGAGAAGACAUAUUCUGAAGCGUCAAUGUCAAAUGAUCGGCAGCGAGGCGAGCACAGAAGCAAAUGCAUGGACAAACGAAGCGGCCCGGGCCUUUUCUUAUUCACAACUCGGUACUAAACCGAUCGAUCGGACGAACACGAGCAGUAGUACAACAGUAGAAACAUCACACACACACUGACACGCACGAACACACACACACACUCGCUCGUGUAGACACGUACGAAGGCGCUAGCACACAUAGAUCAGGUAGUAGACGACGCGGCGCGGCGGACUGACAUCGGCCUGCUAGCUCCAGCUUACGACGACGCCCUGGUGCCGGUGCCGGUGCCGGCGCCCGCUCCGCCGGUGGCGCCGGUGUGGCCACCUCCUCCGGCGCGCGCGUCCUCCGCGCGGCUCUGGAUGGCGUGGCCGGCCUGCUGCGUCUUGUGCCCCGCGGCCGCGGCGGCAUCGGCCAUGCGCUGGCGCGCCUCCUCCACGUAGUCCGGGGUGCGCUGGAACGCCUGGCGCGCCGUGUUGGCGAGGACGGUGAGCGAGGAGAGGCCGCCCAGCCCCAGCGCGCCGGAGGUGAGGAACCCGGUGACGGCCAGGCCGAUGGUGAGCGCGGCCGGGACCAGCAUGGGGCUGAAGAGCAGGAACACGGGCGUGGCCACGGCCAGCCCCACCACGGUGCCCGCCAGCGCCAGCCCGGACAGCACCAGCAGCAGCCCGCCCAGCGGGAACAGCGUCGCCACCGUCAGCGCCUGCGACGCCGACGGCGCCUUCUCCUGGAACAUGCCCUUCAUCUGCUCGCCCAUCUGGCGCCCGUGCUGCUGCUGCCCGCCGUGGUGCCCGCCGCCGUACUGCCCGUGCUGCACCUGCACGUAGCCCCCGCGGUCCGCCAUUGCUCCUCCCUCGCUUCGCUGCGUCCGCCGGCGGUGAAGUGAGCCAAGAUCUGUCGAACUCGAGAGCUGGAGGGGACUGAACUCUGAAGUGAAGUGGGUUGAGGUGGAGAGGGGAUCGAGGCCGGUGCGCGAUAUAUAGGUGGAAGAAGCGGUGACACGUAGGGAGGAGGCGGGGUACGUGGUGGGGGUGGAGGCUUGCAUGGGCUACACCAGGCGAGAGGGCUGACACGGCGCGGCGCCUGAGGCAGCCGCUGUGUCGGGAGGAUGCGGUGCGUGCGUGGCGGCUGAGGUGGGUCGUGACAUUGCGAGUUUGUGACAGCGUGCGUGCGAGACGCAGAGCCUUUGUUUGCUUCCCGGAGUGAGUUCGUCGUCUCGUCGGCCGGUGAGCUCGUGUUCGUCGCCUCUUUUCAAAUCUUCCAAGACAUAAGUAUGGACAAUGAGGCGAGAGCCUUUCUCUGAUCUCCACGCUCAAUCACAUUUUCAAUCCACCAUUCUUGAAUCGAAGCCUCAUUUCGCCAGCUCCUCACCACAUCACCAUGUAGACCAAGCCAUGUUGCAACCUCGAUCCAAAUAUGGUGGGAGAACCUACAUUGGAAGAGAAGGUGCACCGCGGUUUCGUGGACUUGCUUGCAAAACGAGCAGAGAUUGCAGUUCGGCCAUCCACGACGGUGAAAUCGAUCGGUCGUCCAAACUCUGUUUUGAAUUAUCGGCCAAGCAAAAAAAUGCAUUUCCGAGGGGCACAACCCUUCCAAAUAUCAGUAGGCACGAUGCUUGUCAUGCGUCCCGCAAACUACGCCAUAUAGGUAGUCGACACCGAUUAUUCUCGAUGAGAAGUGAAUUUCCAUAGGAUAGUAUCAUGCAUAUCAUUGUCGAGAGUAAUAGAGGGUAGCUUCUCACAAAGAAAGGCAAACUCCUAAAUAUGCUCCAUGGUGAGCCCAUGGUGGGUAUCAAUCUGACUAACCCAAUAAUUCUUGUGGUGAGCUUUUUGGACCGAGCAAGAUUUCUUUCUUGAGAGGUCAAAUAUCGUUGGAGCAAUAUCUUUGGGUCUCAUGUCGUCGAGCAAAGAUGAUUCCCUGAACUUCGCCUUACAUCCAUCUCUAAACUAACCCUGGUGGCUGCCACAAAAAGGNNNNNNNNNNNNNNNNNNNNNNNNNNNNNNNNNNNNNNNNNNNNNNNNNNNNNNNNNNNNNNNNNNNNNNNNNNNNNNNNNNNNNNNNNNNNNNNNNNNNNNNNNNNNNNNNNNNNNNNNNNNNNNNNNNNNNNNNNNNNNNNNNNNNNNNNNNNNNNNNNNNNNNNNNNNNNNNNNNNNNNNNNNNNNNNNNNNNNNNNNNNNNNNCGAAGGGCAGUAGAAAAUUUCUCAAGGUUGAGGAUGCCCAAACCACCAAAGAUCUUCGGCUUGCAGACGAGUUUCCAGUUGACCUUGCAUUUUCCACUGGUCAUCUUAUCACAACCCGCCUAAAUAUAGGCAGGACACAAGUUGUCAAUCUUCUUCCUCGCUUCCAUCGGUAGCGUUCUUCCCUUUUAGUAUUUAGUUUAUUUAUUAACAAGCAAGCAAUCUUUGUUCAUCCAAGGACGCUUUCAAAACCUUUGUAGAAACAUUUACAACCGGACCCCCACUUCCGACAAACAUCAUGCAGACAACACGGACACCGCCUAAGCCAAAAUGCUAACCUAACCAGGGCCCUAAACCCAACUCAUAUGUCUGGGUUGUCUGGCACCCCCUCAUACCAUCCCAUAUGUUGGGCAAAUAUGGAGACGCCAGGGCGCAUCCGCCACAUCAGACUGAUGGGCAGGACCCACAUGGAAACCCUUCGAUCGUUGGUUUGAUGACUGCAUUAAUCGAUUUGAGGAACCCUAGCCACCGGCAUAUUCCUUCUUUUCCUCCCUUUCGUGUCACCACCGGAUUCCCCGCCGAUUUUCCUUUCGCUCUGACCUUCAUGUCUGCCAUGGUAACCAACUACAAAAUGCUAAUGCCCGAGCGUCGAGCGGAUAUCGUGUGGGAGAUGAGCGCCAUUGAGGAACAUCGCACAACCGGUGCACAACACGUUGCUCGCCUUACGGACAAGGGUGAGGCGGAGACGGGGAUGUUAGAGCAGAAGAAGGAGAAGGAGGAAGAGAAAGCAGGAGAGGAGGCGGCGGGCACAGAGGUCGAGCCCGGCGGAUUUGGGAUGGAAGAGGCAAAGGAGCAGUUCCACCUUGCACGAGCCGAGGAGGCAGAGGCGCAGUUGGAGUAGCAGGCGGGUGGAUACCACCUUCAUGUUGAGGUAGGAUUAAACAGCAUCCCGAUGCACAUAACUCUCGCUUGCGCGUGCUCCGGGGAAGGGUCCAACCACUUUUGGUCUUUUGUACAUAGUUUUUUCCUGCAUUUCUACAGUAGGUUGUUUCUAGGACUCGAACCCGUGACCUCAUGGUCAUAAGGCAACAGCUUUACCACUGCGCCAAGGCUCUCCUUCCUAUUGAGAUAGCAUUAUGAUGACCUACAAGUAUAGGGGAUCAAUCAUAGUCCUUUCGGUAAGUAAGAGUGUCGAACCCAACGAGGAGGAGAAGGAAAUGACAAGCGGUUUUCAGCAAGAUAUUCUCUGCAAGUACUAAAAAUAGCGGUAACAAGUAGUUUGAUAGCAAGAUAAUUCGUAACGAGUAUCAAGUAACAAUUGUAACAAAAGUGUAGCAAGAUGGCUCAAUCCUUUUAUAGCAAAGGACAAGUCGAAUGUACUUCUUAUAAUGAGAGAGUUCUCGAGGACACAUGAGAAUUCCCGUCUAGUCACGUUCAUCAUGUUUAGUUGAUUCAUGUUCACUACUUUGAUAAUUUGAUAUGUGGGUGGACCGAUGCUAGGGUGUUGUUCUUACUUGAACAAACAACCCUCUUAUGAUAACCCCUCUUGCAAGCAUACUCAACUAAAAAAUAAAAAUGAAGAUAAAUCUAACCAUAGCAUGAAAUACAUGAAUCCAAAUCAGCCCCUUAUGGAAUAAUGCAUAAACUAUGGUUUAAAUUUUUGUCACUCUGGCAACUCAUCAUCUACUUAUUACUUUCCAAUGCCAUUCUUUAGGCCCAACUUGUUGGAAAUAUGCCCUAGAGCAAUAAUAUUUAUAUUAUUAUAUUUUCGUGUUCAUAAUUAUAGAGUUUAUAUUCUAUGCUAUAACUGUUGUGAUCCUGGAAUAUGUGAUUAAGUGGAAAACUCGUAUGCGCGUGUGGAAUGAUAAACGACAAAAUUAAAGGUUCCUAGUCUUGCCUCUAGAAAUAGCUCAAGUGUUGUUGGUGAUCACAUUUUCCGGAUCUUAGGAUAUAGUUAAGUGUAAUGAUAGUUCUAAAACAAUAUUGAGAUUAUGACGUUGGAAGAACGAUCAUAUUGAAUCGACCCAAAGUUGUCUGUUAUGAAUAGAGUCAAUAUUGUUUGUUAUCAAUUGUAAUAAUACGGAGUGUUGAAGUGUGAUUUUUCUUCUUAGGUAUCAUAGUCACUCUUACCGUACGGUGGGCUUUGGGGUUGCUCAAACAUCACUUGCAACACGGUGAUCAUAACGACAACUUAGAGGCUCAUCGGAAAGUUUGACAAGGGACUAGGUAGCUCGAGAGUGCGAUUUUCUCGUCCUAUGAUGGAGAGAUAUUUUUAGGGUCCUCUCGGUGUGACGACAUCCAUCAUCGUCUAGUCAGACAUAGGUGACUUCAUCACGGGGAUGCCAAAACACAAUAAUGAGAAAGAAGAACAAAACCGGUAACGAGGAUAUCAAUAUAGUGAGCAUGUGAUGACUCCGGAGGAUACCGAUGCAUUCCGGGUUUUGUGAAAUAUCGCGAAGCAUAAGGAACAUCACAUGAUAACGAAAGGUUCACCCGGGAUCGAUAUGGACGUCCACGGUAUCACUGUCGGUCAUUGAGCGAAGGGGUUUCGUUCAUGUCUAUGAGUUACCGAACAUAUGGGGUCACAAUAUGAAGGCAAUCACGAGUUGUUGAGUGUUAGUAGGAUGGGAGUGAUGAGAAUAUAUUUGUGGAAUUGUUUCAUUACUAUUCAGAAUAGUUCCGAGAGGAUCGGAAGCGUUUUGGGCUCGCCGGAAGGGUUUGGGAGAGUAUCAGGUAAUACUGGUUAUUACCGAUAAAUAUAUAUAGGUGGAAAAUAUUUUUGGGAUGUUAAAUUAUAUAUAAAAGGGUCUGAAAAUAUUUAGAACACUUUUAUAUUUAAUUUAAUAUCAACGGGCCUAAAAAGUCCAAGUGGUGGAAGGCAACUUGGGCCACAAAGACCCAAGUGGGGAGGUGCCCCCUUUGUCUUCGGAAGGAGGCCGAAUUGGAGUAGGGAAGGAGUCCAACUCCUCCUCACUUGGCCAGCCAAAGGGGAGGGACUUUCCCUCCCCUUGUGGCGCCGUUCCUCUUCCCCUUGACAUAUAUAUACUAGAGGAUUUCCACUCUUUGGACACACAAGUUUUGGAGCCUCCUCUAGUUCAUCUAGCCCUAGUUCUAGUUGGUUCUAGUUGACUAAUUAGAGCUAGACUAAUAUUAUAAUCCUCAUAAUUAGAAGUCCAGUGUGGUUCUAAUCUCCUCCCUUUAAUUCUUUGAAGAUGGUUAGCUUUGGACAGCAAAGCGCUGCCGGAUCAUGAAGGUUGCACGCUUGCAACCAUGUAGAGAGGUCAUGUUGUGGUCUUUGGUUCGAGGGACUGUUCGUGGGCGGCUCGUGGGAUCGUUCAUCGACAGUUAGAGGGACUCCAAGUACGAUCUACACCGACACUUUCUUCUUUCACUGUAACUUGGUGACGGUAACGAUCGCCCGUUAUGCAUCUUCAUAUUGACCCUGGGUGUGCGUGGGUGCGGAAUUUAUUGUUUUCUACUAUGUUUCCCAACACAAGUAUGGUGAAGUGUCAUGUAGUCAAUGUUCACAUGACACCAAUAAAGGAAGAACAACAUACAUAUCAUCAAAAUAUUAAACGAAUACCAACUUCACAUGAUUACUUAUAACAAGACGUCUCACAUGUCCUCAAAAACAAAAGUAACUACUCACAACCAUAUUCAUGUUGAAGAUUAGAGGGGUAUUGAGUAUGCUUAAGGAUCUGAACAUAUUAUCUUUCACGGAAUAAAUCAACUAGCAUUAAUUACAAGAUGUAAUCAACACUACUAGCAACCAACAGGUACCAAUCUGAGAUUUUGGGAUAAAAAUUGAAUACAAGAGAUGAACUACGGUUUGAGAUGAGAUGAUGCUGGUGAAGAUGUUGAUGAAGAUUGGUCCUCCCACGACGAAGGAGUGUUGAUGAUGUCGAUGGCUUCGAUUUCCCCCUCCCGGAGGGAAGUAUCCCGGCGGAAUCGCUCCGCCGAAGAGCAAAAAUAUUCCUGCCUAGGUUCCGGCUCGAGACGGCGGCGCUUCGUCCCGAAAGUCUUCACUUGAUUUUUUUUCUAGGGCAAAUGGCAUCAUAUAGGAGAAGGGGGCCAUGGAGGCCUGCUGGUGGGCCCACAAGCCUGGGUGACGCGCCCUAGGCACUAGUGGGGCCCUCCUAGUUGAUUCUUCUUCCAGUAUUUCUUAUUAAUCUCAAAAUGAUUCUUCGUAAAUUUUCAGAUCAUCUGGAGCUCCGAAGAAUAGCUAUCUCUGUUGUAACUUUUUCAGGUCCAGAAUUACAGCUGCCAGCAAUUCCCCUCUUCAUAUAAAUCUUGCAAAUUAAGAGAGAAAAUGCAUUAGAAUUGCAUCAUAAAGUGAAAUAAUGACCCAAAACACAAUAAAUAAUAGUAGAAAAACAUGAUACAAAAUGGACAUAUCACAUUCACAAUAAAAAAAAAUUAUCAUUUACCUACUCGAGGACAGUAAGAUUAAGCUUGAGGAUGUUGAUACUCUCAAAUGUAUAUAUAGUUUUUGUUAUGUUCAUGCUACUUUUAUAUCAUUAUUACAUAGUUUUGACACUUUACACAAUUUUAUUAUACUAAUUUAUUAAUCCAGUGCCAAUUGUCGGUUACACUUCUGCUUUUUACUUUGCACAAAAACACUUUUUUUGAGACCAAGACAAUAAAAUAAAAAUACGCCGUGAAGAUUGAAGCUGGGAAUACACUACAAGGCAAAGGUGCCACUCGGGGAGCCCUAUAGGCCACAUGUGGUGGGUCGGCAUAGUCUGGGCCUGGACCACUCUAAGGGGCCGUGUCGCCCCCUAGGGCACGCCUCUCAGACCCUACGCCUUUUAUAUACCUAAAAAUAUUUAUUGUGAAAUUUUUCUGCCGCCGCCACCACGCGUUUCAAGGUGAUUCAAUAUGGAGGUAUUUUCUGAUACUCUGUCAGAGGGUGAAUUUGUUGACGGAGCUAUCUUCAUCAACCUUGCUACCCUGAUGACCAUGUGUGAGUUGUACUCCUUGGAUUAUGGGUCCAUAACAUUAGCUAUGUGGCAUCAUCUCACCCCUGUUCUUCAAUAGAAAGAUCACAUGAGUGUCCUACAUGAUUAUGAUUCAUCUGAUGUAAUUGUCGGUGUGUUUGUUUCGGUGUGUUGAACUGUCACUUAAUGAACGGAUUAUAUAUGGAUUUUUAUCUGGUUUUGUUUUGGUUCUUUGUUGCAUGAUUGAUGAACAUAUAUGAUAGCCGAUCUAUUAUUAUUCCAUAGUCAUGAUUAGAUGAAUGGUAUUCAAGAGGGAAUUGUGUAUGCUAGUUGGAUCUAUCCUUAUAAGUGAUCUAUCUCGAUGGCUAAAAAAGAAGGUUGUAUUUUGUUGCUACCACUAAGAAUAAAAAGGUAACUUUCUAGUUGCCUCGAUGAUGAACUUGAGGUAAAGACAAUACACUCUACAUUAUCUCACUUUGUUUAAUGCAAUGCUCUUUUCUUAAUAUUUAGGUAUGCAUGUUGGAUAGCAUUCUUAGGUAAAGUAUUAGCUAUAGAUGCAGUUGGAUAACGUCCUAUGGAUAGAUGGACGUCAUGCCUAUAUGCAAUCAUGACAUGUAUGAUUAAACAUGAGCAUUGUAAUUUAAAUAUUCAAUUGAUAUGCAACUGUAAUUCGUUCACCACAUCUAUGUGCUUUUCUGAAGAGAUGCUAGUAGCAAAGGUAUGGAUCCCGAUUAUUUAUUCCUCAUAAUCACAAUCUCGGUCACUUUAUUUUCUGUUCUUUCAUAUUUUGAAAUUUUACUUUCAUCGCUUACAAAAUUAUUACCACAUUGUACAUUAAUCCUUGUAGCUAGCAAAGCUAAGGAAAAUGACAAUCUCAUUUGUCUAAGUUGGAGACCAAUAGAAGAGUUUUAGUUGAGUGCAUGUAGUGAUCAUUGGUUGUUGCAAAAAAAAUCACAGAUUGAUACUUUGAUUCUUAACCGAGGGAAAUUUGUUCGUGUACUACAAAACCCUUGCAUUUCAGGGCCCAAUUGAUAUGCAUCUAACAGGCACCAUACUAGCCGGAGAUAUGAGGAAGCAAGGCCAUGAGAUGGCACACAUUUGGCUUGCUCCGCUGAUUGUUGUUGUCACUAGUUGGUUCAAGUACCUGGUUGUAUUUUGUUUUUACUUUUGAGAAUUUUUGUAUUGUUUUAACAUAUUAUUAAUAGACCGGAGAUCUUUUUUCAAAAAAAGUGUGAGCUAUAAAAAAUAAAAAAUAUAUUUUUGUUCAUAUUCUGAAAUUUUACUUUCAUCAAUUUUUAUGAAGAGAUGUUUUGUUUGUUCUUUCCAAAACUAUGUAUUUUUUAAAAUCACGUGUUAAAUUAUUUACAAAUAAAAUAUUACACAUAUGUAUAAUACAUCUCUAUAACCAUGUGGGAUGUUAUUUUCCAACAAAAAAUUGAAACUUCUAAAAUGUAUUUUGAUUAUUUUCCCAAAAAAAAAGCGGGAUCUGUGAAGAUUAAAUCGGAGACAUAGGACGACAACAGAGUUUCACAUGAAACUUGCAAUUUUUUGUGUAAACUCUAGACUGAUGGGUUAUUAGUUGGGAGUGUUCCCUCCCGCUUGACAAAUUAUGUAAUGAACGGUAGUAUGAUAUUUUCUUAAUUAAAAUAUGGGGUGGUUUUUCAAAGAAAAGGAAAAGGGCUCGGUGGAGCGUAAGGUCCAAAAUGCAUAUUCGGGUAUCUAAGAUAAGUAUAUACGGUGUGAAAUUAGAGGGUAUCUACAAAGUUGACAUAUAAAUGUUUCUUAAAUCAAUCUAGUUGCAUUGUGGAGCAUGACCUACUCUUAUGUUAGGAGAAGCAACGAGAAAAGCAUCUUGAUUAGUGGCUUGGAUAAAAGAGAAGGCCGCCUAGAGAAUCCCCUUCUUUUGACGAUAUAAGUGCUCGACUAGUGGUUCAAGUCAACGAUAAAGACACCUCGAAACUCCCUUUCUCUCGGCACUGUUCUGGCCUUUUAAGAUCCCUCAAACUCACCCGAAACUUCGAGUUUGUACAGCUCUAUGGGAUGUCUCUUCCCCCAAUAAUAUUCCAAGUGAGAGAAUGGCCAUAUAAACACGAGCACAAGGCAUCAAGCCAGCUACCAAGGAGCGCAUCAGGCUCACGAUCAUGUCGUAUAUCCUCAUUGCCUCCCUCGAUUCCCUUCCAACCAGGGUUCAAAAUUCAAAACACCAUGCUAAAUCUUGUUGCGAUGCCACCCUCAUAGAAAACUUGUGUUACCCAUGAAACAGCUUUUGAUCCCUUUAGGAGGGCGCAGCAGAUUUCUUGCUGGUGUGCUUUCUUCUUUAUUCAGAUUCGAUUGUGUUGUAGUAUUUUUUCAGACUUCGUUGUAAUUAGGAGUGUGUCUUUAAACAGCACAAUGUAUAUGACAUGCCCUUGCUAAAGGAAUAUUGCUGGAGGUUUCUUUUUUUCUUAGAACAUAGCUAAAGGUUUCUUGCAACUGUGUUUUCUAAACUAAAUAUGUUUACGUAUAAAUGAACUAUGAAAUUUAGUUAUUAGGUAGUAAUACAAGGGAUGUUGAUGUGACAUGGGCAUUUGCCUGGAAGCAUGAACAAACUGUGUGCACCGACCAUAGGCGCCGCAUGGGCUAGGUCAGAGCUUGAUCAGGCAUGGAAAGAUGCAUAACCAAAUCAGGCCUAUGUUCAAACAAUAUGAUUGUGAUCCGUUAGAAAAAUAUGGGCAUUAGCUAGUAGCUAGUAGCAGUGAAGUACUCAAUCUAAUUUCUAAGAUUUUUUAGCAAAGGAUUGUUGAUGGUAAGGGCAGGUCAAAGUGUCCAGAGUUUCAACUAUUGACCAUAAGUCCAGACCAAUAUAUUAUUUUGCAAGCUACAGAGGCGUUGAAACAUUGCAAGUUCCAUGCAUUUAAUUCAAACAACUAAACAACAUUUCCAGCCAUGCCAAAAUAUUCUCCAUUAUUCACCAUGGCCAUGGAUCAUUUUAUAAGCCAACCAACAUUGGUCAGCCUAAAGGCAAACAAGAUAUGCCAUUGCUAUGCACAGCACAGAACUCAUGGAAGGUGUUAUAGCCAGGAACCAACCACAAGUCCAAAUUCCUUUACUCUCAUGUUCCAAGAGACAAUUGUCAACAUCAGAAAGUUCUGCUAGAUCAAUCUUUAAUUACUAACAAUGCACUAGGGAAAUCUCACAGAGAUCUCUUUAAUUUUGUUACUAAUAACAAGAUUUCCUCGAGUCACAACCUAAAGAGCUCGAUGAGGAAAUAAUACAAAGAGAAAAGGCAGAUGGUUUUAACAAUAUAUAUCAUGUACAACGGCACUUCAUCAGGUCAAUCAUCAGCAUAUGACCAGAUCAGCAAGACAGGGAUUUUCCAAAAGUUGCAGGCCCCGUCACCUCUGAACAAGCUUGGCCUGAGUAGGAGAAAAAUGGGAGCAAUGAGUUAGCAUGCCCAACUGUCAAUUAUCAGCAGAGUAAGUUCUCGCAGAAAAACAAGAUUCUCACCAUAAGUUAAGAAAGCUCCUCAGGGCAGCUCAGAAGAAUCCAUGACACUCUUAUUUGUCAGAAAGUUUUGACUUCAUGAUGUGCUGCUGCCAAAGUAGUCCCGGAUAGUUUUCCUUUUCAGAGAAGGCGGUGGGUUCAGGACCGAAGAGGGACUGCUCAGUUGAGCCCCUGGGCUGCUCCUAGUAUCCAAGGCCUCCUCCCGAAAUACCGAAAAGGCUCUCUUUUUCACAGACUCAGGCGUGCCAAACUCCAGUACUCUGGGCCGGAGGGGUGAGUGUGAACCGGCUGGCAAUUCAUUGCCAGCACUGGUGCAGGCUGCUACAUCUCUUGAACUAGUCGCUCGCUCAUGGCUAGCCGAUCUUGGGCAGUCAAUGUUUGGAGCAGUUACCCUCUUACGGAUGACUGUAGGGGAACUUAUGUUGGUGCAGUCUAUUUUCUUGGUGUUCCAUACACGAACCUGAUGCACAGAACAAAGUGUCAGGCUGUCAGCAGCAGUUUAAACUUCCUACCAAACUCUUGUUCUUUUCAUUUGUAGAUUAGAUGACAACAAAUAUUAUAGAUGCCCCUGAUCAUGGUGAGAUGACUGGGUUCAUUUUGUUGUAGUGUUUGACAAGGCAACAUUAAGAUGAAACUUGUAAACUUUUAACAAGACUCACCGUGGAAUCAUCAGAUGAUGAUACUAUCUUUCCAACCUCCAAAGAGCACCUGAAAUUGCGAAAUUGGCAUUGCAACAUGAGCACUAUGGUAACAGUAAGACAUUAAGAAGUAGCCAUUCUGGAUAGAUCAUACCAGUCAACUGAAGUGACUUCACCCUCAUGGCCUUUCAGAACUAUAGGCCCAUUUUCAGGCUGAUCCACCUACAUAAGUGAAAAGGAAUUAGCAAUUUAACAUGAAUACAAUGUAUGAAAUGUAAAAGAAGAGGCAAUAGGAAUGCAACAAAUACCUGCCACAAGUAAACAUUGCCAUUGCUCGAACCGCCUAGAAUAUGAGUCCCAUCAGGACUAAUAGCAGACUGCAUUCAAGCACCAAAGCAGGUGUUAAAUAAAACACAUGAAAGAAACCAAGAAUAUGCAGCUGGAAGAGAGAAGGCUAAACCAGUUGGCCACUCACCUUGACAAAGAAAGACUCAAUUUUGCUGCCAGUGUAAGUCUUUAUUGGACCCUUGUCCAUGUGGAGAGUACUAUACAGAUAGAUCCUGAAAGUGGAAAGCAUAUGAAGUCAGAAGCAAUUCCCUCCAGUGACAUCAGUUUUUUGCAGUUCUGUGUAGUGGUCAAAUAUUAUUCUCACCUGUGAUCCAUGCAUGACGCAGCAAUAUACGCACCAUAUGAGUCUUGAGACAAGCAAGAGAUCCCAUGUGUCACCCCCUCUUUCUGAAUGAAAGGACUCCCUGUUAGCCUUGAAAGUUGAAACUGAACUACAAAUGUGUUCUUUUGCAAUUGAGAGCUGCUUGCUUACCAAAGGUUGUGCUGUUGACUGAGAGGUUUUGUUGGAGACAGGCGCUUUAAGGUUCCGUGUAUCCCAAAGUUUCACAACGCUGUAAUAAAUUUUGUGAGUUAGAUAAAAUCAAACUACAACAGAGGUGCAUUGUGUUAGAAGUGGUGCGGUCAUAAUUGAAACAUGCCGCUGGCAUGCAUAAUCAGUGAUGUAAACUAUAUGAACUUAUGUAGUAAGUGCAGUAUAAAUUGGAUGGGUCAAUGCCUUACUUGUCUGCAGCACCAGAAGUAGCAAUGGAGAUAUCAUCUUUCAGAUAAAGAACUGAUGUGAUGCUCGUCGAAGCUCCCUAAAUAUGACCAUUAUCAGCAAAUGAACCAAAGGGGGUGUACACUCACCAGCAAAAGGAUUCUAUGUAGAUUCAAUACCUUUGCUCGAGACCUUGUCCGAUUCCUUCGCGUGGGACUGUGCGCUUCUUUGACAACAGCAGAAGACCUAACAUGUAAAAACAGCUGAAUUCAGUGAAAGAUGAUAUAUUGCUACGGAUAUUUGAUGAAUGCGGUUAAAAGGAGCAUUUAGAUUGCAGCGGCCAUUAGAUAACAUACAUGAGGCAUGCUUCACCAUGGCCAUUUGGGGUUUUGGGGUCACAUCUUAGAUCCCAAAGUGCAAAAGAACCGUCUCUUGAACCAGAAACAACAAGAUCUGCAUAGACAAUAACCGACUUGAAUUCGAGUCACCAGCUAAUGCAGGCGUGUCCCAAGCUAAGUUAAACAGGUUCAGAUAUACAACUGACCAGGAUUUGAAGAAUGGCAUGACAGUGACUUGACACUUCCAGUGUGCCCUGAUAGCACACCAAGGCACUUCUUAUUCUCCACGCUCCAUAUCUUUACCUGGUACAGUAAAAGCAAUUACAGUGAGAUUAUGCACACACAAAAUCAGACGAAUGAUAGUUGGUGUUAUGAGAAAUUAGAUGAAUUGAUUGAUCAUGCUGUACUCACAGUUUGGUCGCCUGAUGCAGUCAGUAAUUGGGAUCCCUCCUAUAUAAAUGACAUAAUUCAGCGGUUAACUUUGCCAGAGACACACAAAAAUACACUGCUGAGAGACAGAGAAAACAGAUGUCGCAUGUUGCAGGCAAAUGCGGUUACCUUGAUCCAGCACACGUCAAAGAUGGCAUUGUUGUGAGCAACCCAAUCGGACAGCCUCGUUUCAGCUACAAAGGAGCAAGAUUUCAGAUUGGGGCUAAUGGCAGCAGCCAUCCAAUUUUAGCACAAAAUGUCCAAAAUGUCAGGCAGGCAGCCGGCACGCUGCUAGUGGUAAAUCACAAGGGGGCACCGAAGCUAACCUGACUUCUCUAUGGAGGAGGAUCUGGAGGGGAGGCGGCGGCGGGUGUCGUAGAUGGCGACAUACCCAUCCUCGUCGGCAACCGCCAGGAGGCGAGAGAUCUGCGGGACCUGGAGGGAGGAAGGAGGGGGCGGAUCAGCGCGCCGUCGCCGUCGGCCUCGCCAAAUCUAACUGAAACAAGAUUACACGAACCUUGCAGAAGGAGACGGCGAAAGGGAUGGCGGGGUCGCCGGAGUGCUCGACGGAGAUGACGCCGCAGCCGCGGUCGCCGGGGUCGGAGGAGAGGUCGGAGAGGUAGGGCAGCCGCGCCGCGGAGGCGCGGGCGGAGCCCCUGCCGCCGCUGAGCUCCCGCGCCCGGAGGCCGCCGAAGAAGGACGGCGGCCGCAUCGCCAUCGGGGAGAUGGAGGCGGGGGGAGCGAAAGGGNNNNNNNNNNNNNNNNNNNNNNNNNNNNNNNNNNNNNNNNNNNNNNNNNNNNNNNNNNNNNNNNNNNNNNNNNNNNNNNNNNNNNNNNNNNNNNNNNNNNNNNNNNNNNNNNNNNNNNNNNNNNNNNNNNNNNNNNNNNNNNNNNNNNNNNNNNNNNNNNNNNNNNNNNNNNNNNNNNNNNNNNNNNNNNNNNNNNNNNNNNNNNNNNNNNNNNNNNNNNNNNNNNNNNNNNNNNNNNNNNNNNNNNNNNNNNNNNNNNNNNNNNNNNNNNNNNNNNNNNNNNNNNNNNNNNNNNNNNNNNNNNNNNNNNNNNNNNNNNNNNNNNNNNNNNNNNNNNNNNNNNNNNNNNNNNNNNNNNNNNNNNNNNNNNNNNNNNNNNNNNNNNNNNNNNNNNNNNNNNNNNNNNNNNNNNNNNNNNNNNNNNNNNNNNNNNNNUAUGGGAGGAGUUUUGCGCCGCGCGGGGGAAGGGGAGGGGGCGCCGGCGGGAAGAGCUUUUUCGUAGUGGCGCCGCGGGAAAAAAGACGAGGCCGCGAAAGAUGGCGGCGGUGGUGGUGAAAUCCGCGGCUUACUUGGCGCGUGAGGGUUCCGUCUCUGACAGGUGGGACCGGGCGAAUGUGUGAACAUGUGACAGGUCAAGGUGGGCCGAGGCUGGGCUGGGCAGGGCAGGGCUGGGCUUGGAGUCUCGGGCCAGCUACAAAGGUGUAUCACUUUGUAAAAAAAUUCGUCCAGAUGCUGUCAUGGGUGUUUUUAGGAUGAACUUUUUUCAAAACCGAUGAACGUUUUUCGAUUUCGAUUAACUUUUUUCAAAACCGAUGAACUUUUUCUGAAUCUGAUGAACUUUUUUCCAAAUUUGAUGAACUUUUUUGAAUUCGAUGAACUUUUUUCAAAUCUGAUGAAUUUUUUUUCGAAUGCGAUGAACUUUUUUUUGAAUCCGAUGAACUUUCUUCGAAUUUGGUGAACUUUUUUCGAAUUGAAUGAACUUUUUUUGAAAACUGAUGAACCUUUUUCAUUUUUUUUGAACUUUUCUUAAAUUUGAUGAACUUUUUUUCGAAUUUAUUUUUUAUUUUUUUAGAUAAUUUGUAUUAAGUAUAUAUUAAUGUUUAACUGCGUGAAACGGUUAACUAUAACUGUUUUCUGGUAGUAGACAACAAAGUUAGUUUGGUCAAGUGGUUAGAGAGGUGGAUUCGCAACAACGCGAUCGUGAGUUUGAAUCCCCAUCGAUCCUUAGUUUUGUUGUUUUUUCACUUCAACAAGCGCGAGUUGGGCCGGCCCAUACCAGCGACGCUGCAGGCGCCAGCUCGUUAACGGGCGCCUGCAGCGCUGACUAGGAGCUCCCUGUUUUUAGGUCCCAUCUUGAACUCAACUUUAGCUUUUCUUUUUAUAUACUGGUUAUAAAUGUCCGUGUGUUCUUACAGAGCGAAUGGAUAGAUGUUUGAGGUUUAGAGACGGGCGAUGAUUUGGAUGGCAGCCUGGCUUGACUCUGUACUCGCUUCCUUGUGCGGUUUGGCCACGAAUUGCAUAAAACUCAUGGGCGUGAAGCUUGGUGAUAGGAUGGAGUUGGAGGCGAAUGCGGGGAAGAUGACGGAGGACGGUGUCCUCAACCAUGUGCUAGGAUGGUCCAGCUAUCUUGGAAAAUCUAAAUUUCUUCGUUCAAAUUUUUAGGUAUGUAUUUAUGCUUUGCCAGUGACUGGAUGAUACUUGGCAUGGUGUUGCUGACAUUUGGUUGCCAUGUAUUUCAAUGAUAUAUGGGCUUUGUGAAGUAUGGAUUCUUGGAUUAACAUAGUAAACUGACAUGCACAUGAUUUAUUGUGUGUGGUUGUUGUAUGGUUGUCGCAGAUUAUUAUUUUUGAAAACCCACCCAUAUAUUAAGAAUUAAAGUAGUUGAAUUCGAUUAUUCCUUACAGCAUUCGCCACGCAAGGCGGAAAACUAUUAUAGAGAAAACCAUCGGACCUAUUAUCAAAAAUAUACUUCGUUAUUUGGUGAGACACCACAUUGGCUUGUCCGUUAAUCUUUGUCAACUUAAAAUUUGGUAGAAGCUUAAUGAUGGCUACCGCUCUAUUCAAUUUUAGCUUUUCUCCUAGUUAUAAAUGCCAUGUUGCACAAAAAAGUUAUAAAUGCCAUGUGUUCUCACGGAAUAGUGAACACAUAGAUAUUUGAGGAUAGACGUGGGUGAUGAUUUGGAUGACAGCCUAGCUCGACUCUGCAAUGGCUUUCUUGUGCGGUUUGGCGACGAAAUUCAUAAACUCGUGGAGGGGGGGGGGCUCGGUGAUAGGAUGGAGCUAGAGGCGACUAGGGGGAAGAUGACGGAGGACGGUGUCCUCGUCCUUGUGGUAGGAUGGGCUAGCUAAUUUGGUGAAAUGUGAAUUUUUUCGUUAAAAAUCUAGGUAUGAAUUUGUGCUUUGCCGGUGAUUGGAUGAUACCUGGCAUAGUAUCGCGACAUUUGGUUGCCAUGUAUUCCAAUGAUAUCUGGUUUCACGAAAUAUGGAUUCUUGGAUUAACAUAGUAAACUGAUGUGCAUGUUAUUUAUUGUGUGUGGUUGUUGUAUGGUUGUCAUAGAUUAUUAUUUUUUGAAAACCCACCCAUAUAUUGAGAAUUAAAAUAGUUGAAUACGAUCAUUCCUUACAACAUUCGCCAUGCAGGGAGGAAAACUAUUAUAGAGAAAACCAUCGGACCUAUUAUCAAAACUAUACUUCGUUAUUUGGUGGGCCACCACAUUGGCUUGUUCGUUAAUCUUUAUCAGCUUAAAAUUUGGUAGAAGCUUAAUGAUGGCUACCGCUUCCUUCUUCAAACCCAUGAGAGCAGACCUAACAAGAUUAUCAUGUGCAAGGAAGGAGACCACAAAAGCGUAGUCCGUUUCCAAAAUAACAUGCUUAUGAAGAAUGUCAAAUAUACACACCUACAAGAUAUGCCACUAUAAGAAAUAUGCUUAAUUGUGACCUUCUCGUAGUGACCGUGGGUGAAUUGGUCAUAAAUCUAUGACCAUUGUGCGACAGAUGGUCGUAAGCCGUUUGGGAGGGUCCAAACUCUAAAUCAUCAUGACCAUUUUAGUCAAGAAGGUCACAAUUUUUUUAUCUAAAAUUGUCAUAACAUAGACAACACUGAUCUACACCUUUCAUUUUACUCUAUCUUGACCGAUUUAAAUGGCCAUGACUACUGAUUCACAAUGCUUCAAAAUGACUGGUCAGACACGUCACCAGUUUUGCCGAUGUGGCGUGUCCAUGUGUCAAGCCACCUCAACAUUGCCUCAGACCUGACAUAUGGUACCCGCCAAGCGGAUUAUGAGCAAUUUAAAUGGUCAUGACUACUAAUUCACAAUGCUUCAAAACAACUGAUCGAAUACCUCACCAAUUUCUCCUACGUGGCGUGUUCAUGUGCAUAUCCACGUCUAUAUGUCAUGUCCAUGUGUUAAUUUUAUCUUUGAUGUAUUAGGAAUAUGGAAUCCACGAAUCAACCUCCUGCAAGUGACACGCAGGACCCGCCAAGCUGACAUGUAGGGCUAUCACGUGGGCACAGGAGACAAGUGGGAUGCGAAAUAAUAAUGAACAAAAAAAUGAGGGAAAAAUGAGGAGGGACGACAAAAAAAUGAGUAACUACUUUCCUGUCUAGAAAUGAUUUUUGGGAGAAAAAGAUCAAACUAUAAAGCAGUUGUACUUCAAAUUUGGCCUAGUUCCUCCUGAAUCGGCGAUAAUAUGUCUUUUUGAUAAGAGGUGUAUCGAAAGCUUUUCACAUGCAACCAUUUGGUUAUCUGUACAUAAAAUGUGGUCUAAUAUUUUUUAAAAUUGUUUUGGUACAAUUUUUCGACAAAUAUUUGGUAGGUUCUUAAAAAAGCCCAUCUUUGGCACUUUGGAAUUAGAAAAAAAAUCGUGCAAUGAAAAUAAAAACUCGAUUCGGUAACAUUAUUUACCCGAAAUAAGAGGCCAUUUGAAAAAUAUUGGGUGAUUUGAACAAACUAUAAGAGGGUAAUAUGUUGAGUCUUUACCCGGAAUUGGAGGGUAAAAAUAUACUCCCUCCGUUCGAGUAUAAGAGAAACGAAAGGAAAAACACACAAUUUGCAUAUGCUUAAUUCUCAUUGGUGGAAUCAUCUGUGCCAUGGAUUGAUGACAUGGCAAACAUCCUGCCAUUCAUUCCGAGCACUCCCACCGUCCACCCAUCCAUCCAUGAUCCAUCCAUCCAUCCAAUCUAAAGAAAAGGAGAAAAAAGGAGAAGUCCACCGCACCAACCUCUCCCUCUCUCUCGUGCGAACAUCUCCUUCCCAACCUACGAUCUCCUCGCCGCCGCCAUCAACCAUGUCGGCCGGUUCCAGCGAGCUCAGGCCACGCGCAGCACGACCCUGAGCUCCCCAAGAUCCCCCCUCCAUUCAGAUCCGCGCCUCAAGGCCCGCAACCUUGCCCGCGGCUAGGGUUCCUUCGUCGGAACCCGCCAGAACCGGCGAUGGCGAGGCUGAAGCUCGCGAGAUCCGUCACCGGCAUUGCCCAGGUAGGCCCUUCCCAUCCUUCCUUGCCUGGAUCCACCCUCUCCUCCUAAUCUCACCUUCUCCUCCUAUCCGCCCCUUUGCUACAGGUCACCAUGACGUGGAGACGACAACGAUGGUGGCGGCAGGAGGGCGCCGGCCUUGCCCUGCUCGAGGAGGAGGAGGAGGAGGGGCGCACCUAGCCGCCAGCCAUGCUCUGCUCAAGGAGGGGCAGGAGGGGUCUGCUGCUAGGGCGACCAAGAGAUCCUGCCGAGCUCAAGCACGGCCACGACGACCCACUACGGCAGGUAGCAUAUCCCUCCCCCUCUACCUCUGCUCACUAAUGAUGCUAAGUUAAGCAAUAUUGAUGCAAAUCCUGGUUGCCUCAAGGAAUUCAAGAGGGAUCUGUAUGAACAAGUCCAGUUUUUUUAUUUAGUUAGUUAGUGCCAAACAGAGAGAGAAGAUGAGGUCCAGAUUGGUCAAUUUGGCUGCCACCUCAUGGAUUUGUAUCUAUGCAACCAUCUCCUUCCUGUUUUGUGACGCCCCCGAUUCAAUCGUACACUAAUCAUGCACGCAAAUGUGUACGAUCAAGAUCAGGGACUCACGGGAAGAUAUCACAACACAACUCUAAAACAUAAAUAAGUCAUACAAGCAUCAUAAUACAAGCCAGGGGCCUCGAGGGCUCGAAUACAAGUGCUCGAUCAUAGACGAGUCAGCGGAAGCAACAAUAUCUGAGUACAGACAUAAGUUAAACAAGUUUGCCUUAAGAAGGCUAGCACAAACUGGGAUACAGAUCAAAAGAGGCGUAGGCCUCCUGCCUGGGAUCCUCCUAACUACCCCUGGUCGUCGUCAGCGGGCUGCACGUAGUAGUAGGCACCUCCGGUAGUAGGAGUCGUCGUCGACGGUAGCGUCUGGCUCCUGGACUCCAGCAUCUGGUUGCGACAACCAGAAAGAAAGGAAAGGGGGGGAAAAGGGGGAGAAAGCAACCGUGAGUACUCAUCCAAAGUACUCGCAAGCAAGGAACUACACUACAUAUGCAUGGUUAUAUGUGUAAGGAGGCCAUAUCAGUGGACUGAACUGCAGAAUGCCAGAAUAAGAGGGGAAUAGCUAGUCCUAUCGAAGACUACGCUUCUGGCAGCCUCCGUCUUGCAGCAUGUAGAAGAGAGUAGAUUGAAGUCCUCCAAGUAGCAUCUCCAAGUAGCAUCUCCAGUAGCAUCACAUAGCAUAAUCCUACCCGGCGAUCCUCCCCUCGUCGCCCUGUGGAAAAGCGAUCACCGGGUUGUCUGUGGAACUUGGAAGGGUGUGUUUUAUUAAGUAUCCGGUUCUAGUUGUCAUAAGGUCAAGGUACAACUCCAAGUCGUCCUGUUACCGAAGAUCACGGCUAUUCGAAUAGAUUAACUUCCCUGCAGGGGUGCACCACAUAACCCAACACGCUCGAUCCCAUUUGGCCGGACACACUUUCCUGGGUCAUGCCCGGCCUCGGAAGAUCAACACGUCGCAGCCCCACCUAGGCACAACAGAGAGGUCAGCACACCGGUCUAAACCUAUGCGCGCAGGGGUCUGGGCCCAUCACCCAUUGCACACCUGCACGUUGCGAGGGCGGCCGGAAGCAGACCUAGCCUCUCUUAUACAAGAGUAGGCGUUCCAGUCCAAUCCGGCGCGCGCCGCUCCGUCGCUGACAUCAAGAAGGCUUCGGCUGAUACCACGACGCCGGGAUACCCAUAACUACUCCCGCGUAGAUGGUUAGUGCGUAUAGACCAAAUGGCCAGACUCAGAUCAAAUACCAAGAUCUCGUUAAGCGUGUUAAGUAUCCGCGAACGCCGACCAGGUCCAGGCCCACCUCUCUCCUAGGCGGUCUCAACCUGCCGUGUCGCUCCGCCACAAAGUAACAGUCGGGGGCCGUCGGGAACCCAGGCCCACCUCUACCGGGAUGGAGCCACCUGUCCUUUCAGCCCCCUCAUCAUAAUCACUUGCGGGUACUCAUGGAGCUGACCCGACUUUAGUCUCCAUCUGUAUAGUAUGUAUGUAUAUACAGUAUAUACCCGUGAUCACCUCCCGAGUGAUCACGGCCCAAUAGUAUAGCAAGGCAGACUGACAAGAAUGUAGGGCCAAGAUGAUAAACUAGCAUCCUAUACUAAGUAUUUAGGAUUGCAGGUAAGGUAUCAACAGAUGUAGCAACAAUGUCAGGCUAUGCAACAGAAUAGGAGUAACCGAACAGUAUCAUGCUACACUACUCUAAUGCAAGCAGUAUAGAGAAAAAUAGGCGAUAUCUGGUGAUCAAGGGGGGGGCUUGCCUGGUUGCUCAGACAAGAAGGAGGGGUCGUCAACACCGUAGUCGAUCGGGGUACCAGCAGCAGCAUCAGCCUCGUAGUCUACCGAAGAGAAGAGGGGGAAGAAACAAUAAAUACAAUGCAACAUAAGCAUGACGAUGCGUGACAAAGCAAACGGCGGUGUUAGGUGUGCCCUCACACGGUAUUAGGUGAUACCGGCGAAGGGGGAAAAACAUCCGGAAAAGUAUCCCCAGUGUUUCGCGUUUUCGGGCAGAUGAACCGGAGGUGAAAUGUUGCAGGUUCACUAUGCUAGGGACACGUGGCGGACGAACGGGUUGCGUAUCCGGGUUCGUCUCAUCGUUCUGAGCAACUUUCAUGUAGAAAGUAUUUUCAUCCGAGCUACGGUUUAUUUUAUAUGAUUUUCUAAAGUUUUAAUCAUUUUUAGAAUUUAUUUAACUAUUAAUUAAAUUAACAUUAUCCAGAAUAGUGUUUGCUGACGUCAGCAUGACAUCAGCAUGGCGUCAGCAGUCAACGUGACCAUUGACCUGGUCAACCUGACAGGUGGGUCCCAUUUGUCAUUGAUUGAGAUUAACUAAACAGGUUAGUUAGCUUAAUUACUUGAUUAGGUUAACUAAUUCUAAUUAAUUUAGUUAAACCAAAUUAAUGAACUUAAUUAAUUCACUAAUUAAUUAAUUAAUUAACUAAUUAUUACUUUUACUAAUUUUAUUUUCAUUUUCGUUUUUCUCUACUCUUUUCUUUUUAUCUGAUUUACAAGGGGGAGGGCCCCACCUGUAAGUGGCUCAGGCCACCUCCCUCCUAUGCACUAACGCGCACAGAGGAGGGGCAGCGGCGGCCGGACUUGGCCCCAGCGAGGCCAUGGUCGAGGCCGGCAGCGGGGUUGGCGGAGCAGGGCAGAGGGCGGCCGGAGCCGGCCAGUAGCCGAGGGCCGGCCACGGCGCGGAAGCGACGCGGCACCAAGGCAAAACGGAGUGGAGGCCAGGGGCAGAGCGGACACGACCGCGGUCGUAGGUGAGGGCGCGGUGCGGGCGAAGGCGCGUCGAGCAAGACCGUGGCGGGCGCGGCGCGUGCGUGCGCUGGCCACGGGCGCAUGCCGUGGGCGCGGUCGUCCCGGCACAGGUGGCAGUGGCUGGAGAGGGGGUCACGGCUGGAGGGAGAGAGGGGGAGAGGCCGGGGCUCACAGCGGUUGUAGGGUCUUGGCAGUGUGCUCGGGGAGGUCGGGGAUGACCGGGCAACGGGGAGGAGGAGUGUGGAGCUCCGGGCGGCGGCGGAUCGGUCUGGCAUGGCGACGUGAUUCCGGCGAGGGGAACUCCAAACGGUGGUGGCGUCGGGACCGAGUCCCAACUCCAGAUCGAAGGCGGCGCAUGGACGGGCGCCGGGGCGACUCAGGGUGAGGCGAGGAGGCGUCCGGCGAGGGGGGGGUGACGGGCGACGCCGNNNNNNNNNNNNNNNNNNNNNNNNNNNNNNNNNNNNNNNNNNNNNNNNNNNNNNNNNNNNNNNNNNNNNNNNNNNNNNNNNNNNNNNNNNNNNNNNNNNNNNNNNNNNNNNNNNNNNNNNNNNNNNNNNNNNNNNNNNNNNNNNNNNNNNNNNNNNNNNNNNNNNNNNNNNNNNNNNNNNNNNNNNNNNNNNNNNNNNNNNNNNNNNNNNNNNNNNNNNNNNNNNNNNNNNNNNNNNNNNNNNNNNGGUGGCGGCUAGGGUUGCGGGGGGAUAAGGAGAGGAGUGGGGUUGGCCGAUUGGGCCUUUGGCCGGUUGGGCCGGCCCGUUCGGGCGGCGGAGGCCAGCUGGGCCACUUGGCUCAGCGGGGGAGGGGGUCUAUUGUUUUUGUUUUGUUUUGUUUUCCUUUCAUUUGUUUCUUUUUAUUUAUUUUCCUUUCUGUUUUAUUCAAUUUAAAAUAUUUAUGCAUUUUCUAAAAAUGUGUUUACUUCACCAUAAUUAUCUAUGCAAUAUUUGACACGGUCCGAACAUUUUGUUUUAAAGUUUGAAAACUUUGUUUGUUUGCCAAAAAUUCAAAUUUGAAUUCGAAUCAUUUUGAACUAACGCGAGAUUAGCGACAGUAACGGAGGUGACAUCGCGUCAUUAGCAGAGGUUACUGUAGCUUGCUUAUCCGGGCGUCACAUGUUUGUAUGGUCUGUAUUGCAAGAAAUUCAGUUUUGGGUGACCUGCACCUAGUCUAACUUCUCUGAAUAAUGAACAAUCUGACAUAAAUAUGUUGUGUACAUUCUGAAUCCCCAACAUGACACAAAUUCAAUUACUAGUGAUUGUGAACAUAGCCUCCCUGUUCACCAAAUGAAGAAUCCACCCAAGAUUCUGGCCAUGUCGGCAAGUCCACCCCGUCCAAGGACCUCAAUACCGCGCCUUCCUGCCUCAAAUCUCGAUUUCCCCACCUUCACGCUUGCUCCACUUGCCCUACAGGCUCGGCGUGCAGCUCCAAACCAUCACCGUUGACUUCUAGAAGGCCUUCCAGGUCCACGACAAGCUCUACACCGGCCUUGUCCCUCCCUUUUGCCUCUAUGGGUAAACUUACUUGCUACAGAUUAUUCACAAUUUCUCCAUUGUUAGCAGCAUCUGCUUAAGUAGAAUUUUUAGAACUGGUUAUUAGCUGAAAUUACAAUAGUUAAUUCUUUUAUCUAUAUGUCGCCUGAUUUGUUGCUUGUUGCCAGAUUCUUGUUAUACCAAGAUUGUCCUGAUUAUCCUAAGAUUGUAGAUUUAUUUUUCUCUUGAAGCUAGGUUUCUUUUCGAGCAUGUCUAACAUCUACAUGGAAUUCUUGAGAUAAAUAAUAUAAGGAGAUUUUUUGUGGUACAUGUGCAUGAACCUAUAGUCUGUUAUUGUCGACUGCCCUCUUUACUACUGAAGUUUUGCAACCAUGUUAAUAGUUUAUGCAAAUUGUUGGGACUCUUCUGAGAAGAUUAUUUCAUUAGUUUAUUUUUGUAACUAUUUCCUGUUCAAUAAUAAAGGUUGAGAUCCCUGCAAGAAAUGGUUCUGAUUGGUACUCCUUAGAUGUAAACUGAUGAAUUUUGUUAAGCUCUACAUAUGAGGUUGUGUUUCUGCCAUGUAUACUUUGUGUGCAUGUGUUGUUUGCAUGUACUCCCUCCGUCCCAUAAUAUAAGAGUGUUUUUGGCACUAGUGUAGUGUAAAAAACGCUUUUAUAUUAUGGGACAGAGGGAGUAGUUUGCAAUCAGUUUGGUUUGGUUGUUUAUGAGUUGUGUUGUGUUGUACUGCUCAUGGCUGUGCUGUUUAUUAUACUGUGUUAAAGAUACACGAUUCACAUAUCUUGAUCUUGGAAUUUAUUGAUGUGAGCUUUUUUUGCACAGUGUUCAGAGCUAACACACGAAUAAUCUUGCAAGUCCUGAAAUUUCUAUGGGAGUAUGUCUUAAUGUCUUGUGUUUCUGUUCAUUGAUGUGAAUUUUUAAGUCUCACUGCUGAAUGUAAAACCACCAUUUGUCUUUCUUUUGCUCAUAUUUUGUAUGCUUUCUUAUGUUUGAUUAUUCCUAUUACCAGGAUGAUCUGAGUCACUCAGAAGAAGUGGAGGGUAGAAGGAGGGCACAAGAAGCUUCGUUUCUCAUUGAUGUUAUGUGUGAUAACUUAAAACUUGUGCUUCUCAUCCAAUCUUUGUAGAACUAUGUUGUUGUGCGCUUGUGCACUUGUUGGAUCCUUUUGUUCUGCACUUGCACAUAUAGAACUAUUUUUCUGUGCACUUUUAGAAUCAUUUUGCUGUGCACUUGUUGGGCUUGAACCUUGGUGUAUAGAGGAGUCGAUGGAUGAUGUAUUGUAUUGCAUGUGAUGUGUUAUUGAAAUGAAAUAUACAGUUUAUUUGCAAUAUUGUAUUUUGUUGUACUUGUUUUUUAAUGGGCCUAUCUUGAUAUAUGCAUGCUUCUGACAAAAUAAUGCAUAAGCCCAAACAAAUUAUGACAUUUUUUAUAAUAAAAUAUGUAUUGGGCCAGGCCCAUGUAGGCUAGAUUAGUGGACCGGGCUGUGAAAUUUAUGAUGAUUCCAUUUGGUCACUAGCAAAGCCACGUCAGCUCAGCCACAUCAGAUCCUACGUGGCUCAGAGAAAUGGGUAAUGACCAAACCAAAAUUUUGGUCAAUAAAGAAUUGUGACCAAAAUUUCAGAAAGGUCAUGUUUGUUCGUUCUUGACGGCCAACUGUUGACCUUUUGGAUUUGGUCAAAACAAGGUCAUAAAACAUGAAUAAUGACGAUUCAGUGACCAAAAUGGAGGGUCAACGAUGAACAAAUUUCUUGUAGUGUGCCCGAAACUUUGGUUCAUCGACGCUGGUACACAAACCAAUAUAAUCCUAUGAGAAGACAAUGACUUCGCACGCCGAAUCUAUGGCAAUGAUGUUUGCUUGAACUACGUCGGUAUUUCCCCAAAGAGGAAGGGAUGAUGCAGCACAACAACGGUAGGUAUUUCCCUCAGUGAUGAGACCAAGGUUAUCGAACCAGUAGGAGAACAACGCAACACCACGUAAACAACUCCUACACACAAAGAACAAAUACUUGUAAGAGAGGGGUUGUCAAUCCCUCACGGGUAAAAAGAUAGGUAAAAUUGUAGUAGAUUGGAUAAAUAGAUCUCACAGGAACGUAAGAUAAAAUAAAUAACUAAAAAUUGCAUCAAGAUAUUUUUGUAUUCUUGGAUUAAUAGAUCUGAAAACAAAAGCAAAUAAAAAAAUAUCUCGAAGGCAAAUAUGAUUAAGAAGAGACCCGGGGGCCGUAGAUUUCACUAGUGGCUUCUCUUAAGAGAAAUAGCAUACGGUGGGUAAACAAAUUACUGUUGGGCAAUUGAUAGAACUUCAAAUAAUCAUGACGAUAUCCAGGUGAUACGUCUCCAAUGUAUCUAUAAUUUUUUAUUAUUCCAUGCUAUUAUAUUAUCUGUUUUGGAUGUUUAGUAGGCAUUUAUAUGCUAUUUUAUAUUAUUUUGGGGACUCACCUAUUAACCGAGAGCCCAGUGCCAAUUCUGUUUUUUUGCCUAUUUUAAAGUUUUGCAGAAAAGGAAUACCAAGCAGAGUCCAAACGGAAUGAAACUUUCGCGAUGAUCUUUCUUGGACUAGAAGCAAACCAGAAGACUUGAAGAUGAAGUCGGAGAUGCAACAAGGCGGCCGCGAGAGUAGAGGGCGCACACAGGGGGCAGGACGCGCCCCCUACCUCGUGGGCCCCUCGUGGGUCUCCUGACCUAGUUUCUUUGCCUAUAUAUACUCUUAUACCCUGAAAACAUCCAGGGGAGCCACUAAACCACUUUUCCACCGCCACAACCUUUUGUACCCAUGAAAUCCCAUCUAGGGACCUUUUCCGGCGUCCUGUCGGAGGGGGAUUCGAUCACAGAGGGCUUCUACAUCAUCACUAUUACCUUUCCGAUGAAGCGUGAGUAGUUUACACAGACCUACGGGUCCAUAACUAGUAGCUAGGUGGCUUCUUCUCUCUCUUUGAUUCUCAAUACCAUGUUAUCCUUGAUGUUCUUGGAGAUCUAUUCGAUGUAAUAUUCUUUUGCGGUGUGUUUGCCGAGAUACGACGAAUUAUGGACUUAUGAUCAAAUUAUCUAUGAAUACUAUUUGGUUCUUCUCUGAAUUCUUAUAAGCAUGAUUUUUUAUCUUUGCAAGUCUCUUCGAAUUAUCGGUUUAGUUUGGCCUACUAGAUUGAUCUUUCUUGCAAUGGGAGAAGUGCUUAGUUUUGGGUUCAAUCUUGCGGUGUCCUUCCCCAAUGACAGUAGGGGCAGCAAGGCACGUAUUGUAUUGUUGCCAUCGAUCAUAAAAAGAUGGGGUUUUCAUCAUAUUGCUUGAGAUAAUUCCUCUACAUCAUGUCAUCUUACUUAAUGUGUUACUCCGUUCUUUAUGAACUUAAUACUCUAGAUGCAUGCUGGAUAGCGGUCGAUGUGUGGAGUAAUAGUAGUAGAUGCAGAAUCAUUUCGGUCUACUUGACACGGACCUGAUGCCUAUGUUCAUGAUCAUUGCCUUGGAUAUCGUCAUAACUUUGCACUCUUCUAUCAAUUGCUCGGUAGUAAUUUGUUCACCCACCGUAAUAUUUGCUCUCUUGAGAUAAGCCACUAGUGAAACCUAUGGCCCCUGGGCCUAUUUUACAUCAUAUUAGUUUCCCAUCAACUUGUCAAUUUCUGUCGCCGUUCCUUGUUUUGCAAUCUUUACUUUCCAAUCUAUAAACCAAAAAUACCAAAAAAUAUUUACUUUACCUUUUAUCUAUCUCUAUCAGAUCUCACUUUUGCAAGUAACUGUGAAGGGAUUGACAACCCCUUUAUCGCGUUGGGUGCAAGUUGUUGAUUGUUUGUGCAGGUAUUUGGUGACUUGUGCAUUGUCUCCUACUGGAUUGAUACCUUGGUUCUGAAACUGCGGUAAAUACUUACUACUUUGUUGCAUCACCCUUUCCUCUUAAAGGGAAAACCCAACGCAAGCUCAAGAGGUAGAAAGAAGGAUUUCUGGCGCCGUUGCCGGGGAGAUCUACGUCAAGUCAAGUCAAGCCAUAGCAAGUACCCAUCAUAAACUUUUCUCUCUUGCAUUACAUUAUUCACCAUUUGCCUCUCAUUUUCCUCUCCUCCACUUCUAAAACGAUUUUCAAAAACAUUUGCCUUUUCUUCGCCCCUCCUCCGUUCGUCUUUUUCGCUUUCUUCUUGUGUGUUUGUGUGCUGGUGUGCCUGUUUUCCUUGAUGGCGCAACCGCGUUGAUCCUCACCUUAGGAGGUUGGAAGAAAUUGAAAAUAAUGGUAGAAGCUUUAUGUCUUUACAAUUUGAGCAUAGUAAUUUCUUUAGAAAUGAGCUUAAAGAACAAAAAAGUUUUAUGGAGUAUAUGAAUAAAGAGCUCGAUGAUAUGUCUAAAGAAUUUCAUGGUUUGAAAUCUCAGUUUGCUCAUCUUGAAAAUUUAGUAGGCCAAAUUUCUGAUAACAAGCCACCUUAGUUAAUAAGGUGGCCGCUAAACCCGAGGCUCUAAAUAAUAAUGAUGAAGAUCUAAAAGUGAUUGAUGUGACUCCUAUUAAAUCUUUGUUUUCCAAUAUGAAUCUUGAUAAAGAUGGGACUGGAGAUGAGUCAACUUUAGUUAAAAGGCGUCCCAAUGAUUUGGAGUUUUUAGAUCUAGAUGCAAAAAUUGAUAAAACUGGGAUUGGAGAGGUCAAGACUUUAAGUAGCAAUGAACCCACUCUUUUGGAUUUCAAGGAAUUUAAUUAUGAUAAUUGUUCUUUAAUAGAUUGUAUUUCCUUGUUGCAAUCCGUGUUAAAUUCUCCUUGUGCUUAUAAUCAAAACAAAGCUUUUACUAAACAUACCGUUGAUGUUAUGAUGCAAUCUUUUGAAGAAAAACUUGAAUUAGAAGUUUCUAUCCCUAGAAAACUUUAUGAUGAAUGGGAACCUACUAUUAAGAUCAAGAUUAAAGAUUAUGAAUGCUAUGCUUUGUGUGAUUUGGGUGCUAGCGUCUCCACGAUUCCAAAAACUUUGUAUGAUGUGUUAGGUUUCCGUGAAUUUGAUGAUUGUUCUUUAAAUUUGCAUCUUGCGGAUUCCACUAUAAGAAACCUAUGGGAAGGAUUAAUGAUGUUCUUAUUGUUGAAAAUAGGAAUUAUGUGCCCGUAGAUUUCAUUGUUCUUGAUAUAGAUUGCAAUCCUACAUGUCCUAUUAUUCUUGGUAGACCUUUCCUUAGAACGUUUGGUGCAAUUAUUGAUAUGAAAGAAGGAAACAUUAGAUUCCAAUUUCCGUUAAGGAAAGGCAUGGAACACUUUCCUAGGAAGAAAUUUAAAUAUCCAUAUGAAUCUAUUAUGAGAGAUACUUAUGGAUUGCAUGUCAAAGAUGGCAAUACCUAGAUCUAUUCGUGUUUUUAUGCCUAGCUAAGAGCGUUAAAUAAUAACGCUUGUUGGGAGGCAGCCCAAUUUUAUUUUUGUUCUUUGCUUUUCGUUCAUGUUUAGUAAUAAAUAAUUCAUCCACCCUCUGGUUAGAUGUGGUUUUAUGUUUUAGUUAGUGUUUGUGCCAAGUUAAACCUUUAGGAGAGUUUACAGUGAUAGUCGUGUUGAUCUUGCUGAAAAUCAGAAAAUUUUGCGCCUAGUAAAUUAGUUUUGAUAAUUCACAAAAACAUGCUUUUGAUCUGAUUCAUUUUGCUCUGGAUUGGUACACAAAUUGCGCGGGUUUUCUAAUUUGUCUGAAUUUUUUGAGUGACAUAAGUAUUCGAGAGUUAUAGAUUACUAUAGAUUGUUCUGUUUUUGGCAGAUUCUGUUUUUCGCGUGUUGUUUGCUUAUUUUGACGAAUCUAUGGGUAGUACCAGGGGGUAUGAACCAUGGAAAAGUUGUAAUAUAGUAGAUAUUACGCCAAUAUAAAUAAAGAAUGAGUUUUCAAUAGAACCUUAAAGUGGUGGUUUAUUUUCUUAUACUAACGGAGCUCAUGAGAUUUUUUGUUGAGUUUUGUGUUGUGAAGUUUUCAAGUUUUGGGUAAGGAUUUGAUGGACUAUGGAAUAAGGAGUGGCAAGAGCCUAAGUUUGGGGAUGACCAAGGCACCCCAAGGUAAUAUUCAAGGACAACCAAAACCCUAAGCUUGGGAUGCCCCAGAAGGCAUCCCCUCUUUCGUCUUCGUCUAUCGGUAACUUUACUUGAGGCUAUAUUUUUAUUCACCACAUGAUAUGUGUUGUGCUUGGAGCGUCUUGUAUGAUUUGAGUCUUUGAUUUUUAGUUUACCACAAUCAUCCUUGGUGUACACACCUUUUGGGAGAGACACACAUGAGUCAUGAUUUAUUAGAAUACUCUAUGUGCUUCACUUAUUUCUUUUGAGCUAGAAAAUAUUGCUCUAGUACUUCACUUAUAUCUUUUUAGAGCACGGCGGUGGUUUUAUUUUAUAGAAAUUGUUGAAAUCUCAUGCUUCACUUAUAUUAUUUUGAGAGUCUUUUAGAGCAGCAUGGUAAUUUGCUUUGGUUAUAAAAUUAGUCCUAAUAUGACGGGCAUCCAAGAGGGAUAUAAUAAAAACUUUCAUAUAAAGUGCAUUGAGUACUAUGAGAAGUUUGAUUCUUUAUGCUUGUUUUGAGAUAUGAAGAUGGUGAUAUUAGAGUCAUGCUAGUGGAGUAAUUGUGAAUUUGAGAAAUACUUGCGUUGAGGUUUGCGAGUCAUGUAGCAUGCACGUAUGGUGAACCGUUGUGUAAUACAUUUGGAGCAUGAGGUAUUCAUUGAUUGUCUUCCUUCUGAGUGGCGGUCGGGGACGAGCGAUGGUCUUUUCCUACCAAUCUAUCCCCCCAGGAGCAUAUGCGUAGUACUUUGUUCAAUGACUAAUAGAUUUUUCAAUAAGUAUGUGAGUUCUUUUUGACCAAUGUUGAGUCCAUGGAUUAUACGCACUCUCACCCUUCCACUAUUGCUAGCCUCUCUUAUACCGUGCAACUUUCGCCGGUACCAUACACCCACCAUAUACCUUCCUCAAAUCAGCCACCAUACCUACCUACUAUGGAAUUUCCAUACCCAUUUCGAGAUAUAUUGCCAUGCAACUUUCCACCGUCCCGUUUAUUAUGACACGCUUCAUCAUUGUCAUAUUGCUUUGCAUGAUCAUGUAGUUGACAUCGUAUUUGUGGCAAAGCCACCUUUCAUAAUUCAUUCAUACAUGUCACUCUUGAUUCAUUGCACAUCCUGGUACACCACCGGAGGCUUUCACACAGAGCCAUAUUUUGUUCUAAGCAUUGAGUUGUAAUUUUUUGAGUUGUAAGAAAAUAGAAGUGUGAUGAUCAUCAUUAUUAGAGCAUUGUCCCAUGUAAAAAAGAGAGGCCAAAGAAGCCCAAAUAAUAACAAAAAAGAGAGAAAAAGAGAGAAGGGGCAAUGUUACUAUCCUUUUUCCACACUUAUGCUUCCAAGUAGCACCAUGAUCUUCAUGAUAGAGAGUCUCUUAUUUUGUCACUUUCAUAUACUAGUAGGAAUUUUUCAUUAUAGAACUUGGCUUGUAUAUUCCAACGAUGGGCUUCCUCAAAUGCCCUAGGUCUUCAUGAGCAAGCAAGUUGGAUGCACACCCACUUAGUUUCUUUUGAGCUUUCAUACACUUAUAGCUCUAGUGCAUCCGUUGCAUGGCAAUCCCUACUUACUCACAUUAGUAUCUAUUGAUGGGCACCUCCAUAGCCCAUUGAUACGCCUAGUUGAUGUGAGACUAUCUCCCUCUUUUUGUCUUUUCCACAACCACCAUAUUCUAUUCCAUCCAUAGUGCUAUGUCCAUGGCUCAUGCUCAUGUAUUGCGUGAAAGUUGAAAAGGUUUGAGAACAUCAAAGUAUGAAACAAUUGCUUGGCUUGUCAUCGGGGUUGUGCAUGAUUUGAGUAUUUUGUGUGACUAAGAUGGAUCAUAGCCAGACUAUAUGAUUUUGUAGGGAUAAGCUUUCUUUGGCCAUGUUAUUUUGAGAAGACAUAAUUGCCUUGUUAGUAUGCUUGAAGUAUUAUUGUUUUUAUGUCAAUAUUAAACUUUUGUUUUCAAUCUUUUCGAUCUGAACAUUCAUGCCACAAUAAAGAGAAUUACAUGGACAAAUAUGUUAGGUAGCAUUCCACAUCAAAAAAUUUGUUUUUAUCAUUUACCUACUCGAGGACGAGCAUGAAUUAAGCUUGGGGAUGCUUGAUACGUCUCCGACGUAUCUACAAUUUUUUAUUGUUUCAUGCUAUUAUAUUAUAUGUUUUGGAUGUUUAAUACGCAUUUAUAUGCUAUUUUAUAUUAUUUUUGGGACUAACCUAUUAACUGAGAGCGCAGUGCCAGUUUCAGUGUUUUUUGUCUAUUUUAGAGUUUCGUAGAAAAGGAAUACCAAAGGAGUCCAAACGGAAUGAAACUUUCGCGAUGAUCUUUCUUGGACCAGAAGCGAACCAGAAACUUGAAGAUGAAGUCAAAGAUGCAACAAGGCGACCACGAGGGUGGAGGGCGCACACAGGGGGCAGGACGCGCCCCCUACCUCGUGGGCCCCUCAUGGGUCUCCUGACCUAGUUUCUUUGCCUAUAUAUACUCUUAUACCCUGAAAACAUCUAGGGGAGCCACUAAACCACUUUUCCACCGCCACAACCUUUUGUACCCAUGAAAUCCCAUCUAGGGACCUUUUCCGGCGUCCUGUCGGAGGGGGAUUCGAUCACAGAGGGCUUCUACAUCAUCACUAUUACCUUUCUGAUGAAGCGUGAGUAGUUUACACAGACCUACGGGUCCAUAACUAGUAGCUAGGUGGCUUCUUCUCUCUCUUUGAUUCUCAAUACCAUGUUAUCCUCGAUGUUCUUGGAGAUCUAUUCGAUGUAAUAUUCUUUUGCGGUGUGUUUGCCGAGAUACGAUGAAUUAUGGACUUAUGAUCAAAUUAUCUAUGAAUACUAUUUGGUUCUUCUCUGAAUUCUUAUAAGCAUGAUUUUUUAUCUUUGCAAGUCUCUUCGAAUUAUCGGUUUAGUUUGGCCUACUAGAUUGAUCUUUCUUGCAAUGGGAGAAGUGCUUAGUUUUGGGUUCAAUCUUGCGGUGUCCUUCCCCAAUGACAGUAGGGGCAGCAAGGCACGUAUUGUAUUGUUGCCAUCGAGCAUAAAAAGAUGGGGUUUUCAUCAUAUUGCUUGAGAUAAUUCCUCUACAUCAUGUCAUCUUACUUAAUGUGUUACUCCGUUCUUUAUGAACUUAAUACUCUAGAUGCAUGCUGGAUAGCGGUCGAUGUGUGGAGUAAUAGUAGUAGAUGCAGAAUCAUUUCGGUCUACUUGACACGGACGUGAUGCCUAUGUUCAUGAUCAUUGCCUUGGAUAUCGUCAUAACUUUGCACUCUUCUAUCAAUUGCUCGGUAGUAAUUUGUUCACCCACCGUAAUAUUUGCUAUCUUGAGAGAAGCCACUAGUGAAACCUAUGGCCCCCGGGUCUAUUUCCAUCAACUUGCCAAUUUUUGUCGCCGUUCCUUAUUUUGCAAUCUUUACUUUCCAAUCUAUAAACCAAAAAUACCAAAAAAUAUUUACUUUACCGUUUAUCUAUCUCUAUCAGAUCUCACUUUUGCAAGUAACCGUGAAGGGAUUGACAACCCCUUUAUUGCGUUGGGUGCAAGUUGUUGAUUGUUUGCGUAGGUAUUCGGUGACUUGUGCGUUGUCUCCUACUAGAUUGAUACCUUGGUUCUCAAACCGAGGGAAAUACUUACGCUACUUUGCUGCAUCACCUUUUCCUCUUCAAGGGAAAACCCAACGCAAGCUCAAGAGGUAGCACUAGGCAAUGUUCAUUACAUAGGCAUCACGUCCAAGAUUAGUAGACCGACUCCUACUUGCAUCUACUACUAUUACUGCACACAUCGACCGCUAUCCAACAUGCAUCUAGUGUAUUAAGUUCAUGGAGAAACAGAGUAAUGUAAUAAGAAUGAUGACAUGAUGUCGACAAUAUCUAUUUAUGUAGAAAUAGACCCCAUAUUGUUAUCCUUAAUGGCAAUGAUACAUACAUGUGGGUUCCCCUUCUGUCAUUGGGAUCAAGCACCAUAAGAUUGAACCCAUCACAAAGCACCUCUUCCCAUGGCAAGAAAAAUCAAUCUAGUUUGCCUAACUAAACCAAAGAUUCAAAGAAGAAAUACGAGGCUAUAAGUAAUCAUGCAUACAAGAGAUCAAAAGACUCAAAUAACUUUCAUGGAUAAAAACAUAGAUCUGAUCAUAAACUCAAAGUUCAUCGGAUCCCAACAAACACACCACAAAAAGAGUUACAUCAGAUAGAUCUCCAAGAGACCAUUGUAUUGAGAAUCAAGAGAGAGAGAAGAAGCCAUCUAGCUACUAACUACGGACCCAUAGGUCUACAAUGAACUACUCAUGCAUCAUCGAAGAGGCACCAAUGAGGAUGAUGAACCCCUCCAUGAUGGUGUCUAGAUUGGAUCUGGUGGUUCUGGAAUUUGUGGCAGCUAGAAUUGAUUUUCGUCGACUCCCCUAGGGUUUCUGCAAUAUUGGAGGAUUUAUAGAGCAAAGAUGCGGUGCGGGAGGCCACCGAGGUGGGCACAACCCAUCAGGGCGCGCCUGGGCCUCCAGGCGUGCCCUGGUGUCUUGUGGUCACCUUAGGCCCCUCUUCGGUACUUCUUUGGCCCACUCUAUGUCUUCUGGUCCAAAAAAUCCACAAAAAGUUUCAUUGUGUUUGGACUCCGUUUGAUAUUGAUUUCCUGCGAUGUAAAAAACAAGCAGAAAACAACAACUGGCACUGGGCACUAUGUCAAUAGGUUAGUCCCAAAAAAUGAUAUAAAGUUGCUAUAAAAUGAUUGUAAAACAUCCAAUAAUGAUAAUAUAACAACAUGGAACAAUAACAAAUUAUAGAUACAUUGGAGACAUAUCAACAUCUCCAAGCUUAAUUCCUGCACGUCCUCGAGUAGGUAAAUGAUAAAAAUGGAAAUUUUGAUGUGGAAUGCUGCCUAGCAUGUUCAUCACAUAUUCUUUUCUUUGUAGCAUGGGCAUUUGGACUUUUAUAUGGUUCAAAGCAAUAGUCUAGUUUUGACAUGAAGACUUUAAUACUCAAGCAUAUCAAGAAGGAACCAUGUCUUUCAAAACAUCAACACUAAAGCAAGUUAUCCCUAGCCCAUUAUGCUCAAUCAUUGAUCCAUUCAUGAAACACACUCACAUAUUAGCUACACCCAAUGCUCAAGUACGAUCAUAGUGCCCCUUAGUUGGUGCUUUAUAAGAGCAGAUGGAGACUCAAGUAAAAUAAAAAUUGCAUAAAGUAAAUAGAAAGGCCCUUCGCAGAGGGAAGUAGAGAUUUGUAGAGGUGCCAGAGCUCAAAGCGAAAAAGAUAGAGAUAAAACAUUUUGGGUGGCAUGCUUUUCCUGUCAACGAAAACGAUCGAGUAGUUCCCAAUACUUUUCAUGCUAGAUAUAUCAUAGGCGGUUCCCAAAUAGAAAAUAAAGUUUAUUCCUUUUUCCACCAUACUUUCACUUUCCAUGGCUAACCGUAUCCACGGGUGCCUUCCAUACCAACACUUUCCAAGGAAUUUAUUAUUUGACAACAUAAAGUAAAUUCAUUUUUCAGUUCGGGACUGGGCAUCCCUAAUACCUUUGUCAUACUCUUGUGCAAUGACAAGUGAAUAAACACUCAACUUGAGAAUAACAUAUCUAGCAUGGAAAUAUAUCAGCCACGCCCUACCGUUUCAUGGGCGGUACUGAUGACCCACAAGUAUACGGGGUCAAUUGUAGCCUUUUCAUAAGUAAAAGUGUCAAACCCAAUGAGGAGCAGAAGGAAAUGACAAGUGGUUUUCAACAAGGUAAUGUCUGCAAGUGCCAAAAUUGUAAGUAGCAGAGUAGUUUGAUAGCAAGAUAAUUUGUAACGAGCAAGUAAUGAUAGUAGUAACAAAAGUGCAGCAAGGUAGCCCUAUCCUUUUGAGGCAAAGGACGGGCCAAAUCGGUCUCUUGUGAUAAGCAAGUGUUCUCGAGGGUACACGGGAAUUUCAUCUAGUCACUUUCAUCAUGUUGGCUUAAUUCAUGUUCGCUACUUUGAUAAUUUGAUAUGUGGGUGGACCGAUGCUUAGGUGCUGUUCUUACUUGAACAAACCUCCUACUUAUGAUUAACCCUCUCACAAGCAUCCGCAACUAUGAGAAAAGUAUUAAGAAUAAAUUCUAACCAUAGCAUUAAACUCUUGGAUCCAAUCGGUCCCUUACGGAAUAACGCAUAAACUAGGGUUAAAGCUUCUAUCACUCUCGCAACCCAUCAUCUAAUAACUACUCCACAAUGUAUUCCCUUAGGCCCAAAUAUGGUGAAGUGUCAUGUAGUCGCCGUUCACAUUGUUGGAGAUAUGCCCUAGAGGCAAAAAUGUAUGAUGAUAUUUCCUAUGUGCUUAUGAAUAAAGGUAGUCCUUGGAUGUAAUCAAUGAUACUUGUUGGCAAGUACGUGACUUGUCUGUGAGAUCUUGUGUUGUAUGAUACAUCCUAAAUUAUCCCUAGUCGCAAGUGACAUGUGGGCACAUGUUGGACUAGACUAGCAUAUGACACGAUGGAUGGCUUUGUCUCACUAGCCAUGGAGCAUUGGAUGCUAACCAGAUAAUAUGGACUUGGAAGGAUCUGGUCGGAUUCGACGUAGUCGAAUCCGAGUUGAGAUAAGGUCCGAGUCGGACAGACCCAACUAUGAGACGCGGCGGUAUGUCAUCUAUGAGUCUCUAGAACAACAUACAUUCUAUGUCCUAAGACCUGAGCUGAUGCAUGUACUCGGGAUGGUGACAGACUUGCUUUGGGCCGGCCAAACGCUACUCCGCGACUGGGUAGUUACAAAGGUAGGUUUCAGGCUUGUCCAGACCCAUGCUGCGAGACAUGGUCGAGCAAGAUGGGAUUUGCCACUCCGAUUAGGAGAGAUAUACUCUGGGCCCUUGUGUGAUCCGACCAGGAUAAGCAUGGCCAUGCGAUAAGGAUUAUGAGAUAAUUCGGUUUAUGGUCGGGAUCACUAGAACGAGAAAGAGGUCGGCUAGCACAAGGAUGACAAUCUCGCCUUGAGCCCGACAACAUAUAUCGUGAGGCAGAGGGAACAGAAGUGUGACAUGUUGUACGGGUUCGCCUAAGCAGCUCCAUAGUCUGCUUGGUGGUCGGCACGCCUGAUACGUCUCCAACGUAUCUAUAAUUUGUGAUUGCUCCAUGCUACUUUAUCUACUGUUUUAGGCAAUAUUGGGCUUUAUUAUCCACUUUUAUAUUAUUUUUGGGACUAACCUAUUAACCGGAGGCCCAGCCCAAAUUUGCUGUUUUAUGCCUAUUUCAGUGUUUCGAGGAAAAGGAAUAUUAGACGGAGUCAAAACGGAACGAAAUCAACUGGAGAAGUUAAUUUUGGAAGGAAACCAACCUGAUGGGCUUGGAGUGCACGCCAGGGGAGUCCCGGGCUGCCCACGAGGGUGGAGGGUGCGCCCCCUGGGCACGCCCCCUACCUCGUGAGCAACCCGGAGGUCCACCGACGUACCCCCUGCACCCAUAUAUACCUACAUACCCUAAAACUUCCAGAACAGAAGAUAGAUCGGGAGUUCCGCCGCUGCAAGCCUCUGUAGCCACCGAAAACCAAUCGGGACCCUGUCGAAGGGGGAUCCCAUCACCGGAGGCCAUCUUCAUCAUCCCGGCACUAUCCAUGACGAGGAGGGAGUAGUUCACCCUCGGGGCUGAGGGUAUGUACCAGUAGCUAUGUGUUUGAUCUCUCUCUCUCUCUCUCUCGUGUUCUCUCUCAUGUUCCCUCUAUGGCACAAUCUUGAUGUAUCCCGAGCUUUGCUAUUGUAGUUCGAUCUUAUGAUGUUUCUCCCCCUCUACUCUCUUGUGAUGAAUUGAGUUUCCCCUUUUGAAGUUAUCUUAUCGGAUUGAGUCUUUUAUGAGAACACUUGAUGUAUGUCUUGCCGUGAUUAUCUGUGGUGACAAUGGGAUUUCACGUGCCACUUGAUGUAUGUUUUGGUGAUAAACUUGCGGGUUUCGUGACAUUGGGAACCUAUGCAUAGGGGUUGGCACAUGUUCUUGACUCUCCGGUAGAAACUUUGGGGCACUCCUUGAAGUACUUUUAUGUUGGUUGAAUGAAUCUGAGAUUGUGUGAUGCAUAUCGUAUAAUCAUGCCCACAGAUACUUGAGGUGACAAUGGAGUAUCUAGGUGACAUUAGGGUUUUGGUUGAUUUGUGUCUUAAGGUGUUAUUCUAGUACGAACUCUUUUAUAGAUCGAUCCGAAAGAAUAACUUUGUGGUGGUUUCGUACCCGACCAUAAUCUCUACGUUUGUUCUCCGCUAUUAGUGGCUUUGGAGUGACUCUUUGUUGCAUGUUGAGGGCUUGUCAUAUGUUCUAUCUAUGUUAUUAUUGUUGAGAGAACUUACACUAGUGAAAGUAUGGACCCUAGGCCUUGUUUCCUAUCAUUGCAAUACCGUUUACGCUCACUUUUAUCGCUCGUUACCUUGCUUUUUUUAUUAUUUCAGAUUACAAAAACCUAUAUCUACCAUCUAUUUUGCACAUGUAUCUUCAUCUCUUCGCCGAACUAGUGCACCUAUACAAUUUACCAUUGUAUUGGGUGUGUUGGGGACACAAGAGACUUUUUGUUAUUUGGUUGCAGGGUUGUUUGAGAGAGACCAUCUUCAUCCUACGCCUCCUACGGAUUGAUAAACCUUAGGUCAUCCGCUUGAGGGAAAUUUACUACUGUCCUACAAACCUGUGCACUUGCAGGCCCAACAACGUCUACAAGAAGAAGGUUGUGUAGUAGACAUCAAGCUCUUUUCUGGCUCUGUUGCCGGGGAGGUCAGCGCUUGAAGGUAUAUCUUUAGAUCUUGCAAUCGAAUCUUUUUGUUUCUUGUUUUAGCACUAGUCUAGUUUAUAAAAGAAAAUUACAAAAAAAAUGGAAUUAAGUUUGUCUCAAACGCUUCACCUUUUUAAUAUCUUUCGUGAGUAUGAUGGAAAGGAAAAUUGUGCUCAAGUGCUAGAAGAAGAAAUCUCUAAAUUGUUCGGCACUAAAUAUUUGAAUGAUGAGCAUGAUUGCAAUGUUGUUAGUAUGAAUUCCUUGAAUAUCCAUGAUGCUAAUGAUAUGCAAAGCCACAAGCUUGGGGAAGCUAUGUUUGAUGAAGAUGAUAUUUGUCCCCCAAGCUUUGAUGAGCAAAUUUACUAUGAUGAAAGCAUGCCUCCUAUCUAUGAUGAUUAUUGUGAUGAUAUGUAUGCCAUAAAGAAGGAGUUUGUUUAUGUGGAGAGUAGUAAAUUUUCUAUGCUAGUAGAUCAUGAAAAGAAUGCUUUAGGUGCUGGUUAUAUUGUUGAAUUCAUUCAUGAUGCCUUUGAAAAUUAUUAUGAGGGAGGAACAUAUGCUUGUAGGAAUUGCAAUAAUGUCAAGUUUCCUCCCUAUGUGCUUAAAAUCUUGAAGUUACGCUUGUUUUACCUUCCUAUGCAAGUUGAUUCUUGUUCCCAUAAGUUGUUUGCUCACAAAAUCCCUAUGCAUAGGAAGUGGGUUAGACUUAAAUGUGCUAGUCAUAUGCUUCAUGAUGCUCCCGUUAUGUUUCAAUUCUUAUCUUUUAUGUGAGCAUCAUUGUCAUCAUCAUGCCUAGCUAGAAAGGCAUUAAAGAAAAGCGCUUGUUUGAAGACAACCCAAUAUUUAUCCUUACUGUUUUUGUGUGUCCACAUGAUCAUGCUACUGUAGUAAUCAUUUUUUAUAGCUUUUGUUUCAAUAAAGUGCCAAGUAGAACCUUUGGGAAGACUUGGGUGAAGUUUAUAUGAUCUUGCUGUGAAAAACAGAAACUUUAGCGCUCACGAGAUUAGCUGCCAUUUUUUACUGGAGAGUGCUUUUAGGUUGAUUCUUUUUGCAGAUGAUUAAUAGACAAAUUACUAAGGUCCAGAAAUUUAUUUCAUAAUUUUUGGGGUUCCAGAGGUAUACGUUUUAUACAGAUUACUACAGACUGUUCUGUUUUUGACAGAUUCUAUUUUCUAUGUGUUGUUUGCUUAUUUUGAUGAAUCUAUGAGUAGUAUCAGAGGGUAUGAACCAUAGAUAAGUUGGAGUACAGUAGAUAUUACACCAAUAUGAAUUUAGAAUUAGUUCAUUACAGUACCUAAGUGGUGGUUUUAUUUUCUUAUACUAACGGAGCUUACGAGUUUUGUUUUGAGUUUUGUGUGGUUGAAGUUUUCAAGUUUUGGGUAAGGAUUCGUUGGACUAUGGAAUAAGGAGUGGCAAGAGCUUAAGCUUGGGGAUGCCCAUGGCACCCCCAAGAUAAUCCAAGGAUACCAAAAAGUCAAAGCUUGGGGAUGCCCCGGAAGGCAUCCCCUCUUUCGUCUUCGUUCAUCGGUAACUUUACUUGGAGCUAUAUUUUUGUUCACCACAUGAUAUGUGUUUUACUUGGAGCGUCAAUUUAUUUUGUUAGUAUUUGCUUUCUGUUAGUUAGAAUAAUGUUUUGACUCUUUAGUUUCAAUAAAAAAGUCAAGGAUAGCCUUUGCCAUGCUUAUUUUGCUAGUUUACAUGUUGCUGUUUGAAAACAGAAAGUUUACCGCUGUUGCAAAAAUUCCCUAGAAAAGUCAGAGCAUGGUAUAACAUUGAAUCUUUUUGCAUAUUGAGAUCUGAUAAAUUUAUUACAGUGGUAAUUUUAGUUCAUAAUUUUUGGAGUCAGGGAAGUAUUGAUACUCUUGCAUUCUUUACAGACUGUACUGUUUUGGCAGAUUGCUGUUAUGGUUGCAUUGUUUGCAUAUGUUUGCUUGUUUAAUGAUUCUAUUUGAUGAUAGGAGUAUUAAAUAUACAGAGGCAUUUAGUAUGCAAUGUUUAAUAAUAAUUUAAGUGCUUUGUUACAGUAGAAAAUGAUAAGGUUUUGCAUUGGUUUAUACUAACCUAUCUCACGAGUUCUUGUUGAGUUUGUUGUGAAUGAAGCUUUUGAUAAAAAGAGAAACCAUGAUAUGAGAGGAAUUAAGGAGACACAAAAGUUCAAGCUUGGGGAUGACCAAGGCACCCCAAGAUAAUAUUUCAAGAAGUCUCAAGCAUCUAAGCUUGGGGAUGCCCCAGUAGGCAUCCCACCUUUCUUCUUCAACAACUAUCGGUUAGUAUCGGUUGAGCCUAAGUUUUUGCUUCUUCACUUGAGUUGUGCUAUCCUUGCAAUGUCAUUUUAUUUAGCUUUGCUUUCUGUUUGAAUAAAGUAUCAAUAUCUGAAAUUAUUAAAUGGGAGAGUCUUCACAUAGUUGCAUAAUUAUUCGACUACUCAUUGAUCUUCACUUAUAUCUUUUGGAGUAGUUUGUUCUUUGCUCUAGUGCUUCACUUAGAUCUUUUAGAGCACGGUGGUGGAUUUGUUUUAAAGAAACUAUUGAUAUCUCAUGCUUAACUUAGAUUAUUUUGAGAGUAGUUAAUAGCAUGGUAAUUUGCUUAAUAUUAAUAUACUUGGUGUUCAAGAUAUGUGAAACUUUCUUUUGAGUGAAUUGAAUACUAAGAUAAGUUUGAUGAUUGAUAAUUGUUUUGAGAUAUGGAGGUGAUAAUAUCAAAGUCGUGCUAGUUGGGUGAUUAUGAAUUUGAGAAAUACUUGUGUUCAAGUUUGCAAGUCCCAUAGCAUGCAUGUAUGGUUAAAAUUAUGUAACAAAUUUGAAACAUGAAGUGUACCUGGCUUGUGCAUCCUUAUGAGUGGCGGUCGGGGACGAGCGAUGGUCUUUUCCUACCAAUCUAUCCCCCUAGGAGCAUGCGUGUAGUACUUGAAUUUUUGAUGACUUCUAAAUUUUUGCAAUAAGUAUAUGAGUUCUUUUGACUAAUGUCGAGUCCAUGGAUUAUACGCACUCUCACCUUUCCGCCAUUGCUAGCCUCUUCGGUACCGUGCAUUGCCCUUUCUCACCUUGAGAGUUGGUGCAAACUUCGCCGGUGCAUCCAAACCCCGUGAUACGAUACGCUCUAUCACACAUAAACCUCCUUAUAUCUUCCUCAAAACAUCCACCAUACCUACCUAUUAUGGCAUUUCCAUAGCCAUUCCGAGAUAUAUUGCCAUGCAACUUCCACCAUCAUCAUCAUGACAUACAUUACUUUUGUCAUAUUGGCAUUGCAUGAUCAUGUAGUUGACAUCGUAUUUGUGGCAAAGCCACCUUGCAUUAUUUUUCAUACAUGUCACUCUUGAUUCAUUGCACCAUCCUGGUACACCGCCGGAGGCAUUCAUAUAGAGUCAUAUCUUGUUCUAAGUUUCGAGUUGUAAUCCUUAUGUUGUAAUCAAUAGAAGUGUGAUGAUCAUCGUUAUUAGAGCAUUGCCCAACUAAAAAAAAGAGAAAGGCAAUAAUAUAUAUAUAUAUAUAUAUAUAUAUAUAUAUAUAUAUAUAUAUAUAUAUAAAGGGCAAUGCUACUAUCUCUUUUUCCACACUUGUGCUUCAAAGUAGCACCUUGUUCUUCAUGUAGUGAGUCUCAUAUAUUGUGCUUCAAAGUAGCACCAUGCUUUUCAUGUAGAGAGUCUCAUGUGUUGUCUUUUUAUACUAGUGGGAAUUUUUAAUUAUAGGACUUGGCUUGUAUAUUCCUACGAUGGGCUUCCUCAAAUGCCCUAGGUCUUCGUGAGCAAGCAAGUUGGAUGCACACCCACUAGUUUUCUUUUGUUGAGCAUUCAUAGCUCUAGUGCAUCCGUUGCAUGGCAAUCCCUACUCCUCAUGUUGACAUCAAUUGAUGGGCAUCUCCAUAGCCCGUUGAUUAGCCUCGUCAAUAUGAGACUUUCUCCUUUUUUGUCUUCUCCACACAAUCCCCAUCAUCAUAUUCUAUUCCACCCAUAGUGCUAUAUCCAUGGCUCACGCUCAUGUAUUGCGUGAAGGUUGAAAAAGUUGAGAUUAUUUGAGUAUGAAACAAUUGCUUGGCUUGUCAUAGGGGGUAUAGAAGUUGGGAACAUCUUUGUGUGACGAAAAUGAAGCAUAGCCUAACUAUAUGAUUUUGUAGGGAUGAACUUUCUUUUGCCAUGUUAUUUUGAGAAGACAUGAUUGCUUUGAUUAGUAUGCUUGAAGUAUUAUUAUUUUUGUGUCAAUAUGAACUUUUGUCUUGAAUCUUUCGGAUCUGAAUAUUCAUAUCACAAUUAAGAAGAUUUACAUUGAAAUUAUGCCAAAGUAUCACUCCGCAUCAAAAAUUAUUUUUUAUCAUUUACCUACUCGAGGACGAGCAGGAAUUAAGCUUGGGGAUGCUUGAUAUGUCUCCAACGUAUCUAUAAUUUUUGAUUGCUCCAUGCUACUUUAUCUACUGUUUUAGGCAAUAUUGGGCUUUAUUAUCCACUUUUAUAUUAUUUUUGGGACUAACCUAUUAACCGGAGGCCCAACCCAGAUUUGUUGUUUUAUGCCUAUUUCAGUGUUUCGAGGAAAAGGAAUAUCAGACGGAGUCAAAACGGAACGAAAUCAACUGGAGAAGUUAAUUUUGGAAGGAAACCAACCUGAUGGGCUUGGAGUGCACGCCAGGGGAGUCCCGGGCUGCCCAUGAGGGUGGAGGGCGCGUCCCCCCUGGGCGUGCCCCCUACCUCGUGAGCAACCCAGAGGUCCACCGACGUACCCCCUGCACCCAUAUAUACCUACGUACCCUAAAACUUCAAGAACAGAAGAUAGAUCGGGAGUUCCGCCGCCGCAAGCCUCUGUAGCCACCAAAAACCAAUCGGGACCCUGUUCCGGCACCCUGUCGGAGGGGGAUCCCAUCACCGGAGGCCAUCUUCAUCAUCCCGGCGCUAUCCAUGACGAGGAGGGAGUAGUUCACCCUCGGGGCUGAGGGUAUGUACCAGUAGCUAUGUGUUUGAUCUCUCUCUCUCUCUCGUGUUCUCUCUCAUGUUGCCUCUAUGGCACGAUCUUGAUGUAUCCCGAGCUUUGCUAUUGUAGUUGGAUCUUAUGAUGUUUCUCCCCCUCUACUCUCUUGUGAUGAAUUGAGUUUCCCCUUUUGAAGUUAUCUUAUCGGAUUGAGUCUUUUAUGAGAACACUUGAUGUAUGUCUUGCCGUGAUUAUCUGUGGUGACAAUGGGAUUUCACGUGCCACUUGAUGUAUGUUUUAGUGAUCAACUUGCGCGUUUCGUGACAUUGGGAACCUAUGCAUAGGGGUUGGCACACGUUCUUGACUCUCUGGUAGAAACUUUGGGGCACUCCUUGAAGUACUUUUAUGUUGGUUGGUGUUGGGGAACAUAGUAAUUUCAAAAAAAUUCCUACGUACACGCAAGAUCAUGGUGAUGACAUAGCAACGAGAGGGGAGAGUGUUGUCCACGUACCCUCGUAGACCGUAAGCGGAAGCGUUAUGACAACGCGGUUGAUGUAGUCGUACGUCUUCAUGAUCCGACCGAUCCAAGCACCGAAUGUACGACACCUCCGAGUUCAG
rnacentral:lncRNA from 1 species